rnacentral:lncRNA from 1 species
AUGGGCCAAAAUGUAUAAAAAAAUAAAUUUGAAAAAAAAUAGUUAAGGGGCAAAUAUUUGAUUUGGAAGUUGGGUGGUUCUAAUUUUGUGUUGAUUUAGGUUGGAUUAAUGGUAAGCAAAAACUAAAUCGCAGGAAAAAAAUUCAAAGAAAAAUCGUGUAAACCAAAACAAGUAUGAUUUCUAGUUUGAAAAAACCGAAGUUUUCGUUGCGAUUUAGUUUCUAGUUUUGUAAAAACCACAAAAAAACUCAACCACAUCAGCUUGUGAUUUAAAAAUAGCUUCCGCACAAAAUAAGAAAAUCUCUCUCCAACGCAUAAAUGGUUGGGAGUUCACGUUUUCGUCAUCUUUAGUAAAAUCAAGGCCACCAUGAAGACAUUCAUAAACAACUCUACUAUAGUUUUUAGCGGAUAACCUCAAUUUAGGUUUAAUAGUACAUCCCAACAUGGGACGACCAUACUUGUUCAAUUUAUCUCUCUCAACUUGGAUGUCGUGAGGCGAACCUUGAAAAGUUUUAACAUACGCAGUAGAGAUUCGCAAAUCUUCCAGACGUAGAGAACGCAGGUCUUUGAACCCAAAUACAUUACCUACAAUGGUAGUAAACAUGUUAGUAACAUAACCUUCUUCAAAAAGGUUUAAUGGGUAAGCUACGUAAACAAUAUAUUGAUUUUCUUCUCCAAGAACAGGCUCGAUUCCAUAGCAUCGCCCUUUGUAACGAUCAAGGCUCGUAAGUCCAUCGGUCCACACAGUUGUCCAUGUACCAGUAGAAGAUUUGGCAGCUACUGCGACCCUGCUUCUUCAGGCGGAACUCUAGGUUGAGGAGUUACUCGAAAUGCUACCAAAAUAUCAGUAUCCUUGGUUUCAUACCCAGGAGUAUAAUAAGUCAAUUUAUAAUUUGAAUCCAACACUUGCUUUAGUCUCUGUUUGUGGUGACAUAAAUCCCUCCCUACAACUCAUGAAUUAAGAAUUCUCACAACAACAAUGUCUAGUCGACAUGAAUUAGGCGUUAAUGAAACUUUUUAUAGGAACCUUUCACAAAAUUCCCAACUAAUAGUAAAAUUAUCAACUAAUCAGAAUGCUUGAUUAUUAGACCAUGGUAUUUGAUUCGGCAAAUACAUCAUUAUUGUAUACUCUUUCAUAUAUAUGGCGCAACCCAAUUCUUAUUUAUUUAUUUUUUGAAUCGAAAUAACUAAAAAUCACCCAAAUACUAAGAAAUUCCCUCUUGACAGUGAUAUAUGUUGUAAGUGAUGUUGUAUAUGUAAAUCCUAGAUGUGAAAAUAUGUGGAAUUUUUCUAUGAGAAGGUAAAAAAAAAAAAAAGAACNUAUAUAUAUAUAUAUAUAUAUUAUAACAUCCAUAAAUUUUACGCCAAAUUUAAACUUUUCCAAUCAUAUAUAAAACCCAAUGGUAUUGUUUACAGAAAAUGUUUUCAAAUUAUUAUUCAAUCAGAGUGUCCCAAAAGCCAGGUCAUAAGGAUGAGGAGCGGUACGGUCACGCCUUUGUUUUGCCAUGAUCUCCUGAAGUACCUGAAAUAAUAAUUGUAAAUUGUAAGUCUGAGGGCUUAGUGAGCUACCCCCAAAAUACCAAUACCACACUGAUAAUAUCAUAUCAGUAAUAAUCAAUCAAUCAACAUGCAUACUGGGCCAUCGGCCUGACUGGUCCGCCCUACAGGGCCUACAGUUUAACUGAAUCUAUACCGAGCAUUCGGCAUGACUGGACCGCCACGUGGGCCUACAGUCUCCCCGGACCGCUCAUAGGGUAUGUUGACCUUCAGCACAAAGCAGGACCGCCUCAACCCAACCAACGAGCAAAUAAUCAUGUGCGCAUAAUAGGGGUGAGCAUAAGCGGGUACCCGCCUAAUUUGACUGGAACCGGAACCGGUCUAAGCGGUUCUUAAAUUUUUAAAACCGGUCCCGGAACCGGCGGUUCCGGUUCUGAUGUCGGGUAACCUGGUUAUGUUUAUUUUUUUUUUAAAUACGACAUAUGAAAUUUAUUCAUUACAAAUGACAAAAAAUUGAGUGUCUUAAAUGACAAAAACUUAGUCGCUAAUCAUUCAAAAAUUAGAUGACAAUAAAAAGAAAGCAUUUAUCGAAACACAAAUUUAUAUGUGUUGUUUUUUCAUUGUGAUAUCGAACAGUUGUUGAUAUACUUGAAUUACGAGGACUAAAAAUACUCAUGUCAAAUUGUCUAUUAUUAUCGAAAUCGACUAACGAUUAUGUUAUAACGGCAAAUUUAAAAUGAAUAAAAUAGAAAAGUGAUUUUAUUAAAGAUGUAAAUGGAGGAAAAGACGAAAAUCAAUGUGACCGAGAAUUAAAGCAGGAAAAUAGUUAUAUGGAAAAUAUAGGAUUAUCUAAAGCGCAUAGUUUUAAGUUAAAACGAAAUAGUAUCGGAAGUUAUAUAUAAAAAUGCAUAUAUCAAGGCGGUUCUAACGGGUAUCCAGCGGGUAACAGUUCCGUAAAUAUGAAAACCGGAACCGGUUCCAAUCGGUUCCAUAUCUUGCGAACCGAAACCGGAACCACUUAGGCGGUUCCGGUUUUGGAACCGGCGGUUCUUAGACGGUUUCGGUUCCAAAGGCGGGUAACUGGUUUUGCUGCUCACCCCUAGCACAUAACCAACAUAUAUUGGCAUAUACAGACAUCAUAUAUAUAUAUAUAUAUAUAUAUANNNNNNNNNNNNNNNNNNNNNNNNNNNNNNNNNNNNNNNNNNNNNNNNNNNNNNNNNNNNNNNNNNNNNNNNNNNNNNNNNNNNNNNNNNNNNNNNNNNNNNNNNNNNNNNNNNNNNNNNNNNNNNNNNNNNNNNNNNUGAUCAUCAAUCAUAGCAAUCUUUCAUAACUAGAGCACCGACCCAGCAAGUCACUAACAUACCAAUCCCUAAGGAUCAUAAAAACAUAACAUACUGUCUAUCCUGAUUCCGAUCUAUCAGAUCAUAAUCUCAUACAUAUCAUAUCAUAACCAUAACAACUAAAGGGUCGGCAUUGGUGCCUUAGACCCUUUUGAUACAGUGAGGAUGACUCACCUUGCAGACGUCGACUCGGUAGAUGAACUCCAACUCUCGAAUCACUGCCAAAAACUCCACCACCUAUUACAACAAUACAAUCAUACCCAUCAGUUCUCAACCUUUCAAGGUACUCCAUAAACAAACUAGUCAACCCUUAGUCAAAGUCAAAGUCCUCAGUCAAGGUCAACAGUCCAUAUUGACCCUUACUCGACGAGUACCCUCGGCUACUCGCCGAGUUUCUUGAAGUACUUGCCCACUCGCCGAGUCACCGGAGUGACUCGUCGAGUUCCUUUGGUUUACGAUUGAACCCUAAGGCCACUCGUCGAGUUUCCUUCUUGCCACUUGUGACAUCCCCAUUUUCACGGCCAGAAAAGACCGAUUUGUUUAUGCUUUGUUUUUAAAAUCAGCGUAAUCGUUUAAAGAAAACGGUUGCGGAAUUUGUUCCCAAAACAAGAUAUGAUAAUAACUUAUCAAAACAUUUCUCAAAGAGAAUGUAUUUUCAUUUAAUAAUAGAACCUCAGGAUGUCAUGUUCCGAUACAAACAUAUAAGCAUAAACAGAACAUACAUUCAUUUACUCUAGUGAUUUACAUCUCCUUUAAUCUCUCAGUGCAAAGCAGCUUCGUAUCGAUACCUGUGAUACAAUUAAAUUGAGUGGGUCAGGCUUGGGAGCCUGGUGAGCAUAUAGGGUUUUCAACCCACAAUAAUAUAAUUAUUAUAUUCAAUCAUCAAACAAUCAACCCAAUUACCCAUCCUCAUUAUCUUCGUUUAUCUCUUAAGUACCUUCCCUAAGGGAUUAUCCUAAGGGUCAUCUCCUACAUCGUAUUUACCUCUCAUCUCCUUACAUCACAUUUCCUUAUAUGUUUAUUUCUAAGGAUCAUCGCAUGAAUAGGUAGUCACAACAUCGCCUGGACUAGUAAUUCAUAGUAAGGGUUAGACUAUCAUCGCAUGAAUACGCAACCACAACAUCGCCUGGACUCGUAAUUCAUCACCUAGGGGUUAGAGUAUCAUCGCAUGAAUACGUAGACACAACAUCGCAUGGACUCGUAAUUCAUCACCUACAGGUUAUGAGCAUGCUGGUGUUUCCACGGGGUCAUCUAGAAUAGUCCAUGGUCGCCAUCUAUACUCUGGUAGAUGACUACAUCACCAAAUUUCCACAUCGCGGGUCAAGGUUAUGGUAUCUCCUCUCAUAUCACAUCACCUAUUUAUCAUCACCUAUCUAUCAUCACCUAUCUCUCAUCACCUAAUUAUCAUCACCUAAUUAUCAUCACCUAUUUCUCAUCACCUAAUUAUCAUCACACAUCAUCUAAUUCAUCUGCCCAUGUUCUGCCCAACAUAUUUGUAGAUAUAAAAUACAUAUACAGAUUAACUCAUUUAACACCUAUGUAAAACAUCCAUUCCACACUCAUCUCAAAUAAACAACAAUAUAUAAACACAUAACAUGUAUUUCAUAGCAAAUACUUCAUAUAUUUAUGUUAGAAGAAAAUAACCACACACUCACACAUAUAAACAACAAUAUAUAUACACAUAGCAUGUAUUUUAUAAAAUACGUCAUAUCUAUGUGUAAGAUGAAAGUAACUACACACUCACCCAAACAUAUACUUAAUACAUUCAAACAAUACUUGUAUUAUACCCGUGUUUAUGAAAGGGACUAUACACCCACACAUAUAAACAACUUUAUAUUAUACACAUAGCACGUAUUUCAUAGCAAAUACUUAAUAUUUAUGUGUUAGAAGAAAGUAACUACACACUCACUUGAUCAGAAGAUGAUCGGACAGCACUACAGCUUGUAGAAGUAGUAUUCUUCGGCAGAUCUGGAAGAUCUUCACAAAAACCGGACUCCUCGCGGGCAGAGCUUCGGCUCGGGAAUCUUACUUCUCGGGAUCUUCGGGACCUCGGGACUUGCUUCGGGGCUCGGGAAUGAUACCGGGGCUUCGGGAUAAUUCUUGCACGAAAAACGAUGCAAAAACGCGAGAAAAAGGGAAGAAAUGAGCAAUGAACUCGGUUGCCCUCGACCUCCUUUUAUAGGGGCUGGAACUUCAAAUUACGUUGGGCGUAAUAUGAAAUUACGCUGGGCGUAAUGACGAUAGGGUCGCUGACUCCCCCCAUGGAUAAUAUCGGUUAAUAUAUAUUUAAAUUAAAUAUCGAAAAUAUUUAAUAAACUUCAAAAAUUCAUAUCUUCAUCAUACGAACUCCGUUUUCGACAUUCUUUAUAUUCACGCGUAGGUGAGACUACGAUCUACAACUUUCAUUUGGACUCCAUCUACUAAUUUUGACUUUAUUUUUAUUAUUUAUUUUUAGUAGGCCGGGACAGGAAAAUUCCAUUAUAAAUUCAUAACUUCUUCAUCCGACGUCCGUUUUCGCCUAUCUUUUUAUAGUUUUACUCCUAUUAACGAGACCUUCAAUUAUAAUUUAGAUUGUUUCGGCUAAAAACCGCUCGGUCUCAAAUCGAGUAUUCGGGCUGCAUACCGCUAAGUCGAAACUUCAAAAAAUCAUAACUUCCCCAUACGAAGUCAAAUUUGGGCGUUCUUUUUAUGCACGCUCACAGUUUAACGUAUUCUACGACUUUCAUUUAGAUUGCUAAGGCUAAAUAUCGCUCUAACUUAAAUUCACUUUUUACGUCGCGCUGUGUCGUGUCGGUUCUGUCUCGAAACUUCGACAGGUCAUAACUUCUUCGUUAUAACUCGGAUUUCGGCGUUCUUUAUAUGUACGGAAUCCUUGUAACAUAUACUACAACUUAGUUAAGAUUAUUCAUUCUAAAUAAUCUUUCAUCAAAAAUUCAUUUUUGACGCCUAUCGUCUCUAAAUUGACUAGCCCUGAUCUACGGGCGUUACACCACUCGACGGUUACACACGCAUACAUAAAUUGGGGAAACCUCAACCGACUCGCCAAGUUGUUCAUACAACUCGUCGAGUUCUAUGGCAAUCUUCAUCGGACUCGUCAAGUUGUUCAUCCAACUCGUCAGGUCCAGACCUAUCUUCAUAUGACUCGUCGAGUCGACCUUGCGACUCAUCGAGUUCCUUCAGUCCUUAAGCCAUACAGGCUCUUUUAAGCCAUGCAAUGGCUCCAAAUUACAAAUCCAAGCUCUUAAGGCAUGCUUUUCAUGUAAAGUUGCACUUUACGUGNAAACUUUACGUGCAUGCAUAGCUAAAAAGGCUCUAAAUGUCAAAUCCAAGCUCACAGUGGGGUUUCAUACUCAAGGAAAGCUUCAUACAUGGUCAAACUCGGAGCUUUAUGACUCUAGGACCCAAGAAGGGUCCCGAUCUGAAGUUACAACUUCAGAUCUAGCUCAUAUCCCACAAUAUCAUCACAUUCAAACCAUAAAAACCCUAGAUCUCAACCAAAUGAGGUCUAGAAAGAAAAAUGAGGUAAAGGUGGCGUCUUGAUACCUCCAAAUGAUGCUAACUGAGGUAGAUUUUUGAUUCCCACACCUUCCUUGCUCCUAGUCUCUUGCCCUCCAAGCUCUUCCUUUCCAAAAACAUUCUUUCUAAAGCUCAAGACACAUAACAAUGAAGCACCACACGAAUUAGGGUUUCUAUGAGCUCUCAAGGACUACAAAGAGGCCAAAGGAGGCUUAAGCCUCUUUAAAUAGGGUGCAAACCCCAAGGAUUUAGGGUUUCAUCUGCGAACUCCUACUCGUCGAGUCCCUUCAUGGACUAGGCGAGUAGGUCACUAAACAUGUGAUCCCACCCUGCUGCUACUCGACGAGUAGUGCAACCAACUCGUCAAGCAGGACUUAAAACCAAAGAAAUUCUUAUUUACAUCAAUACCUAAGAAUCGGGGCGUUAUAUAUAUAUAUAUAUAUAUAGUUGAGUGACUCCGACAUAACUAGCAUCAUGAGUGAGUCGGUUAAGGCGUGGGACAUAUGAACAUGAGGUGUCUAGGGUUUGAACAUUAUCUUUAAUAGUAUUUUGUUAUUGUGAGACGAAAGAUCUUGUGUAAAGUGGAUCUUUCUUCUUUUGCCUUAGUGUAUGAUAUGGAACAAGUAGUAGCUUCUUCUUGUUUAUUUGUGCCUCACAAAUGGUGUUAGAUGCGAUUAUCUUGACGGAUUGGUGGUAUUUAUGGAAUAUUUUAUUAAGUGUGUUUUUGAUAGUUGUUGACCGAAAAAGGAUAGGCUUAUGGGUGAUAUUAUUGCGAGUUCUUUUUGUCGGGUUGUACAUAGAAACAAAAUUUUCAUACAGACUAGAACUUAUCGCUUCAAAACCCAAAUUUAAACACUUUGAUAUAACGUUUUCUUUAUCAUAGCUUUUUGUUAAUGCCUUUUUAUUUUAUAUAUUUAGUCGUUCAAAAAAGGUGAUACAAAACCAAAGCAUGUUGUUUAAAUCUAGUACUUAUGUGAAGACAUUAAUCAAAUUUGUAAGACAUAAGAUCCCAUGUUUACUAUCUACCAUGGAGAGCUCAAAUAUUGAUCAGGGAAUUUAUAAAUAAGAGAGCACUUCCUCAUCAUGUAAACAAAAUAAGUAGGUCAACAUAAUGAGGUGCAUACUAACUUUCUUGUACUAAUUAUGGAUUCAAAUCAUUAUCACAUUCACUAAAACAACAAACAAACAAUAUAACACUCACACAUAUGCCAAAAACAUGAAUGUUGAUAUGACCUUAUUUAACUAUAUAUUUUAAGCUAUUUUCUUAAUAUAGUUGAUUAAAAUGUUAUAUUUAAGAUAUAUGAUACUUAAUAUGCUUUAAAAUGUUCAACUACAGUUACAAUCAGAGUUAAGAUGCAAAAGGAAGAGAAAGAAGCUAAAAGGGACAAAAAAACGAAGAAAUCCGGAAAAGAACUGAUAGACGCACCGCACCCUUAAGAAAAUUCCAAAACUUCUCGAAUAAUGCCCGUCUCAAUAUAUGUGUUCAUGUGCAACAAGGAAGCCCGACACCGCAAAGUGGUGAGACCUGUACCACGCCGUGGCAUCAUAAUUUUAUAAAUAUAUAGGUUUUGCAACCCUAAUUCGAAUGCCAACUUAUACUAACUUGGAAAGCUAGUUAUUAGAUGAUUACAACCGUUUUUUAGAGAUGAAGAACACCAUUGAAGUGUGUAUUUGAAGAUCAAGAGAGAAUUCAUCGAUUUUAUCGUUUCGGUUUGUGUUAUAUCAUGCAUCCCAAUUUCGAAUUCGUUAAGUUUUGUUUUUUAGUUAUGAUGCAAGGCUAAAAAUCUUACUACUUUCACUAGAUGUAGAUGAAUCAUAGUUAAUAUGUUUUGAUUUUGUUAGUAGGAUUAUGUGAGUUGGAUUUAAACUUGUGUUCGAUGGAUUUAAACUUGUGUUCGAUUGACUGUUUAUCUUUCAUGUUAAAGUUAUGAUUUUUAUUACCUACAUGUGAGUUAUGUGUAGUUUAAAUGAUCAAUCUAGUUACAUUAGUUUGAUUCUUAACUCUUUAUGAUCAUUAAAUUGUUAAGAGUAGAUAUUUAUUUAAUCCUAAAGUUAGGUAAUAUAAAUUAUUAAUUUUGAUUGUGUUAUAGAAUAAUAGAUAUCCACACUAUGCUUGAUUUAUUUAUGAUAAUUGAUAAGAAAUCGUUAGAUCAUAACGUUCAUAGUUGAAUUUAUUUAAAUGAUUUCGUGUCCACUAAUUGUUUGAUCAUUGAGAUUAGAUGUUCAUUAAUCAUUGAUACUAGGAAUUCCGACCAAGAUAAUUAGUCAUAAAAUUCGGUAACAUACUCAUUGAUCCAUUACAUACUAACGAGCCAAACAUAAAAAACUAAGGGAUUCGUAUUCUAGUGGAAAUAUUUCAAAUCUGAACUAGUUUUUUGUUUUUGUUUGCUUAAUUUGAGUGUUUAAAACAAGUUUAUAAUUUAAACAAAAACCUCCCUCUUUACUUUUAUGUCUUUAGUUUAACUAUUAUCUUAUUUGUUUGAAUGAAAAUCAUAACCGUUCCUUACGAGUUCGACAACCAUUCUUACCUUAAACUAUAUUACUUUACGACUAAGUACAUUGUCUAUUUGUGAUUUCAAAAGUAAUUGAGAUUCGAUAAGACUUUACAAAUUUAAAACUACUAGUUUAUAAAUAACAUAUCAAAUGUUGAUUUUGUGAAUGAUGGAUUAGGAUGGCAGGGAGGGAGGGAAGGGGUUUUCACUUUUUGGCUUACAAGUGAACAGGAAGGAGAUAGGAAAGGUGUGGUGGGAUAUGGUAAGUUUUGGUGGGCCCAUGUAUUUAAUUUUCUUUUAUAAUUAAUUUAGAUAACUAAUAUCAAUAAAUAUAAUCCAACAAAGUAUGAUUUAAAGCGUAUUUGGCACAGAGCAUUUAGAGUUUCUAGCUUCUAGUGUUUGACAAAACACUCCGUUUUGAACAAAAGGUCUCGUUUGGCACUACAAGCUUCUAGCGUUUAGUUUGAACGAAACGCUCGAAAUUCAAGUGAUAUUUCACGUAGCAUUUAACAAAACUCUACUAGCUAAAAAUUAUCCACUACAAGCUACCUGCUACCAGCUAUUUUUGCCGAACACGCCCUUAAUCACUUUACGCUGGCCUUGGACCAAAAUCAUUAAAAAGCCCAAAAUUAUAGACAAAAUUUUGACCAAAAAAUGUUUUGGAUUGAAAAAGCAUUUUUUGACAACCACAUUGACCAAUUUUCUAGGGAGUUAUCUAAUGGACAAAUCAAAUUAACCAUACAAAACUAUAAUUUCAUUGAAAUGUGGUUACCGGUUUGAAAAACACAGUUUAAUAUUAAACAUACCGGUGAUUUUAGUGUCUCUUAAACAUUUAAGCAGUUAGAAUUUAUACGAAUGUUAAAAGGACUUAGACUGUGAUAAAAUACAAGUUAGGCGACAUAUAUUGUAUAUUUGUAUAUGGAUAACUUGGUUACGAAGAAUUUCGGACCAUGGGUGUCGUGAGAUUAGAUGAACAACUUAGGGGUAAAUUAAAUCAGUUUGGUCAACUUGGGGUUGACUUUGUUCAACUUAUAGAUGUGGCUACAUUUGGUCGCAUCAAAGGCUACAUAUAAUGUAUAGGAUAGUUCUAUUACAAGUGUAAUUUGGUAUUAUAUUUACGUUUUACACACAUUAAUUUCUUUCUGUAAUUUUUUAAGUAGCCAUAUAUAGUUUUAGAGAUAGAUCUAAUAAUGCUCAAAGUCUAUAUAUCGAUAUAUAUUUUAUAAUUGAUGACAUUAAAUCAUUAUAGUUUAAAAUAAAUAUUUAUCUUUUACAAUAUUAAUUUGAUUUUUUUACUAAUAGACUAGGCACCGAUAGACACCAACUAAAAUUUACGAAAUCAACCAAAAAUGAUGGUUCUUGGAAUAUAGGAAUCACACGUAGUUCUUUGGAUUUUAGAACCGGUGAUAAAAUAGAUGAGAAACAACUACAAUAAAUUUACAUGUUUUAAAUCAUUUGAAUUAAUUAUUAGUUAAACAAUGGGAANNNNNNNNNNNNNNNNNNNNNNNNNNNNNNNNNNNNNNNNNNNNNNNNNNNNNNUAUAUAUAUAUAUAUAACAAAUAGAAAUAGAGGACAAACUUUAAAAACUUAAGGUUAGAAGUGUCUUUUAAUUUUAAAAGCUUUUUUUUAUAUAUUGUGCAAAAAGCAGACAAAAUAUAUGUUUUUAUUCCGAAAAACAAACAAGUUUUGAUAAGAGAAAUAAAUUAUGCUUCCAUUUUUUUUAUCCAUCAUCUUAUCAUUUUUAAAUGUUGACAAAUAUAAUAAAAUGUUAUUAAUUUGAUUAAAUAUUACUGAUGUCAUAAUCGUAAAUGCAUAGGAAGAUAAUAGAAAAAAUAGGCCCAAAAAAUAUAUAUAACAAUAUUUGAUUUCCUUUUAAUAUAAAUGUUUCCGCCCACAGAAAAAGAUUUUUUUUAAGAAAAUAAACACCGCCUAAGUGGACAACCUGGAAGAUCUUUAGACGGAACUUCCCCUUGCCCACCGGUGAGUGAAUGUGAGUCGGUGUAUCAUAUGCACAAAGCGGAAAGACUGUAGCCUUUCUUACCAUAUUAAUUAAUAACAUAACGAGAAAAUAAGCGGAUGGGUUUAUAACAACUUGUCUCUCUCAUAUAAACAAAGCAAAAUAUAUAAAUAAGUAGAGGACAACUUGGUUUUAAUUUAUUCCAAAUAUUAUUUAGCCAAAUCUGUAAUUUUGGACUUGAGAUCGUACUAAAAUAAUAUCAGAACAAUAGUGCCUUAAGAUGCGACGUUAGCUUAAGCAUUUUGAUUUUUGUGUAUAUAAAUAAAUAAAUAGAGGACUUAUUGCAUAUUACACUUUUAAAUUUUCUGAAUAUAAAAAUGUGGAUAAAGAUUGUAUAGUUAUAAAAAAUAACCUAUAAUAUCUGACAUGUGAAUCUCAUGCCCAAAUGUUGUAUAAUAAAGUAUUAAAAACAUGUGAAUAUAGCAUAAUUUUAUCGUCUCAAAAAAGCAAAAGGUUAAAUUGACGAUUACUCCUUUGGAUUCGAAUUUUCUGAGUUUAAAACACGUCAUUGAAAAUUAAUUACUACUAUAUAUAUCAUAAUAAUAGGUGGAUUCGGUUUUAUAUAUAGCAUAUUAAAUAUACUUCAAAUGAUUGAUUACAUAUAUAGCUAUCUUUUAAAUAUGUAGAAAACUUCAAAGUUACCCCAUUACAGCUUCGUUUUUUUAAAAACAAGUAUCCCCACCACCUUUCCUUAACAAGAGAAAGACUUAAACGAAUCGUAUAAAAACAGAGAACCCACUUUGCUUUCUUUAUGUUUUGACUUUCAAUUUUAAAGUAACAAUUCCUAAAAUUUAACGGAAAUAUCGCAUACGAAGAUCCUUACACUGAAUGCAUACCCAUGGAAAUUGUGGAGGAUCCAAGCAAUAAGAAUGAACACAACGUAUCUGACAACUAUCACAUCUCACUAGAAGCUCCUCAGGUUCAACACAACCACACUGGUAGCAAACUGGUGUUGAUGGUAUUGAUCCCUGUUCAACAAAAAUUAAAAACAAAAAACCAAAUUCAAUAAUGAACAAGACUUUAUAAACAAUAUGACCUGAAUUUUAUGAUGAAGAUUUACCAAGGUAUGAAAUGUGGAUGCUUCUGCAUGCGGAAGAAUGUAUACAUCCAUGGAGGCAUUCUCAUUAGGAACUGUUUGAGAGUAUAUUUUCUGAUCAGAAGAUAAAGCAUCUUCCAUCUUCUUUAUGCUGUAAAAACUGGCCUUACACAAAGGACAUGUGGAAACCUUUUUCAUAGAAGCCUGUAAGCAAUAAGUUUGGAGUGAGUGAAUAACUGAAUAUAAACAUAAUUUAUGUAAAAUAUGGUAAAAAGGAUAAAAUUAUAGAUACCAUAUGAUCUGCCCAAUUCUGAAUGCAUGAAAAACAGAAGCGAUGUCCACAUGGAAGAACUCCUCUAGUUGAACUAAAAUCUGUCCAGCAUAUAACACAUGAUAACUGAUGUGGUGUUGUAGAUAAUUUCCUUCCAUUACAUUUAUCAUCAUCAACUUCUGAAGAGUUAUUUACAGGAUUCCUUGUGUUAGAGUCUGGAUCUUGAAGAUUACAACAAGUCCCUAAAUCUUCAAUCUUUUCAAGAUCCUCCAAGAUUAAAGGUCUUUUCUCAUGAUCUUGAAAGCUUUUUCUGAAAAGUCUUCUGCUUUUUUGCCUCCCAGAAGAAUUAGAAGGCUCGCCAAUGUCAACAACAUUGUGGUGAAUUUCUGUGUGUUGGGAAUUUUCCUCUGAAUCUGAACAAGACUUGAGCUCGUUACAUAUAUUCUUAAGAAUCAGCCUAUGACCUCCUUUGGAGGAUUCAGAACAGUCCUUAUUUUGUCUGUUAGUACAUUUUCUCUUUAAUCUAUUGGAACGGAUCUUAUUUUGUCUCACAUCAGGAAGCAGAUUCUACAUAGAAAACAACAUGCAGAAAUUGUUAGCCACAUGAUGGCAGAAAGUAGGAAAGACAAGAUAAGAUGCAUAUCCUAGUAAAAAGUUUCAUGACUUAAAACACCAUAUGAGGUAAUUAAGCUUUGGCAAUAGAUUCAUAGUGAGUAUAAGAGAUCACAUCUAACCUCUUUCAACAACCAAGAAUCUUUCCAAUCAUCAUCGCCACUUUCACCAUCUUCAAUGUUAAUCACAGGAUUUUCCGAGAAGUUGCUGGUGGUAGGUACCUCUCCAAAUACACUUCUUACUUCAUUAGCAACAACUGGGGCCUCCAACAGCAAGGGCCCCACCUCAAACCCACUGCAAAAUUAUGAAAUCAGAUGAAGGACAAGUGGGAUUACACAUUUCAUUUUCAUUGAGGGUAUAACUUAUGAGUUGCACAUUAGUAAAGUGGAUGAUGAGCUUGUUCUACCCAAGGUUACACUGGUGAAACUAGAAUUAGGAACACACUCUAUUAGUGCAAUCAAACAAUUAAACUUCUUUUACAAGCUUCACAACAGAAAAAAAAAAAAAAAAAAGGCUUUGGUAAAUGGCAAUCAUACCAGUGUUUCAUAUAGGGACGCUCAGAAACUCGCCUGCCUUGGUUUAUACAGUCCUCAAUCCAUCGAUGAUUCACCACGAUUAUCUUAAAUUUCCUGGCAAGUUCAUAUUUCUUCCCCUCAAAUUUGCGACACACCUAAACAAGCAACCGGAAAUAUACAAUCUUUUAGGUUUAGUAUCACUAUGAUUACAUGAAUUACUAAAAAUGAUCUAAAAAUAUGCAAAGCUUCGAAAAGGAAAAACAUACCAAAUGCGUGGUAGAGGGAUUCAUUGCUCCAACAUAACUUGCACCAGAUUGAGAUACUAAUUUGAUAAGUUUAAAUCGCUCAGAUCCGUGGUAUCCACUAACCGUAGCGACAACUGAAUCCAUAAUUCGAACAAAGACCUAGACGCAGCCCUAAAAUUAGAGGUUUAGGGCUAGAAAAGUGCACAGCCUAAUACAAUGCAUUGUUUAUAAAUCAAAAGGACAUUCCAAAGUCUAAGUCACACUUAGUUAAUAGAGAGAUAGAGAGACCUUUUAGGAUUACCGCCGAGCAAAGAUCGUCUGUGUAGCUGCCGAUGACGGUGGCGCAGAGGCUUAGCGGGAAGGUUGAAAAUUUGAAUCUUGUAAUGUCCCCUGAACGUUUCCGAUAAAAGAUUUCUUUAUAAAUUUACCUUAACGUGUGCACAAAAAUAUUGUUGGAAAAAUAACAUAAAAAUCUUUUACAUAAUUUUAUUGGUUUUAGUAAGGUUUUUUUUUAUCUCGUAAUUUCGGUUCUACUUUCUAGUUUUAUCAUUUUUUUUUUUUAUUUCUUUAUCCGUUUUUAGGUUUACUCCAAAAAAUUCCUCCCAUUUUUAUUAGUUUUUUUCUUUUUUUAACAGGACUAUAAAGAGAAAUUAAAAGAAUGCUAACAAGCGGGUUCGAACUCAUGACCUAUCAUAUGUAAUAGAUAUUAGGUCAUCCGUUAUAUCCACCACUAACCACUAUAGUGGUGGGUGCCACCUCAUCACCACAUUCAACCACUAAACCUAUGGGAUACCCACCACUAUAUGCUUCUUAUUUUUUUAUUUUUAAAUUAAAAAUAUAUUUUUUUUAAUUAAUUAAAAUGUAGAGAGAGGUAGAGAGAGAUAGAGAGACAUGGAGAGAGAAAAAAAUUGAUUGGAUGUUGUUGUCCGUUCUCCCCACCACAUUUGACCACGAAUUUUUCCACCACUAGCCACCACUAAGAGUAUGGGAUGGUGUUCACAUUUUUUGUUCGUGGCCACAUAGACCACGAACAUGCUCGUUAUAAGUAUACCAUAAGGCCUUAGGGAUGAGAAUUUGACUCGGAAACCUGAACCGAAACGAAACCCAACCCGAACCGAAUUAGGCUCGAAUAAGCAAUUCGAUUCGGGUUUUAUGUAUCUAUAUUAUGCUUAUUAUAUUCGGGUUACCCAAAUAAGAGCUUAUUCGGUUGUAAAUACCUGACCCGAAUAAGCAUUUCUCGUCCCCUUUCUCUUAUCGACAGAAAUCAAUAUCACGAUUCACACUUUAGUCGUCGUCGUUCAUAAACAGAAAAAAAAACCCUACGCUCGUUCUCGUCAUUUCAAAAUCGACCAAUAUUCUCAACUAUUUUGAAACUCGAAAAACUUCUGUCGUUCCUAAUUCUUGUUUUGGACUUUCAAAAUUCGACCAUUCCUAUUGUCUCUAAGGAUUCAUGAAUUCCUACUUUGUCUAGUCAUUGAAAAUUAGGCUCCAUCUCAAGAAACUCAAGUAAGAAAUUAAGUAUCAUCUUAAUCUACUAUGUAAAUGUCAUUAUUUCAAUGUGUUAUUGUGUUAUGAUAGUCUUUGAAUGUUUUACCUAAUUACCUUGAUGUAUAAAAGUACAUUGUUAUUCUAUUAUUCGGGUUAUAGAAUCCUAAUACGGUUUAUUCGUUUUUUUUUUCGCUUAUAUUAGGUCCUUGAUCAUCUUGUACAUGUUAUUCGGCUUAUUUGGGUGAUAACCGAACCGAUUAAUACUCGAACCGACCCGAACCCGUAUUGGUUAAUCAGUUCGGUUUUCGGUUCAUACAAUUACCCUUAUUCGUUUUUCGGAUUACUCGGGUUCGGGUCAGUUCGGUUCGGUUCCGACCCGAAUAACAUCUCUACAUAUGCCUUGCUAGAGAACCAAAUAACCUUUUUGUAGUUAGAGAUACUAUAAUUACAAUAAUGAGGUUUUUCUAUAAUUUUAUAAGUUUUUUUUUUUUGGAAUAGCAAUCCAAAAACAUUAUUGAUAUUGAAUUCAACUUGAACAAGUUAAUAUCUAUUAUGAUGCCUAAUACAUGAAUAAACAUAAGAGUAAGCAUCCAUAUAAUUUCAUACAUAUCUUUUAAGUGUUUCAAUGUGAUUAUCAUAGUCAUCUUUAAAAGAAUUAGUAAGGUGAUGUUUUUUUCUAAAAACAAAAACAUUUUCAGACCAUUUUUUGUUGCGUGACGUAGCAUUUGCCCUUUCGCAGCAAUUUAUUUUUCUAGAAGACUUCAGAGUACAAAACUUUUGCGUGUGUUCUGCACGGCGCAACACUUGACUUGUCAAUUCAAACAUCUUCAACUUUCAUUUUUUUUCAAGUGAAUUUUUUCAGAGUUUUGGUAUAACCUUUUUUUACUUUGAUAUUUUUUUUUAACUUUGAUUUAUGGAUUUGAUACAUUUUCUUUUUAUAGUUUCCACACUUUUUUUAUAACUUGAUUUUUUUUAUCGUUUAUGUUAAUAAUAUUUUCAGUUCUGGUUGUAUCUUUUUUAACAUGUGUAUUUUUUUAUGAACUUUGUUGACAUCGUUUGCAAUAUGUUCUUAAUUUUUUUAUUAUUUUCUUCUUUUAUGUUUUUUUAUAAAUUAUUUUUUUUAAAUAAAACUGAUAGCUUCUUUUACAUUUUUUAUAUUUUUUUUCGAAAUUUUAUAUUUUUGUUUUUUUACAUGUUCUUUUUAGUAUUCUUUCAAUGUUUUAAGACUAAGAUUAUUAACAUUUCAAUGUUGAGAACUAUUUUCAGUUUAUAAAAUUAGUUUAGUUCAAUACUGCAGAUGUUAAAAAACAAACAUGUUUUUAUUACAGGCUGCAGCCGUUUGAUCCACCUAUUCUGCUUCAGAGGGUUGCAGAGGUGAUCCGCAUGCUUCAUAAAUUUUCACUUUGAAAAAAAAAACAACACCAAGUGAAUCCCAAUAGAUAUACUAGUAACAACAACUAUAUUUUGUUAAAAAAUAUCCAAUCAACAUGAAUAAAAAAAAAAAUCAAUAAAAUCAACAAGUUGUAUAAAAAUUAUGGAAUAAAAGAAAAAAAACAUCAAGUGAGUUUCGUAGAUCACUUUGUGAUUAAAUAAUCACACGUGCAUUAUUAAUAUUAUUUUUAUUUUUAUUUUAAAUGAUCUACUCUAAUAAAUGAAGGUGUGUUUGCCAUAUAUCAUACUUUCAUUCAAUUUCUCAAAUGUCAUUUUAUGGUUAUUUUGAAUUAAUUUUUCUUUCACAUGUCAUUUUAUAGGUUUCCUAUUUUAAUGAAUUUCGUAUAACAUUUUAAUGUAAUAAUUACAAUAAAUAUAGUAAUAAAUAAAUAUCAAUUUCAUUAAUUGACUUACCUUUUUAUUUCGAAAUUUUCAAAUUAAAGCACAUUAGUUUAUUUUGUUUAUUUAUUUAAAUUUAAAAGAUAAAAAAAUCAAUUUUAAUAAUUUAUUAUUUUUUUUAUUUUCUUAUAAAUUCAAAGUUUUUAAAUAUUUAGACGACAAAAUUGCAAAAGUGGUCCAUGUGGUAUGUAUUUUGUUGGGGUUUUAGUCCAAACCCCGACUUUUUUGGAUUGGUGAUCAUUUUGAGCUAUUUUGCUCGCAGUUUUGGUCUCUGUCCAAACUAAAAAGACAAUUAUAUCCUUAAUGAAUUUAUUUUUCAUUUUUCUUUCACUUUUUAAUAAUAUUAUUAUUAAAUAUAAAAGUGGGCCCACUUAUCCACCCAUCCUUCUCUCUCCCUCCUCUCUCUCUCUCUCUCUCUCUCUCUCUCUCUCUCUCUUUGAGUGUGUAUUCUACUGUAUGAAAAAUAUUUUCCCAUAUCUUCAUCUUCUUGAUUCCAAUCAUCCACCAACACUGAUGGCAUGGCUACCCAAGCUUCCCUCUUUGCAUUCGUAAUCCCCAAUCAAACCUCCCCAUGGAAAUAAUCGCAACUCACCUCCUUCAACAACGUCAAACCAUCCAAACCCACCACCCCUUUCACCACCAUCAAGGUUGCGGUGACAGGGGAGGUCCCCACCAAAGAAGCUCCGAUGGGAUUUAUCCCACCUGAACUCGACCCCAACACCUCAUCUCCAAUCUUCGCUGGAAUACCCCACCGGAACAGCUCCCUCCGGCACUCCCUGUUGCCAUGGUAAAAACCCACCACUACUGGGUUUAUUUUGCUUAGUACAGGAGCCCCAAACAUCCCCGACCCUUACUCCUUCCUCCCCUCGUAUCUCACAUGUCAAUUUCUCCCCCCUUAUCGGCCACCGGAGCAGUUCCCUACAACAACCCCUCUAGAUUUCUUCCCCCUUUAUCGUCUCACCCCUUUCUCACCGAACUAGAAUAAGCUUUAGGGAUUUCAAAAGAUGAGGCGAUUCAUAACAUCUUAUUCACAGUUUUGUUUCAAUACUUUUGGGGGAUCAAGAUUUUGUUUCCCAAUAUACUGAAAUGGCUCGGCCGUGCCGGAACUAAUUUACAUACCCAGUUAGCGAAGGAGAUCAUAGGUGCGAUCAAAACCCACGAUGGUGGGAAGGUGACGAUGGCGGCAAUGGAGCAGAUGCCCUUGAUGAAAUCUGUGGUCUACGAGUCUCUUCGAAUCGAAUCACCUAUAGUCUUACAAUCGAAUCACAUGACGCCAUUUUCAAAGUGAAAGAAGGGAAUAUGUUAUUCGGAUACCAGCCAUUUGCGACCAAGGAUCCCAAAGUGUGUGACCGUGCGGAAGAACUUGUUCUGAAUCAGUUUGUGGGUGACGGCGAGAAGCUUUUGAAUUAUGUGUCGUGGUCAAACGCCUUGAACGAGCUUGAAGAAUGAUUGAGCUAUGUCUAAACCUUCUUGAUCCAAGGUUGAAGAUGAUGCGGUUUUCUGCAUUUUAUACCACUUUGACAGAGACGGUGGUUUGGGUUUUUUGGAGAGAGAGAGAGAGAGAUGUGGGCCAAAUUAGUUAAUUAAUUUAUUUUUCAUUUAAAUUAAAUAGAAAACGCAUAAAAAAAAUAUAUCAGAAGGGCAUAAUAGUCUUUUCAGUUUAGCGGGGGACCAAAAACGCAACGAAACUAGGUCAAAAGGACCACCAAUCCAAAAAAGUCGUGGUUUAGACUAAAACCCCAAAAAAAUAUAUACCACAGGGACCAUUUUUGCAAUUUUGUCUAUUUAGACCUUCAUAUUUAAUUUUUUUAAUCAACCUAUGUAAUAUAUAGGUCUUACACCUUGUAAUUCUAAUAUACUCUUACCAACGUCAUCUAUGUUACAAAUGAAACUUUAAUCAUCAAUCUUAUAAAGAAAUAAAAUGAAGGAAAUACAUACAUUAUUUAAGGCAAUUUAGUAAUUUUAAUUUAUAAAUUAAAUAAGGCAAUUUAGUAAAUUUAAUUUCGGAAGGGACAAAAUACAUAAAGAAAUAUGCUGAAAAAGACUAAUUUUACAAAUGUCAUAAGGUUUGGACUGAAUACUGGAAAAAAUACAAACCAUAGGGACCAUUUUUGCAGUUUUGUCAAAAAUACAUUAUAACCAUUAUAUAUCUUUAUUUAUUUCCAUUAGUAUUUUCGUCCCCCAUAUAACUGCUCGAAAAAAUAAAGUUAUGUAGUAUUUGCCAAAUAACUUCCAAGAAAGCAACCUCAUCACUGUAACUUUCAAAUCAACCCAGAAUAUCACAUCAAAUAAAAAAAACAAAAUCAAGAUUAGUUCAUUUUCCAAACACAAGCUACUCUAUCUCCGGGCAGGGUGGUUACCAUCCACCACUGGCGGCGGUGGCGGCUGUAUUCCCUGAAACCCACUUCCACCAUGACCAGUCACCGCCACUGAACCAUACGAAACAUUAGCCGCAUCUUGUGCAUCAGAAUUAGAUCCUCUCCGUGCAUCAUAACCGGACCCACGUUGCAUAUCAUAACCAGGUCCUCUGUACAAAUCAUAACCAGGUCCUACUCUAUGCGGAUCAUAUCUCUGUGGCUCAUACCCUGGUCCUCUUUGUGGUUCAUAAGGUGGUGCACCAGGACCCGGUCCUUUAUGAAGACCAUAACCUGGAACCACUGGUCCAGGUCCAUAACCUGGAGCAGCACCCGCAACACCAUAGGCUGAUUCAAAAGUGUGUUGUCCUACAGGAUUAUGUCCAGAAGCUUCUUUCUCAUUGUAACCAGCAUAGGGCCCACCUGCAAUGUAAUUUGGAAGAAAAAAAAAAUCAACAAAUUUAAAAGCAGAAAUAUCAUAUCACAAAUGACGUACCCGCCCUCCUGUCGUUUUCAGCGUGUUUCUUUAAUUCAGCUCGAAGCUUUUCCACUUCGCUUGCCAUUGUCAUAUAGUUCUUUUCCAUCACCUGAAGAGACUCUAAAUGAUCGUUGUAAACUUUCUUCUCAUACUCAUAAGUUGCCCUACAAUGCUGAUACUCUUGUCUAAGCAUAUCAAGUUCUGACAUCAAAGCAGGAACCUGUUGCAAAUCCAUGUGAACUCUCUGAUGAUCUUCUGUUAGUUUCUGUACUCUUGUAACGAGUUCUUCCCUAGCUGAAACCAAGCUCUGUGCCUCUGUUCGUGCCUGAUGCAGUUCUAGUUUAAGUGGCUCUGCACCUUGGAGAUCUGCUUCCAUUUUCCCGAUUUUGUCUAAGAUCCCCAUUAUUUGAUGUUCUCUUUCUGAUUUUACACCUCCUAUGUGGUUAUGUAACAUUUGUAGCUCAUGUUGUAUGGCUGCAACAUCAUGCCUCAAGGUUCCAUGAGUAGCAGCUAACCUUUGGUUUUCUGUUGCAAGUUUCUGCAUUUCCAUGUGCUGUGCAGCAAGCUUUUGUUCCAUGAUUUCUGGAUGUGGUAACAUAUCAUAUGGAGGAAAACGACCAUGUUGAGGAUGGAUUUCAGGAGGAAUGGAAUCAUGAUGUCCGAUUCCAGGGCCAGGUAGUGGACGCCUUAAAUGAUGAGGAGGAGGAAGUCUACCUUUGCUUCCCAUGGUGAUAAAUGGUAAAAUAGAUGAAACUGAGAGGAGACCAAAAUGAAUAAUCAGUAUCAGUGCAGUAAUUAUCUACACUUCCAUACAGAAGAUCUUCCAGGAAUCACAUGUGCUUGCAAACAGGCUGAUGAUUAAGUCUCUUAACCAUGUUUUAAUUCAUCAACAUAUAUAACCUGAUGGUUAAUUAACUCCAUUUUCGCGGUCUUCCUAAAACACAAUCAACAACUCGUUUUCCUCCGAACUCAACAAUUUACAGACUUUAACAGAUGCAACUUUAGGGCAAUAAUGAUAUUGGAGAUGAGAAAUAAGUUUACACUGCUUCACUCGGUAACAAGAUGGCUUAAAUGCAAAAUGGGGGAAAUCGAAUUUCUCAGAGAAGUCAAAUUAUGUUGGAAAACCACAGUUGGAUUGAAACCCUAGAAGGAAGUGGAAAUUACCUUUAGGUUAAUUUAAUCAAGACGAUCCGUGAAGGAGCUACGAGGCCGAUUUGAUGGUGAUGACCGACGAUGCAUAAAUUUCAUGCCCUAAUCUUCAAACGUAGUUUUCAUUUCCAUGUACAGAAAAAUCUGAUUUUGCAAAAAUGAAAUUUGGGCCGUAGUUAUCGAAGUUUCACGUCUGUACAGGAAGGUAGGAACCAGUGGGGCGUUUCAUUUCAUUCUUUUCUAAUUCUAACAACUUUGAUAAGUUCUAAUGUUUUAUAUUGUAUUUAAAUAUUAACUAGGAUUUUAAAACACCAUUUAAGAAUAAAAGUGAUAUUUAAAUAUAUAUAUANNNNNNNNNNNNNNNNNNNNNNNNNNNNNNNNNNNNNNNNNNNNNNNAUAGAGGUAGAAUAAGCCAUAUUUUGAAAGCUCGAAAUUAAACAGAUAAAAAUAACAUUUUACAAAGUAUAUAGGUGAAAAAAUAUUAUUUUUAGACUAAUAGGAGUGGGGGUCGCCACCGGGUUUGCUACACUCGCCAGCAAUCAAGGAACACCGCUCCUUAGCUCUCGCUAGGAGCGUCGCCACCGGAAUGGCUCAGAAUGGACUUGGGAGCCGGUGGAUGAGAUGAUGGAGCAUUACCCAUAGCUUUUCCAGGAACGAGCAGCAGACUUCGAGGAUGAAGUCUAAAAUAAGUAGGGAAGAUUUGCAGCAUCUGGUUCCUGGUAUGUAUUCUAUUUAAGUAUUUUGAAUUUUUGGCAUAGGACUCGGCGAGUUGAAGGCCCAACUCUUCGAGUUGAAGCGGAUUUGAUACGGGAUUAAAUGACGGACUCGUCGAGUCGGCUCCCAGACUCGACGAGUAGACUCUGACUGGACAAAACCUAACCUAAGGGUUUGCACCCUAUUUAAGCAUCUCAUCCAGCCACCCCUUCGUCCCUAUUGCUUCCAGAAACCCCCCAUAGCAAACCCUAACCGUUUGUGUAAAAAGCUAAGGCAUUUGUGGUGCUUUUUGGUGGUUUUGAACUCAAAGAAGAAGGAAAAGCCUAGAGGAAUCAAGAGAAGACCAAGGGAGUUCAAGCUUGUGCGCCAUUUGCAGUUCCCAUAAGGUAUAAAGUCGACACUUUGCUUCUUCAUUUGCUAGAUCCCUUUUUGGGGAGAUUUAUGGCUUUUAUUAGCCAUUCUUGGUAACCAACCAUGAUUGCACGCAUGGUUGGGGGUUGAGGCUUCGGAUCUAGGUCCAUGAAGGAGUUACAAGGCAGAAAAGGGAUGCUUUUGCACCCAUGGAAGCCCCCAUGCAACUUAAGAGUCUCUUUUAGAGCCUUUUAGGCUCUAAGUCCCAUGCAUGCACGUAAAGUUCGUAACUUUCUGUGCUAGAUCGAGUUUAGGGACCUAGAUCUAUCAUUUGGACAAGAGUUGUACACCAAAAAUCGAAGAAAUAGACUUGGACAGUAUCGACUCGGCGAGUCGUUCUUGGGACUCGGCGAGUCCGAGGUUAGACUUCCCUUUUCUGUUAUGGGUCAAAGAGACCCAGUGGAGUGCUGGAAAGGUUUUAGAGGGUCCCGAGGAGUGACCCAACGUAUUGGGAUAAGCCAUAGUCCUAGAGUUCGUUGGACCCGGCGAGUGCAUGAGCAGACUCGGCGAGUCCAAGGCAAUCUCCCAACUCUUGAAGAUGAACUAAACGAGUUGUUCAUAUAACUCGGUGAGUCGAGGGCAGGACUUGUUCAUAGGAUGGAGAUGAACUCGACGAGUUGUUCAUAAAACUCGGCAAGUCGGAUGAAGGUUCAUUCGAGGUUGUUUUAGAAGGAGAACUCGUCGAGUCGUUGCCAAACUCGACGAGUAGAGGCGUGAAGAAGGACAGAUGAAAGGAUAGGGACUCGACGAGUUAGCGGCCCAACUCAACGAGUCGGGUCAACUGGAAGUUGACUUUGACUUUGACUUUGACUUGGUCAGGGGUAAAAUAGUCAUUUUACCCUAAGAGUAGAUAUCAGGUUCUGACUGAGUGUUUUGUGGGGAUUAUAGCCGGAUGAUUUCCGGAGCAGCCGCAGACAAAGAUUUCUCGCGCAGGUUAUCAGCAGCUACUCGUUCGAGGUGAGUUACCUUCUAGUAGCAGUGGGUCUACGGCCACAAUGCCGGCCCAUUAGUAUGAGUUGUAUGUUAGAUGAUUGUCUUUUUGAUAUUCAUCUAGGUUUGCUACUACCUGAUACGUUAUGUGUCAGUAUGAGAUGAUGUUAUAUGCCAGUAGCAGUAGGGGAGAUAGUCCCCAAGAUUUCCGGUCGAUAGGGCCAAAGAGGGGUAGUCAUACCUAGUCAUACUAGAUAAAAUAUGAUUAUGUGAUUCAUGUUAUGUGGUAGUAGUAGAGGGGUGAAAUAGUCCCCAGUAUCUGGUCGAUAGGACCGAAGGGGUAGGCCAACACCCAUAUAUGCUAGGCAGUAUCCGGUUGACAGGACCGAAGGGGAGGCCAGCACCCAGAUAUGUUAGGCAGUAUCCAGUCGACAGGACCGAAGGGGUAGGUCGGGCACCCAGAUAUGCCUGACAGUAUAUGUAUGUUAUGUGAUUGUAUGUUAUGUGGUACGAUGGGGGAACUCACUAAGCUUCGUGCUUACAGUUUACAGUUUUGGUUUUAGGUACCUCUUCAGCGAAGGGGAAGGAGCUGGCGCGGUAGCAGCACAUCAUACACACACGCACUGAUUUUCCGCACUUGUGAUAUUCUGGGAUUGUACUCUGACAUAUUGCUAUCUUAUGAUUUGGGAUUUCAGGCAUGAUAUGUUGAUUUAUGAAAUGAUAUAUUUCUACGUAGUUUUCUUAUGAAUGUUUUUAUACUCAGUUAAUUAAAAUGAAAUUUUUGGACUCGAAAUUUGGGAUGUUACAAGUUGGUAUCAGAGCCCUGGUUUGAGGGAUUCAGACAUGCCCUCGGGGGUGUCUGGACUCAAAUCGAGGGAUCAAAAGAUUUGUUUUGAAGGAAAUGGUUUUCAAAAAGAUAAGUUAAAAGAGUUUUGGAAAAAGAACAAAGUGUGUGAUGUGCGCGACCGGCCGAGAUCAAGUACGUAUUCCCCAAAGUACCCAUACAAGUUUAUGUUAUGUUUAUCAGCUUCAGUAGAACAACAUGCUAGAAUAGGACUAAGGAUGCCUUAUGUGCAUGUUUUAUGUGUUUCAGCUUAUGAGAAUUACAUGCUAGUAUUGAGUAGACAAUAGUAGGAUAGCCUGUUUAGGUUAUGCCUGAUAGUAUGAGCUUAGUAUUGGAUACUAGUACUGUAACGACCCAAUUUUCAAGACCAAAAUUUUCUUUUUAAUUAACUGACUCAUAAAAACAUUCAUAAGAAUGUGAAAUCANNNNNNNNNNNNNNNNNNNNNNNNNNNNNNNNNNNNNNNNNNNNNNNNNNNNNNNNNNNNNNNNNNNNNNNNNNNNNNNNNNNNNNNNNNNNNNNNNNNNNNNNNNNNNNNNNNNNNNNNNNNNNNNNNNNNNNNNNNNNNNNNNNNNNNNNNNNNNNNNNNNNNNNNNNNNNNNNNNNNNNNNNNNNNNNNNNNNNNNNNNNNCCCACAUCCCACACAAUCACAUAGCAUACAUACUGUUGGGAAAUUAUGGGGUGCCCGACCUACCCGGUACGGCCAUUCUGGGGUGCCGACCUACCCAUGCGGCCAUCCUAGGGUGCCGUCCUACCCAUGUCAAACCAUUUCGGGGUGCUGACCUACCCAUGUCAAGCCAUUCUGGGGUGCUGACCUACCCUUCGGUCCGAACAAACGAACUUGGGGACUAUUCCCCUCCUACUACCACUAUCACAUAUAACAUAUCAUGUCAGCAUAUAAACAUAUCAGCACAUAUUAUCAGACAUAUCUGGGGUGUCUGACCUACCCUUUGGUCCUAACAACCGAACUCUACUACUAUCGCAUAUCAUGCCGACAUAUAACAUAUCAGGUAGUAGCAAACCUAGAUGAUAUCACAAAGACAAUCAUCUAACAUACAACUCCUACUGGUGGGCCGGAAUUAUGGCCGUAGACCCACCUCUACUGGAAGGUAACUCACCUCAAGCAAGUAGCUGCUGAUAAUUCGUGUGGGAAGUCUCUGUCUGCUGCUGCUCCGGAAAUCCUCCGGCUACAAUCCCCACAAAACACUUAGUCAGAAACUGACAUCUACUCUUAGGGUAAAAUGACUAUUUUACCUCCAAUCCAGGCCAAGUCAAAGUCAACUUCAAGUUGACCCGACUCGCCGAGUUGAUCCGUCAACUCGUCGAGUCCCUAAUCCUUAUCCAUGAAUCGACUUGUCGAGUUUGGCGAUGACUCGACGAGUUCCUCUUCUAUAAGAACAUCGAAUGUUCCUUCAUCCGAUCGCCGAGUUAUAUGAACAACUCGUCGAGUUCACCUUCAUCCGAUGAACAAGUCUUACCUUGACUCGUCGAGUUGUAUGAACAACUCGCCGAGUUCAUCUUCAAUCUUAAGGAGAUUGCCUUGGACUCGCCGAGUCUGUUCUAGCAGUCGUCGAGUCCCAUGAAUUCCAGGUCUAAAACUAAGUUCAAUGCGUUGGGUCACUCUUUUUUUCCUGCUACAACCCUUCUAACACCCAACUGGGUUCUUUUGACCCUCAACAGAUAUGGGACUCAAAGCCUUGGACUCGUCGAGUCCUAGGAACGGACUCGCCGAGUCGGUCAUGUCCACACUCUAAAUCCUCGAUUUUUAAUGUACAACCUUUGAUCAAAAGGCAGAUCCAAGCCCCUAGACUCGAUCUAGCACGUAAAGUUACAAACUUUACGUGCAUGCAUGGAAGAAUGAGCCCAAAUGACUCAAAAAGGAACUCCCAACAUGCAUGAGGCUUUCCAUGGGUUCUAAAACAGUUGCUUUCUGCCUUAGGGUCCCUCAAGAACCUUGGAUCCAAAACCCUAGCCCUCAACCAUGCUUGAAAUCAUGGUUGGUAGCUAAAAUGACUCUUAGAAGCCCUAACUUCCUUCAAGAAUAGAUCUAUAAUAAUAAUGAGCAAGGUAUAAGCUUUAUACCUCAAACGCACCGAGGAAGAUGCUCAAUCUCGGAUCCCUCUAACCUCUUCUUGUUUCUUCAAGCUUUUCCUUCCUUUCUUAGAUCACAAAAGCACCAAAAUCACUUAAAAGGCCUUAGAUCUUCACUCACACGAUUGGGUUUCGCUAUGGGGGUCUUGUGGGAGCAAAUGGGGGGAUGGGUGACUGAAUGAGAUGUUUAAAUAGGGUGCAAACCCUCAUAUUAGGGUUUUUGUCCAGCUAGGGCCUACUCGUCGAAUCCGGGACCCGACUCGCCAAGUCCAUCACUUAAGUCCCGCGUUCCGUCCCGCUUCUACUCGACGAGUUGGUCCUUCAACUCGCCGAGUCCAAGGCCAAAAAUGCAAAACACUUAGACAAAAAUAAAAAGAAAGGCGUACCAACAACCAGGUGCUACAAAUCUCCCCCACUUAUUUUAGACUUCGUCCUCGAAGUCUGCUACUUGUUCCUGAAACAGCUCUGGGUAAUGCUCCAUCAUCUCGUCCACCGGCUCCCAAGUCUAUUCCGAGCCCUUCCGGUGCUGCCAUUGCACCUUCACGAGCUCCACCCUCUUGUUCCUCAGAUCCUUCGUCUUCCGGUCGAGGAUCGCCACAGGUCUCUGGAUGUAAUUCAGGCUUUCAUCAACCUAAAUGUCCUCCAAGGGCACCACUGCUGAGUCGUCCACCAGACACUUUUGCAACUGGGAAACGUGGAAAGUGUUGUGGAUCUGACUGAGUUCGGAUGGCAAAUCCAGCCUAUACGCCACCUUGCCCACCCGGGCUAUAACCCUGAACGGUCUAAUGUACCUGGGGCCCAAUUUGCCCCGUUUCGUGUAUCGGAUAACGCCCUUCCAUGGCGACACCUUCAGGAGAACCAUAUCCCCGACCUGGAACUCCAGGUCUGAUCGACGGGUAUCGGCAUAACUUUUCUGCCGACUCUGAGCAAUCUGAAGCCUACUCCGGACCUGCUGAAUCCUCUCUGUCGUCUUAAGCACUACUUCAGUGCUCCCAAUUACCCUCUGUCCAACCUCGCCCCAACAUAUCGGGGUCCUGCACCUCCUCCCAUACAACAUCUCGAAAAGAGGGCAAUCAAUGCUUGCAUGAUAACUAUUGUUAUAGGAGAACUCUGCCAAUGGAAGGUAGGUAUCCUAACUACCUCCGAAGUCUAACACGCAUGCUUGCAGCAUAUCCUAAAGAGUCUGGAUGGUCUGCUCACUCUGACCAUCCGUCUGCAGGUGAAAGGCGGUGCUAAAGUGCAGACGAGUACCUAGCUCAUCAUGAAACUUCUUCCAAAACCUGGAAGUAAACCGCACACCCAUGUCUAAAAUCACCGAAACCGGCACCCCGUGUCGCGCCACCACCACCCUGAUAUAGAUGUUGGCCAACUUUUCGGCCGAAAUGCUCUCCUGAAUCGGGAUAAAAUGGUCACUCUUGGUCAAUCGAUCGACGAUGACCCAAAUCGAAUCCACUCCCCGCGCGGUCCUGGGAAGAUUUGUGAUAAAAUCCAUUGUAAUGUCUUCCCAUUUCCACAUCAUAAUAUCCAACGGAUGCAUCUUGUCAUGAGGUCUCUGAUGCUUGGCCUUGACCUUCCUGCAGAUCAAGCACCGCUCCACGUACCAUGCAACAUCCCGCUUCAUGCAGGGCCACCAAUAGUUGAGACGAAGGUCCCUAUACAUCUUUGUCUCCCUGGGAUGAAUGGAAAAUCGGGAUUUGUGCGCCUCCUCCAUCAGAACCUGGCGCACACCCCCGUGGUACGGUACCCACACCUUACGGUGUAGUGUCAGUAAUCCUCGACUGUCAUAGUCGAAGGAGGAGACCUGCCCCACUAUCCGCUUGCUCUUCCGAUGUUCUUCCUUCAUAGCCUCCUGCUGGGCCUCCUAAAUCCGCUCCAACAACGGAGUCACCACUGUCAUCCUCUGACAAAUAUCCCCAAUCGUCGCUGCCUUGCGGCUAAGCGCGUCGGCCACCAUAUUGGCCUUCCCUGGAUGGUAAAGGAUUUCGCAAUCGUAAUCCUUCACCACGUCCAACCACCGACACUGCCUUAUGUUUAGAUCCGGCUGAUCCAUGAGGUACCUUAAACUCUUGUGGUCUGUGUAGAUGGUACACCGAACCCCAUAGAGGUAAUGACGCCAAAUCUUGAGGGCGAAUACAACAGCCCCCAGCUCAAAAUCAUGCGUCGGGUAAUUCGCCUCGUGAGGCUUCAACUGCCCCGAUUCGUAGGCGAUGACAUGCCCUCUCUGCAUCAGUACUGCGCCCAAACCUGAGAUGGACACAUCGCAGUACACCACAAAAUCCUCCAUGCGCUCCGGCAGGGCUAAGAUUAGUGCCUCACACAAUCUCUGUCUCAGUGUCUUGAAUGCGGUCUGCUGCUCAGGCCCCCAACGAAAGACCACGACCUUCCUUGUUAGCCUGGUCAGGGGUACAACUAUCUUGCAGAAAUCCUGGAUGAAUCUCCGAUAGUAGCCGGCUAAUCCUAGGAAAAUCCGAAUCUCAGAUGGAGACUUCGGAACCUCCCAUCUCAUCUAGGGAUGGCAAAAAAACCCGAACCCGACGGGGAAACCCGAAACCCGAUCAUUUCGGGUCGGGUAACGGGUCGUUAUCGGGUUUUUUAUCGGGUUUGGGGCAGGGAGUGGGUUAUCCUUGCCCCGACCCGCCCCGAUUAUAUAUAUAUAUAUAUAUNNNNNNNNNNNNNNNNNNNNNNNNNNNNNNNNNNNNNNNNNNNNNNNNNNNNNNNNNNUAUAUAUAUAUAUAAUAUGUUCAAAAAAUUUUGUUGUUAAUUGUACGCGUUCGAAUAUAAAAUACUUAUCGUGGACAAUUUUUUUUGUUAUUAACAAUCUGGUGUUAAUGAUCAUUUUUACGUGUUUGGACGUAUUAAAAAAAACUUAAAUCAAAUAAUUUUUAAUAUAACGUCCAAUUUAUUUUAUUAAAGUGAUGCACCAUGUUUUUAAUUUAAAAGAGUUGCUAGAACAUGUAUAUUUUAUAAGACAUUGGGGUACCCUAAAAGAGAAUAAAGAUUUCGUUAUCAAUUGUUGUAAACCCGAUAAGAUACCCGAAACCCGACGGGGAAACCCGAAACCCAAUGGGGCGCCCCGAUAAGAUACCCGAAAGUUAUCGGGGCGGGUUUGGGAAUCCAUGCCCCGCCCCGAACCCGCCCCGUUGCCAUUCCUAAAUUCUCAUCACGACCUUCACUUUGUCCGGGUCCACCGAAAUCUCGUUCUGGUUGACGAGGUGUCCAAGGAAUUGCACCUCGCGCAACCAGAACUCACACUUGGAGAACUUAGCAUACAAGUUCUCCCUCCUCAAAGUCUCCAUCACCUCUCGCAGAUGUUCCUCACGUUCCACAUGCGUCUUGGAAUAAACCAAGAUAUCAUCAAUAAACACUAUCACAGACCGGUCUAACAUCGGUCUACACACGCAAUUCGUGAGGUCCAUGAACGCGACAUGAGCAUUGGUGGGCCCGAAGGGCAUCACCACAAACUCAUAAUGGUCAUAGCGUGUCCGGAACGCUGUCUUCUGUACAUCCCCCUCUCUGACCCUCAUGUGAUGAUACCCUGAACGCAGAUCAAUCUUGGAGAACCAAGAUGCUCCCUGUAGCUGGUCAAAGAGGUCAUCAAUCCUCGGGAGUGGGUAACGGUUCUUCACCGUUACCUUAUUCAGUUCCCGGUAAUCUAUACACAUCCGAUGCGACUUGUCCUUCUUCUUCACAAACAAAAUCGGGGCUCCCCAGGGUGAACUACUCGGUCUAAUGAAUCCCUUGUCUAACAGCUCUUGCAGCUGUGUAGACAACUGCAUCUCAGGAGGAGCCAACCGAUACGGUGCCUUGGCUAUUGGAGCCGCACCAGGGACUAGGUCGAUCCUGAACUCCACCUAUUGCUACCGAGGUAUUCCAGGAAACUCCUCGGGGAAUACGUCCGCAAAAUCUCGUUUGUCACACCCCCGACCGAGGCGGCAGAAUACGUUGGGCUGUGCGACUUAGUCAUGGAUCACAAGCAAAUUAAAUAUACAUCAUAAGUUACAACAAUAACAAUGUUGGGAUGAAAACCCUAAUUGAGAUUUGAUGAACAAGAUACGAAAAAUAUGAACAAACACAAAUAUGAAGAUUAGGUCGAAUGAUCACUCGAUUUAUUCAAACAAGAGGAAUAAAUUACACUUUCAACAUAGACUAAAGAAUCUAACACUACAUAAGAAACCUCACGUGGCGGCUACAUUUUGCCUUACUCUUAACCCUAAUAAUGAAUAAUACAUUACUAUUUAUAGGGAAAAGACAAGUCUUGGGCUUUUAACCUACAGUUUAUCAAAGGGGCCCAUUGCGAUCAUCCAUGGAGUGCUUUGAAACCUUACAAUCUCCCCCUCAAAGUAUGGAAUGGAUGACAAUGCUUUAACUUCCAAAGUAUGGAAUGGAUGACAAUGGAGUGCUUUGAAACCUUACAAUCUCCCCCUCAAAGUAUGGAAUGGAUGACAAUGCUUUAACUUCCAAAACAAGCAUCUAGCAAAUAAAAAGAUCAUGCAACAAGGAAUAGAUGAAACAAUCCACGAAUCUUGAUUCUUCAAUAGUCUUCAAACACGGGCGCUAGGAUAUAUAAAUCAAGCACUGAAGUAAUGUCUUUAAACUUCAUUUUCGAAUGUAAUCCCAAAUAAAAUCUUCAUGAAAACCAAGCCCACCAUAAAAACCCAUUUUAGAACAAAGAAACCGAAUCACUUCUUGUCUUUGAAGAGCUUCCCCUCCAAGUCACAAUGAUCUUCAAAUAAGCUAAUGAUAUAAUCCAUCAAAAAAUAUCAUGUAACAACCCAAACUUUAAGAUUCGUAAUGCCACUUGAUCGAGAAAAUACUAGAAGUCGGAGAUAUAACAAGUCCUUAGCAGAGCUCGAUAAAGAACUUCCGCUGUAAAGGAUACUUCUCUGUAAAAGCUUUAGCAGAGCUCGAUAAAGAACUUCCACUGUAAAAGCUACCUUCAUAAUUCUACCACAAGCUUUAUAAUAAAAACUUCAACUUUGAAAGGUCACAAAUCCAAUUUCGAAUGGCCAUACCAAAUUCUCCCCUGAUUUAUAAUCGAAAACCUAAUUAUAAAGUCUUCUUAUGGUCAUGAGAAUGAUCUUGAAUGGAUAAAAAUUACUGUGCUCCCCCGCGACAAAAUGAUAUAUACAAUGAAGUAUAAAACCCGAAAAAGUCAUGAAAAUUUGUCGUUAUCACGAAAAACGACUUUUCGAACCGCCAAGACUUGAUGGAAUCCAUAAUUUUCUAUUCACAAAAAAAUAUGAGCGUUGAAAAAUCCAAAACUGUUCACCAGCCUUCAAAUUUGCAAAUUUUUUGAAAAAUGGGCUGAAACUGUCAUACUGCUGAAAGUCGGGGACUGAAAAUAUAACUCUACAUCAAUUCCCCCUUUAAUUAUAUCAAUUUCUGGAAUGGACCAAAAUAGCCAAGUUGUGAAAACAACAGGGACCAAAGGUAUGAAAUCAUUGAAGUUGCAGGGACCAAAAAUGUAACAUUGUGUCUUCUUCCCCAUAUAUCAACUGAUUAACACCCUGCUCCUAAGUAUCACUUAAUGAAAGAAGAGAAUGGAAUUGAGAGGAUUUGGAAGGAAAGAAGAGAAGUUUGGGUGCUCCCUAGUAUUUUUUUUUUUGAAGAGAAGAGAUGAAGAGAGCAGAUUUGGGAGGAUUUGUAUCGUUCCAAACUUUCCUCCCAAAAUGGGCGGAAUUGGAGAGAAAGAAAACGGCUGGAAGAUAAAAAGGUAGAUUAUGACGAAAAUACCCUUUAGCCUAACAAUAAAAAGAUAUGCUCACUGAUUCUACUAAUCGAUUAGCUUCUGCCUCGUCUUCUUCUCUGUUACAAACACCAGGUACCCAAUUUCUUCUUCAACUGUUUUUUUUUAUAUCCUUUUGUAUUCUACCUGAUUAGGCUUCUGCCUUAUGUUUGUUGCCCAAUUUCUUCUUAUUUGUGUUACGGAUUCUGCUUCUGUUAUGACUUCUGCCAUUUUUUUUGGUUAGACUAUGUAUAUGUGUUGUAUUAUAGCACUAAUUAAUCCCAUCAAACUGCUUACAAAUUUUUUUUAUCAAUGGGACAAAAAAUUGUAAUAUUUUGUCCCUCCUAAAAAUUAUAAUAUUUUGUCCAUCUUUUGUUUAUAAUAGCAGAGAAUUUUACCUGUAACAGGUAAUACCCUUAACUUGAAAUGUUCAAACUGCUUAAAGAUAAUAUAGAGUUAAUAGGUUAUAAACUAACCCAUCUGUAGGGACAUUUGCAAUACUCAGUUUCACAGGACAUAAAGGAUGUCCCAUGGUUACCCAGAAUCUGCAUAUAAAGUUUUUAAAAAAUUAAACAAAGUUUUAAACAGAAGAUGAAUUAUAUAGUUUGUAUAUAUUACAUGGAUUUUAAGAAAAAAAAAUAUAUAAUUUUAUGGAGUAAACUUAUGGAUCUGCAUGUCCAAGUCUACAAAUUUCACAAGCAAUAUGCUGCCACAGGUUGCAUUUUUUUAUCUUCACACAAAGAUGAAAAAGUGAAAUUUUCAAGAUUAUUAGCAUAUAGAGAUUCUCGUUUUAGAAAAAAAAGAAAAAAUUGUUUUUUGAAGCUAAUUACAUGUUAUUUUUUAAAGCUAAUUACAUGUUAUUUUUAUCAAAAUGAGUGUUUUGCCCCAAGAUUACAUUUAACUUUUAUAACAAAAAAAGUUUAUUAAUUAUAAUUAAUAAAUCAACUCUUUAUAAUUACAUGUUAUUUUUAUCAAAAUGACUGUUUUGCCCCUAGAUUACAUUUAACUUUUAUAACAAAAAAAGUUUAUUAAUUAUAAUUAAUAAAUCAACUCUUUAUAAUUACAUGUUAUUUUUAUCAAUGUUGUUUAAAUUUAACUCAAACUAUUUGAUCAUGUAUAAGAAAAAGGGAUUAGUUCAUAUUUAGUCCUUAUGGAUACUCCGGUACUCAACCCUGCUCAUGCUUUAAGAGCCCGACAAUUGCAAGUCGUUAACUUGAUUUGCUUGUUGUUGACUUUUAUUACACAACGUAAUAUGGCCAACAAAAAGCGGGUUAGGUUACCCACUAGAAAAGUUAUUUUAGAAAGACAAGCUGUACGGGAAGAGUUGCUACACAAUCUUUUAGAAGGUGGUCAAUGUCGUGACCUUAUUCGUAUGAGUGAAAACGCUUUUAGGAGAUUGUGUGAAAUCUUACAAACUGUAGGUGGUCUACGACGUACGCAACGCAUGUCCGUUGAGGAACAUGUUGCUAGAUUUUUGCAUAUUGUAAGUAAUGAUUUGCGAACUCGGUUUACCUCGUGGAUGUAUCGUCGCUCUAGAUCAACAACGAGUAGGUGCUUCCAUAGAGUAUUACGAUCGAUUAUAGCAAUAGAAGGUCUUUAUAUUCAGCAACCUACAGGUGAUGUUGUCCCGAGAGAAAUUCAAGAAAGUAGGAGAUUUUAUCCUUUUUUCAAGGAUUGUAUAGGGGCAAUAGAUGGAACACAUGUUCGUGUCCAUGUGCCUAAUAGAGAUGCCCCUAGAUACCGUGGUCGUAAGGGAUACCCGACAAUAAAUGUAUUAGCUGCUUGUACAUUUGAUUUGAAGUUUACGUAUGUGUUAACGGGUUGGGAGGGUACUGCAUCAGACUCGAGAAUAAUAAAGAACACAUUUACUAGAGAUGAUAAACUACUAAUUCCAUCAGGUAAUUUAUUAAACCAAUGUAAUUUCAAUAUCUAAUAUUUUUCAAUAAUAUUGAUUAAGCUCUUUAUAGGUAGAUAUUGUUUAGUAGAUGGGGGUUUGCCUCAUACGAAUAAACUAAUGGCGCCAUAUAGAGGUGUUAGAUAUCAUUUAAAAGAGUACUCCAUGCGUGGUCCACAAAAUUCUAAAGAGUUGUUUAAUCUUCGUCAUGCUUCCUUACGUAACGCCAUUGAGCGAGCUUUUGGUGUCCUUAAAAGAAGGUUUCCUAUCAUUCGAAGUACAACGGAACCAUUUUACUCUUGUGAAACACAAUCUGCCAUAUUUUUGGCAUGUUGUAUUCUACACAACUUUUUACUAGAUGAAGACCGCGGCACAAAUCUUGAAGAUGAGGUGAUGCAGGAGAUCUUAAACGAACCACAAGAGCAAGAUCGUCGUAAUUCAACAGAAACAGAUGAGGAUAAUAGUAGGGCAGAUCAACUAAGGAAUUCAAUUGCAAAUGAAAUGUGGGCAAAUUAUUUGGCACAUUCAAACAAUUAAAUUAAUAUGUAAAACUAGUUUCAUAUUGAUGCAUUUUGUUUUCAAUUUCACAUUUUAUUGAGGAUUGGUUUUUGAGAUUAAUUAUGUGUUUUACCCUUCAUAUUUUUCAUUAGUAUUAUGCUUCGUAUUGUGGUCUAACAAUGUAUGAUUCUUUAAUUUUUAUUCCUAUGUGCAAAGUCAUCAUGAGCAAACAGGAAGCUAGUGGUAGUGAAAAGGAACAAGUUAAAUGGUCAGAUAAGAUGGAUUAUGCGUACAUCAAAGCGAUGAUUAAACAACAAGAGAUAGGAAAUAGGGUGAAUGGUAGUUUCACACCAACUGCAUAUGCUCAAAUGGUUGAGGAGUUGAACACAGAGCAUCAAAUGGAUAUUACCAAAAGUCAUUUGAAGAAUCGCUACAAAACCUUAAAAAAAACAUUUUUCGCAAUGGUACGAUUUGUUUAGGGGAAUUUCAUUGAGCGGGUUCGCUUGGAAUUCAACUACUCAACUAAUAGAAGCAGAGGAAGAAGUAUGGGAUAAUUUAAUAAAUGUAAGUGUUUCUUUUAUGUAUAUGUUAUUUUUUUAAAUAUUUUAUGUUAUCGUUUGCAAUAUUAAUUAUUUUUGUGUUGUUAAAUAGUCAAAACCUGAGGCUGCGUUGUUAAGGACAAAAAAGAUCGCAAACUUUGAUGAUAUGUUGAUAUUAUGUGCAAGGGAUAGGGCAUCUGGUGCACAUGCUGAAACGGCGAAAGAAAGAAAUGACCGAUUAAAUAAAAAUGUAAAAAUUCAAGUUGAAACAAUUAAAGAAGUUGACGACUUGUUAGCUAACAAUGAAAUUCAUUUGGAGAACGAAUAUGUUGAUCUUGAUGAUGACAUUCAGGGUGUUAUUCCAACUCCGUUUUCACAAGGGCAGUCUUCAGGUGCAAAGAAGUGUAAGAGUAAAAAGAGGAAAUUUGAAGAAGAAGACGAAGAAGAAGAAGAUUUUAACUCAAAGAUAAUGAAAUCAGUUGAUAAUGUGGCUGGUGCUAUCAGGGAGGGUAAUGUAAUAUUUGAUAAAGCUUAUCCUCGGGAGUAUACAGGGGACGAAAUUUAUAGAGAAUUGGAGUUGGUGGGUUUGGAACCCCAUGAAUUACCGAGGGCUCUAAAUUUUUUGGCAGCAAAUCAAGCAAAAGCUAGGACAUUGUUCAGUUGUCCCCUUCAGAUACGGAUGGGUGUCCUCAAAGAUAUGAUGGGUGCACGUGAUUAAAUAACCUUGGGUGAUUGUUACUGGAUUGAUCUUAUGCGUUUAUGAUUUUGGUUUUUUUUAUUUUUUUUGAGUUGUUUGUGGUUUUCGUUUUGCAUCUUGAAAACAAUUGAAUAACAUGCGGUUUCCCUUUUUACAAUUUACUUUAUGUUAAAAUAAAAUUGUUUUGUUAAUGUUUUAAGUAGAGGGGAGGAAGGGAGAGUUGGUUUUUUUGGGGUAGGGGGUACGGUAGAAUGAAUGUGGGGAUGUAAAGACUUAAUAUUUACUCAAAAACAUAAAAGGGUAUAAUUGUCUUUUUUUNAAAAUGGAUGUGGGGUUGUAAACACUUAAAAUAUUUACUUAAUAACAUGAAGGGUAUAAUUGUCUUUUAUUUAUUUUUUUUUCUUUUCCUUUCAACUCGGGAGCACCUAAAAUGUAUACUUUCUUUUCCUUUCUUUUGAACUCGGGAGCAUGGAAUACUUUAUCCUUUCUGUUCCCUUUCUUUUCUUUUCCCUCCUUGUUCUUCCUUUUUUUCUUUUCUUUUCUUUUCUUUCCUUUAAUGAACUCAGGAGCAGGGUGUAAAAGAAUCAACACCCAAAGCGACUGGCAUGGCGACUUCAAACAGAUGGAACCACAAAUCCUAUUCCGAUCAAACCUUUCGUUCACAUUUCUUAUGUUUGUGGGAGUUAGGAAUCCAGGCCAAUUCCAAUUCCAAACCUAUUUGAAGCUAGAUGCGAAUCAUUGUCAACCGGAAGCGGACCUUAGGUUCGCUUCAAAUGUUCGCGUCUGUGACCUUUGCUUCUAUGAGUUUCGCUUGUGAUUGUAAGGUUCGUUUCAUGUUGAUUACACACCCAAAAAGCAAACCCAACUGAACGUUUGGUUCCAUUCGGUUCCAAGCAUAAUCAUGCGAACCCAAGUUCAUUCCAGGUUCGUUCCAAGUCCAUCGAUUAUAAACCUGAUGCAAAUCCACGUCGACGAACGUUAUGAGUGCGAGCCUAGAAAAAACGAGCUUCGAUCGUUUGCAGGUUAGAUGUUCCUUCAUAGUUCACCCCAAAUCAGAGUCAAUUUUGACUUUUUAAUUGACUACCACGUUCGAACAGAUACACACCUAUUUCAACCGAGUUCCAAUCAAGAAUGCGAGCCAUACUCCCAAUUACCUUCGCAGGUGAGACCAUUCUUUACGAUUUUGACCAUUAAAGUCGAAACACAAUUGACCAUAACCCAAACAAUCGCAGGUAACAAGCAUGCAAGCCCAGAUUUCCAAUCACUGAAACUAAGAUCAUUCGCAGGUAAAGUCUUUCAAAGAAAUUUUGACAUUCAGGUGUGACUCUUCAUUCAUCGUAUCACACUUCCGAUUACAAAGAUUGAUUCAGUGUAGGAUCCGACUAAUUCUUUCUAUUUCAAUCAAUACCAAACAGGAUUCAAGAUCUGAUUUUGACCCCGAUUUCUGUUCAACAAAGUGAUUUUGUAGUUCCGUUUUAAACCUUUCGAUCUGAUUUUGACUUCCAGGGUUGACCAUCCAAAUUGAUUAUCGACAAAUACCAAUAUCAACAUUUCUCAUAUUGAUUUCAGGAUCAAAUGAUUUUUCUAAUUAAAUUCAUCACUAUCUUCAUCUGUUCUUGGCUUCACAGAACGAUAUAAAAUCGAUAUUCGAUAUAGAAACAUGAAUGAACAAAUUGAUUUAGUUUAAACACAAAAUCAAUUAAUAAGAUUGGAAUCGUUUUUGAUGACAGAUGAUUCGAUUAGCGAUGAACGAUUUCAUGGAAUGAUAAGAUCAAUGAACAGAAAUCGAUAUUGGUUGGUCCAAAAACGCACGAACAGCAAUCGAAACAAUGGGUUUAGGGAAUGGAUCAUGAAUAGCAACAGACCAAUUAUUUGGGCCAGAUUAAAACCGUAGAAUCGUUGUUGAUAUUUGACGAAUUAACAAACGGAUACGAAUAGUAAAACGAAUAGAUUAAAAAAAAAUACCAGAUGAAUAGUGAACACUGUAAAUCUCCAUGAACAGUGGAAAAAAAAAACUUUGAUUCCAAACCGUCAAAACACCAAUAUCUUCAAUAACUUGUGCAGAAAAUCACCAAAUUAAGAACCGAUACUUCAAAAAUCAAUAGAUCUUCAAAGACCCGCUCUGAUACCACUUGUUGGGAUGAAAACCCUAAUUAAGAUUUGAUGAACAAGAUGCGGAAAAUAAGAACAAACACAAAUAUGAAGAUUAGGUCAAAUGAUCACUCGAUUUAUUCAAACAAGAGGAAUAAAUUACACUUUCAACAUAGACUAAAGAAUCUAACAAUACAUAAGAAACCUCACGUGGCGACUACAUUUUGCCUUACUCUUAACCCUAAUAAUGAAUAUUACAUGACCAUUUAUAGGGAAAAGACAAGUGUUGAGCUUUUAACCUACAAUUCAUCAAAGGGGCCCAUUGCGAUCAUCCAUGGAGUGCUUUGAAACCCUACAAACAAAAUAGCAAUUACAUUACUCUUUAAGGUUUGAAUACAAAGUUCAUAAUAAGAAAUUCAUAAAGUUCCCUUAACGGAUAGGCCGAUUUAUCAAAAGCUAGAUAAAUCUAGGUCGCCUGAAAUCCAUGACUGAUCUUCUGACUGAAAGCUCGUUUAGUGAUACUCUAAGAAUACAUGAAAUUUUGAGGGUCAACACAAGGUUGGUGAAAGUUUACAGGUUUUCUGCUAACCGCAGUAAUGAUACUUUAAAAUAUUAAAAAGUAUUCCAUUUAUAGUUUAAGCCAUGUUUGAAAAUGUUUGAUAAAAUAGAAAUUUAUAAUUAAAUCCAUGGCCAAAAUGUUUAGUAAUCAGAAAAAUCGUGAGUUAAUCCAUACUCAAAAUGUUUGGUACUCAAAGAAUCGUGAAUAAAUCCAUACUCAAAAUGUUUAGUAAUCAGAGAAACCGUGAGUAAUUCCAUACUCAAAAUGUUUGGUGCUUAAAGAAAACCGUGAGUAAAUCCAUACUCAAAAUGUUUGAUAACCAGAGAAACCAGAUAUGUGGUUUCUAGAUUAUGAGAUCUAGUUAAUGCUUAUAGUGAGUCCUAUAACCGAGCUACGUGACUGUACCUACCCCUACGACGCUUCAUUGGACGUCGUAAAACUGUUUUAGAUAUUUAUCACCCGCUUCGAUUGAUCGGUCGAGGUUGUAGCUAGCAACCACGAGUGGGGAUGUCUACUCGUAUAGAUCUAUACAUACGUAUCUCAGCUCCGAAGAUUAACGGUUAUAGUGGUGUGGGUCUUCUAAGUGUUUGUUUGUACUUAGGGUAAUGAAUAAUGUCUCACUCAUAAGGCCCUUAACUAGAGUUUGUCAUGAAAAACCUGUUAUACUUGAUAAGAAAAUCCAUAAAAAUGUGUAAUGCUCGUUCAAACAAGUGGUAAAUCUCAUGGUAGUGUACACAGUACAUAAAUGAUUUCAAGAUAAUAGUUUGAUAACUCGUAUAUGUAUGUUUGGUAUGCGUAAUGCUCGUUCAAACAAGUGGUAAAUAUCAGGAUUGACCUAGUCCCUGGUGUAGCUCUGAUAGCCAAGGCAUCGUAUCGGUUGGCUCCUCCCGAGAUGCAGGAGUUGUCUACACAGCUGUAGGAGCUGCUAGACAAGAGAUUUAUCAGGCCGAGUAGCUCGCCUUGGGGAGCCCUUGAUUCUGUUUGUCAAGAAGAAGGACGGGUCGCAUCGCAUGUGCAUAGACUACUGGGAGCUGAACAAGGUAACAGUGAAUAACCAUUACCCACUCCCGAGGAUUGACGACCUCUUCGACCAGCUACAGAGAGCAUCUUGGUUCUCCAAGAUCGAUUUGCGUUCAGGUUAUCAUCAGAUGAGGGUCCAAGAGGAGGAUGUGCAGAAGACUGCGUUUCAGAAUCACUAUGGCCACUACGAGUUCGUGGUGAUGCCCUUCGGACUCACCAAUGCUCCUGCCGCGUUCAUGGAUCUCAUGAACCGCGUAUGUAGAUCGAUGCUGGAUCGGUCCGUGAUAGUUUUCAUCAAUGAUAUCUUGGUUUACUUCAAGACGCAGGAGGAGCAUGAGGAGCACCCGCGAGUGGUUCUAGAGACUUUGAGGAGGGAGAACUUGUAUGCUAAGUUCUUCAAGUGUGAGUUCUAGUUACGCGAGGUGCAGUUUCUUGGGCACCUUGUCAACCAAAACGUGAUAUCGGUUGAUCCGGCCAAAGUGGAGGCCGUGAUGAGAUGGGAGGUUCCGAGGUCUCUAUCUGAGAUUCAGAGUUUCCUAGGAUUAGCCGGCUAUUGUCGGAGAUUCAGCUAGGAUUUCUCUAAGAUAGCCGUACCCCUGACCAGGCUGACGAGGUAAGUCGUGGUCUUUAGCUAGGGGCUUGAGCAGCAAGCUGCUUUUAAGGAUUUGAGACAAAGAUUAUGCAAGGCGCCAAUUUUAGCUAUGCCAGAGGGCAUGGAGGAUUUUACCGUAUAUUGCGAUGCGUCCAUCUCGGGUUUGGGCGCAGUUUUGAUACAGAUAGGACAUGUUAUUGCUUACGCUUCGAGGCAGCUGAAACCUCACAAGGCGAACUACCCGACACAUGAUUUGGAGCUGGGGGCGGUGGUUUUCGCCCUCAUGAUUUGACGUCAUUACCUCUAUGGGGUUCGUUGUACCAUUUACAAGGACCACAAGAGCCUGAGGUAUCUCAUGGACUAGCCAAAUCUGAACAUGAGGCAGCGUCGGUGGUUGGACGUGGUGAAGGAUUAUGAUUGUGAGAUUCUUUACCACCCGGGGAAGGCCAAUGUAGUGGCCGACGCGUUUAGCCGCAAGGCAGCGCCGAUCAGGGAUAUCUGCAUGCGGAUGACCGUGGUGACUCCGCUGUUGGAGCAGAUCCGAGAGGCCCAGCAGGAAGCUAUGAAGGAGGAACAUCAGAAGAAUGAGUGUAUUGUAGGUCAGGUUUCCUCUUUCGACUAUGAUAGCCGAGGAUUGUUGACCCUUCACCAUAGGGUGUGGGUCCCCUUUCAUAGAGGCGUGCAUCAGACAUUGAUGGAGGUGGCACACAAGUCCAGGUUUUCUAUCCAUCCCGGGGCGACGAAGAUGUAUAGGGAUCUUCGUCUCAACUAUUGGUGGCCCUGCAUGAAGCGGAAUGUGGCAUGGUACUUGGAGUGGUGCUUGACCUGCAGGAAGGUCAAGGCCGAGCAUCAGAGACCACACGGCAAGAUGCAAUCGUUAGAUAUUCCCAUGUGGAAGUGGAUUCUAUAUGGGUCAUCGUAGAUUUCAUCACCAAACUUCCCACGACCGCGCGGGGAGUCGUGGAUCGAUUGACCAAGAGUGCUCAUUUCAUACCGAUCCAAGAGAGUAUAUCGGCCGAGAAGCUGGCCGACAUCUACAUUCGGGAGGAGGUGGCUAGGCAUGUAGUGCCAGUCUCCAUGAUUUUCUGACAGAGAUGUGCGGUUUAUUUCCAGAUUUUGGAAGAUAUUCCACGACGAGUUGGGAACUCGUCUACACUUUAGCACCGCUUUUCACCCGCAGACGGAUGGGCAGAGCGAGCGGACCAUCUAUCACUUGAGGAUAUGUUGCGGACGUGCGUGUUGGACUUUGGUGGUAGUUGGGAUACUUACCUCCCAUUGGCUGAGUUCUCGUACAACAACAACUACUACGCGAGUAUUGACCGUCCUCCCUUCGAGAUGUUAUACGGGAGGAAGUGUAGGACCCCGAUAUGUUGGGGUGAGGUUGGAAAGAGGGUCAUGGGGAGCACCAAAGUGGUGCUCAAGAUGACAUAGAGGAUUCAGCAGGUCUGGAGCAGGCUUCAAACUGCUCAGAUUCGGCAGACAAGUUAUGCUGACAAGCGCCGAUCAGACCUGGAGUUCCAGGUCGGAGAUAUGGUUCUCCUGACGGUGUCGCCAUGGAAGGGCGUCAUCCGAUUUAGGAAACGGGCUAAGUUGGGUCCCAGGUAUAUCAGACCCUUCAAGGUUAUAUCCCCGAUGGGCAAAGUGGCGUAUAAGCUGGACUUGCCAGCCGAACUCAGUCAGAUUCAUAGCACUUUUCACGUCUCCCAGCUCUGGAAAUGUUUGGUGGACGAUUCGGCAGUGGUACCUUUAGAGGAUAUUCAGGUCGAUGACAACCUGAAUUACAUUGAGCGGCCUGUGGCGAUCCUUGACCAAAAAUCGAAGGAUCUGAGGAACAAGAGGGUCGAGAUGGUGAAGGUGCAAUGGCAGCACCAGAAGAGCUCAAAAUGGACUUGGGAGCCGGUGGAUGAGAUGAUGGAGCAUUACCCAUAGCUUUUUUCAGGAACGAGCAGCAGACUUCGAGGAUGAAGUCUAAAAUAAGUGGGGGAGAUUUGUAGCACCUGGUUCGUGGUAUGUAUUCUAUUUAAGUAUUUUGAAUUUUUGGCAUGGGACUCGGCGAGUUGAAGGCCCAACUCUUCGAGUUGAAGCGGAUUUGAUACGAGAUUUAAAUGACGGACUCGUCGAGUCGGCUCCCAGACUCGACGAGUAGACUCUGACUGGACAAAACCUAACCUAAGGGUUUGCACCCUAUUUAAGCAUCUCAUCCAGCCACCCCUUCGUCCCUAUUGCUUCCAGAAACCCCCCAUAGCAAACCCUAACCGUUUGUGUAAAAAGCUAAGGCAUUUGUGGUGCUUUUUGGUGGUUUUGAACUCAAAGAAGAAGGAAAAGCCUAGAGGAAUCAAGAGAAGACCAAGGGAGUUCAAGUUUGUUCGCCAUUUGCCGUUCCCAUAAGGUAUAAAGUCGACACCUUGCUUCUUCAUUUGCUAGAUCCCUUUUUGAGGAGAUUUAUGGCUUUUAUAAGCCAUUCUUGGUAACCAACCAUGAUUGCACGCAUGGUUGGGGGUUGAGGCUUCGGAUCUAGGUCCAUGAAGGAGUUACAAGGCAGAAAAGGGAUGCUUUUGCACCCAUGGAAGCCCCCAUGCAACUUAAGAGUCUCUUUUAGAGCAUUUUAGGCUCUAAGUCCCAUGCAUGCACGUAAAGUUUGUAACUUUCUGUGCUAGAUCGAGUUUAGGGACCUAGAUCUAUCAUUUGGACAAGAGUUGUACACCAAAAAUCGAAGAAAUAGACUUGGACAGUGUCGACUCGGCGAGUCGUUCUUGGGACUUGACGAGUCCGAGGUUAGACUUCCCUUUUCUGUUAUGGGUCAAAGAGACCCAGUGGAGUGCUGGAAAGGUUUUAGAGGGUCCCGGGGAGUGACCCAAUGUAUUAGGAUAAGCCAUAGUCCUAGAGUUCGUUGGACCCGGUGAGUGCAUGAGCAGACUCGGCGAGUACAAGGCAAUCUCCCAACUCUUGAAGAUGAACUAGACGAGUUGUUCAUACAACUCGACGAGUCGAGGGCAGGACUUGUUCAUAGGAUGGAGAUGAACUCGACGAGUUGUUCAUACAACUCGGCGAUUCGGAUGAAGUUUCAUUCGGGGUUGUUUUAGAAGGAGAACUCGUCGAGUCGUUGCCAAACUCGAAGAGUAGAGGCGUGAAGAAGGACAGAUGAAAGGAUAGGGACUCGACGAGUUAGCGGCCCAACUCAACGAGUCGGGUCAACUGGAAGUUGACUUUGACUUGGUCAGGGGUAAAAUAGUCAUUUUACCCUAAGAGUAUAUAUUAGGUUCUGACUGAGUGUUUUGUGGGGAUUAUAGCUGGAGGAUUUUCGGAGCAGCCGCAGACAGAGAUUUCCCGCGCAGGUUAUCAGCAGCUACUCGUUCGAGGUGAGUUACCGUCUAGUAGCAGUGGGUCUACGGCCACAAUGUCGGCCCACUAGUAUGAGUUGUAUGUUAGAUGAUUGUCUUUGUGAUAUUCAUCUAGGUUUGCUACUACCUGAUACGUUAUGUGUCAGUAUCAGAUGAUGUUAUAUGCCAGUAGCAGUAGGGGAGAUAGUCCCCAAGAUUUUCGGCCGAUAGGACCAAAGAGGGGUAGUCAUACCCAGUCAUACUAGAUAAAAUAUGAUUAUGUGAUUCAUGUUAUGUGGUAGUAGUAAAGGGGUGAAAUAGUCCCUAGUAUCCGGUCGACAGGAUUGAAGGGGUAGGCCAGCACCCAUAUGUGCUAGGCAGUAUCCUGGUUGACAGGACCGAAGGGGAGGCCAACACCCAGAUAUGCUAGGCAGUAUCCGGUCGACAUGACCGAAGGGGUAGGUCGGGCACCCAGAUAUGCCUAAAAGUAUAUGUAUGUUAUGUGAUUGUAUGUUAUGUGGUAUGAUAGGGGAACCCACUAAGCUUAGUGCUUACAGUUUACAAUUUUGGUUUCAGGUACCUCUUCAGCGAAGGGGAAGGAGCUGGUGCGGUAGCAGCACAUCAUACACACACGCACUGAUUUUCCGCACUUGUGAUAUUCUGGGAUUAUACUCUAACAUAUUUCUAUCUUAUGAUUUGGGUUUUCAGACAUGAUAUGUUGAUUUACGAAAGGAUAUAUUUCUACGUAGUUUUCUUAUGAAUGUUUUUAUACUCAGUUAAUUAAAAUGAAAUUUUGGACUCGAAAUUUGGGAUGUUACAGUUAGGGUCUGUUAAUUGUUCGUUGGUGUGAAUUAUUAAAUCGUGUUUGUCGGUGUUCAGUAUUUUAAGUUUUAAUUUAUAGUUACUUUUUUAAUUUAAUAUGAAAUAUUUUUUUUAGAAAAUAUAAUUGAUAUUAUAUUAAUUGUUUGUGGUUUCAAAAAAAAAUGUUUAAUAUUUAUGCACAAAAAGUUUCUAUAUUAAAACAAAGUAAUUAAAUUAAAUUAGAAAAAAAUAAAAAAAAAUGGAGUGCUAGAAGUGUUACCACUCCUUACCAAAUGCUAAUGUUAGGCGCUAAAUGGUCAAAAAUGAGGUGGCAUUCCAAAAUCUGACGUGGCAAGGUGUUAAGAGUGUUACCACUCCCCUUUGCCAUAGGGAAAUUGAGUAAACUAAUCAAUUUUUUUGUGUGUUUUUAAAAAUAUAACUCAUUUUUUUUUUGCAAAAUAACCACAUUCUGCCGAAUGGGCUGUUUCGGAACCUAUUUCGGAUGUGUCGGCCCAUUUCGUUGCCUUCGGAAUGCUCAUUCCGGAGUUUUCGUAUGUGUUCCGGAUCAGAAAUUUGAAUUUCAAAAUUCAAAAUAUAUUUUGAAAAAAUCUAGACCCUUGACUUCAUUUUGGAUCUUGCUCCGACUUUCCAACGCCAUUUCGAUCUCCAACGUAGAAGACGAACACUACGACCCAGUAAUUUUACAGGUACGUUCUUCACUCAAAAAACUUAGUUUACUUUUUUGUAUAACGAAAGAUGCAUUCCUAAGAACCAUUGGAUUUUCCCCAAAUCCAAAAGAAUCUCGGUCUUUAAACCAACUGCAGAAGAGUUUCAAGAGUUCUUGAACCAAAUCGGGUUCAAAGGGGCUUACAAAUCCAAGGGAGUUCAAGAAAUCUGCAGUUCUUGAGAUAUGGACAAUUUUGAUGCACUUCGUCAUGAAGGGUUUAUUAGGAAAACAUGGAGGCUCAGAUUGUUGGAUUAGGUGUAUAAGCCCUUAACUAUGAUUGGUAUGUACUUGACCCGAUAUAAGCAUGGUCUAUUUGGGUUGCAACUCUAUGGAGCAAUUUAAUAGGAUGGAUAUUUGAGAAAGUGGUUAUCUAUGAUUUAUUAAUAUAUUAUAAGUAUAAUAUAUUAAUUGAGAAAUCAUACUAUUUAAUUAUUAUUGAUCAAGAAUUAACUGGAAUUAAUUUAGUGAUCAAAAGAGACUAAUUAAAUUAACGGAGACUGAUUAUAUAUGUAAAUCAGUGAUACAUAUGGUUUGGGCUAUUGAUCCAUGAUGGACAAAGCUUAUGUGAAAUUCCAUGAAAUAUUAGUCCAUAUGAAUUAUGGAACAUAAGCCAAAGUGUAAGAAUUAGGUUUUGCUUAUGACUCUUGGAAUUCUACACUAUAUAUGUAUUCCUCUAAAGUAAAAAAUCGUGCACUAUGUGUUCCUAGAAGCCCUAAAUGAUUUUUGUGUCUCCGAACCUCUCUCUCAAGUUCCUCCUCUUGUUCUUGGUUUGUUGUAAGACAUUUGAGGCAUCACACUUGAGGUGCUAGGAUCUUGAAAAACUAAUAUCUACAAGCUAUAAUCAAGAGGUAUUCUUCUAACUUACUUUUAUGAUUCAUAUGUCAAAUUGUAUCCUAGUUGUAGGCUUCAUGCUUUGGAAUUUUUUUUUUGCAUGUAUAACUAGAGAAAACUUAGAUCAAAAAGUUAUUAGGGUUGUAUGUGCACCAUAGGAGUGUUAUGGUACAUAAAUCCUAACAGUAGUAUCAAAGCCAUGGGUGUCUUCUAUUAUAUUGAUGCAUUGGUUAAUUAUUCAAAGCAAGAAAAAUCGUACAAGUGCGUGCCACGCCUGACCAAGUGCGCGUCGUACAUAGGCUUGGUCGGCACUCCUCCCCUCAGAGCGUGACACAUGUUGAUCAUUGGCUGGGUCGGCAUGGUGCUUCUAGAAGGUGUGCGCGCCGCCCUUUUACGUGCACAUACGAAUUUCCAAAUCUUUAAAAAUUCAUAUCUUCUUCAUACGAACUUUGUUUUUGACGUUCUUUAUAUCCCUAGAAAGCUCUCGACGAGAUCUACAACUUUCCUUUAGACUUCGUCGGCUAAUUCCAACUUUGUUUUUUAAUUUAUAUUUUUAACGGGCUUAGAUGGUUAAUAUCCGUUAAGAAUUCAUAACUAUCUCAUCUGAUGACCAUUCUCGGCUGUCUUUAUAUCAGUGGAAUCCUAACAACGAUAUCUUCAACUUUUGUUUAGAUCACUAGGGGCUAAUAAGUAACCUAUCUCCAACUCACUAUUUACGACAUAUAUUAUAACUCGGUUAAGAUUAUUUAUCCUAAACAAUCUAUUGUUUAAAAGUCAUUAUUAUGGCUUAUAAUAACUUUAUUGCCUAGCCUGAAUUUAUGGGUGUUACAAUAUCAUUUGGUCCUAUUAGCCUAAUGAAGUCAUCAAGAAAGUAUUAGGGUUGGCAACAAGAUCAAAUCAACAAGGCUAUUGAAGAAGGUCUACGAAUUCAAGCUCAAAAUGGUUCUUUAAAUCCUUUUCCUGGAAUCUCACCACUUUAUCCAAAAUGAAUCUUACAUGAACAUCACAUGGUUUCAUGUAUCGUUAUGAUCUUCCUGUUUUGGACUCUGAUCAAAUCGACUUGCCAACAUAUCCUUAUGCAAGGUUUUAUGUUAAGUGUACUCAACUGAAUCUGAACGAUGAUCAAGAGAUUGUCAUCAGAAUAGAAAGAGAACAUUUAAGUACCUUCUACACCACCAAUGCUCUUCCUAAAAACCAAGUGUGGUCAAAACAAAGAAUCACACAAAUCUGUGGUGAAAAGCCUCUAGAUCAAUCAAUUUAUCAAACAAUAACAGUAAAUAAGAAUAAGAAGAAUUCACGAAGAAAACCUUUCACUAAGAAAGAUAAUCUCACAAAGAGAUUAUCGUGUGCACAAAGCAGCGAUUAGGGUUUGUGAAAGGCGUAACCUUUCAUAAACCGAUACAAAAGAUUAUAUACUGCUAUUCUAGACAAUCCCUACAAAUCAGGGAUAUGCCAGCUAACUAUGGAAACAAGAUAAAUACAAAAUCUGUUACAAUGCACUGACUAAACUACACAAGCUAAGUUGCUGAAACGCUGAUGCUGAUACUGAGAUAUGCGCUGAUGCUGAGAUUUAUUUCAAACAUCAUCAUAUUUCAAGGUUUGACCUUACAAUCUCCCCCAAUAUGAUGAUGUUCAAAACCAACUAAAUUAGAACACCUAUGGACAAGAACUCUUCAUACUCAGCUUCAGCUUCUAUUUUUACUGGCCAGUAAGGACUAUUCAGCAACUCCUGUCUUCUAUUCAGCAGCUCCGUAGCAAUAAGGAUGUGAAAAUCUCCAGAGAGAUCUUGAUGACUCAUGCACAUUUGCCUUAAGCCAACGAGAUGAGUGGUUGGAGCCUUUGGGAUCUCAGCAGUUCGCUGAAAACACAUCUUUCUGUUUUUAUCGAGAUAGAACAUCCCGUGUUCAGGAACUGAGAUAAAUUUAUGCUGAACUGGGUCAACACUGAUAGGAAGAGAAUUGUUUAUCCCACCAGCACCAAAGUCCAGAACCAACACGUCUUCACAAUCAACUUGAAAUUUGGUUCUUCGAGUUCUAGGAACAGAUGACCUUUGGCCUUGAUGCUGUGGUCGUUCUUUAGGAACAAGGUCCAAACGCUGAACUUUCUUGAUCAGCAGAUGAAGAGCACAUGUCAGUUCAGAGGAGUGAGCUGAGGUUUGCUUGGACGCUAAUUCGAGUAAUUCCAUCCAUUCAGAAUAUCCAUAUUUGAUCAGCUCAUCCCUCUUGACAACUUCAGUGUAUGAAUGCUGUGGACCUUGACGAGUGAUCAGCAACGUAAGAAUUUUCUCAUUGCGUGGUUUGGAAGCUUUAACUUUGAUGAUCUUAUCACCACACACUCAUCGUUUAAGAACAUCUUCAAACCUCUUUCAAUCAAUCCUGUCUAGAACACUAUCAGUCUUCGGCUUACUGCUGCUAGGAGGAGGCUGAGAAGAUUGAGAUUUGGACUGAAAUUCCAAGAAUUUCUGCAUCUGAGCUUCAAAAGAUCCUUUGGCCUGAAGUUUAUGCUGAAUGAGAGAUUCAUCAGCUUGAGCAAUGUUCUUUAGAAGCUGAGCUUGAUUAGCUUCAUCAAGAAUUUGCUUAACUUGAUCAGAAGACAUAUUCCAUUCAGCCGCCAAAUUUGAUAUACUGACUAUGGACUUGGGCUUCUUGCAAGACAAAGAAGUAUCAGUGUGUGAAUGAGCCAAGUCAGUAUCUGCUACCUUUCGCUUGUGAGAUAACGGAUGAGAAUCUUCACUAGCAACGUCUGAAUCUUCUCCUUGGACCGGAAUAAUGGGAUCAACGACUUUCAUGUCUGGCCUUUGCGAUUCAUUAUCAAGAUCAUCUGAAUCUUCUUCUUGAACUGGAAUAAAGGGAUCAAUGAAGUUCAUAUCCAGUAUUUGACAUUCAUCAUCUUGUUCAUCAUCAUGCUCACUGUCUUCAACAAGCUUUUCAGUAUUUGCUGGACUAUUAGGCUUCACAAAGUCAGACUCGGGCAUCUGCUUUGGUGGCUCAGUCUGAACUAAGGAGUUGUCAACAUGUUCGGUGUCUUUCUCUUUUGGAUUUUCAUCAUCAUUAUCAUGAUCAACAUUAUCAUCAUCAGCAUCAUCAUCAUCAUCAUCAGUAUCAGUAUCUCCCCUUUUUUUAGCAUCAUCAGAUUGAGGGCUGGAGGAAGGAGUAUGCAAGAGAACUUCCUUAAGCUGAUGAACAUCAGCCUCAAUGCGUAGAAGACGCUGACUCAUGUCCCGAGUCAGUGUCAGAAGUUCAUUAAAUGCUGAGGCCGAAAUUUGAACGAAUGAAGUACCUGGAGCUGCUUGUGAGCGUGGUGGCAUCCCCGGAGAAGAUUGGUCUCCCUGGGGUGGAUUCUCCCCCUGUGAGGGAUGCUCCCCCUGAGAUGGGUGCUCCCCCUGAGAUUGUUGCUCCCCCUGAAUCAGUGAAUCCUUUUGAGCUGAGGGCACUUUCUCAGUAACAGAGACGGUAUGAUGAGAAAGUUGAGGAGAGAAAUGACCACCAUCAUGUGGUUCAUCCUCUUGACCGGCAGGAUCUUCAUGGUUACCAUCAGCNNNNNNNNNNNNNNNNNNNNNNNNNNNNNNNNNNNNNNUUGAGAAGAAGUGAGCAGACGACUUGUUGCUCAUAAGUGCUCAGUUGAUCACCACUUCGAGACUUGUGACCCACACAUUUGCACAGAGCACCGGUGAAGAACUUCCAUCCUGGGGUCAUACAUUGGCGCAGAACAAGAGCUGAUCGAGCACCAGCCUUUGAGUGAUCAUAUCCCAGUUGAUCGAAUAGACGUCGACAACGUUCAAUAGAAGGAAGUUCAGAGAAUGGUUCAAAGAUAGGUAACCUGAGUGCAGCACUGAGAAGUUCUGCGGUAAUAAAGACAGAGUGUCUUCCACGGCCAAUGGUCCCGGUGAUGACAUUGUUUUCAUCAUUGACUGUUGCGGUGUAGUAGAACUCACAGACUUGUUCAGGGAAGAACUCUGAUGGAAUGUCACUGAUGGCGUAUCGUAGGCGGCAGGAGGCUAAGAAAUUAACAAAAUCAUCGAGUCCAAGACCUCGAUGAACAUCUGGAAUAUCAGGGUUGAAAACAACGUUGGUGGCUUUGAUGUAUAUUGGAAGAGGAGGAGAGUUUGGGGCAGGGACUACCCUUCGUGAAGUAGAGGAGAAAGUGAACAGAGAUGUCGCCAUUAGAGAGUUUUUAGGGUUCUAGGGUUUUGAAUAUAAGUGAAGGAAGUAUAAAUUGUGGAAGGAAAGUUUGAAAUAAGGGUGGAAAGAGGUUUAAAUAUGGAAUGAAAUGGGCCUUUAAAAAGGUAAUGAUUAUCUUCUUCAAAAAUAACGGCGUAUCGUAACAACCUGUCAGAUCAGAAAAAUAGCCGUUGGGUAAAAGAGCCGUUGACUGAAGAUGAAACGUCAAUCAGUAUUUGCGGAAGCGCUGAGAUCAGUGUCACAAAAGUUACAUGUUGAGGAUGAUCCUCCUUCAAUUCAAGGUACAACUUGCUUGAUUGGGGCUAGCAAGGAGAUUGGUGNUAGUUGCAUUAUCUAACCAUCGGCACAGAGUGUUGUGACUUUAUCAGUGAGUGGUUUAUCUUACUGAAUCAUUAGACACUGAAUGAGAAGAAGGUAAAGAAAGGAUUGUUGCGUGUGAUAAACCUUGGUGUUUUGGUCUAACCAUCGGCAAAGAUUUUUAGAUUCUCAUCAGCGUGUGUUUUGUCACACUGAAUCACGGAAUCAGUGUAAGAUUGGUAAGAAGAGAUAGUUGCGUGUGAUAGAUCUUGGUGUUUUGAUCUAACCAUCGGCAAAGAUUUUUUGAUUCUCAUCAGCGUGUGUUUUGUCACACUGAAUCAUGAAAUCAGUGUGAGAUUGGUAAGAAGGGAUAGUUGCGUGUGAUAGAUCUUGGUGUUUUGAUCUAACCAUCGGCAAAGAGUUUCAAGUUGUUAUCAGUGUAUGGUUUUUAGUACAGUGAAUCAUUCAACUUUAGUUUAGAAGACUUGAAGAAGAGAGAAAGAUAGGAGAUCAAACCAAGUACUCAGUAUGCAAAUAUCACCAGCAUGUCAUCAUCAGCACAAUGUACAUCAGCUUAUAAGACAAUACCAAACAUUAGCACAAUUAAACAGCAAAAUUAAUUACAAGGUAAUCAUUCCAAGUUCUCCAAUAAUGUAAGCAGUUGUUUGAGAAUCCAGUGCCUUAGUGAAGAUAUCAGCAAGUUGCUCUGAAGUCUUGACAUGUUCAAGAACAACCUUUCCCUUCUCAACAUUAUCUCUGAUGAAAUGAUGUCUGAUUUCGAUAUGCUUCGUCUUUGAGUGCUGAACAGGGUUUUGUGUGAUUUGAAUGGCACUGGUGUUAUCACAAUAUAUGGGAGUCUUUGAGAACUUGAUCCCAUAGUCGAGAAGCUGAUUUUGAAUCCAUAAGAGCUGAGCACAACAUCUCCCAGCUGCAACAUACUCAGCUUCUGCAGUCGAGAUGGCUACUGAUGUUUGCUUCUUGCUAGACCAGCUGAUGAGACGAUUUCCAAGGAAGUGACAUCCACCAGACGUACUCUUUUUGUCUAAAUUGCAUCCUGCAUAGUCUGAAUCAGUGUAUCCAAAAAGUUCAAAUGCUGAGUCGCGAGGAUACCACAGUGCUAGGUUUUGAGUCCCUUUCAAGUAUCGAAAGAUACGUUUGACGGCCAUGAGAUGGGAUUCCUUGGGAUUAGCUUGGAAUCGAGCACAGAGAAUGGUUCCAAACAUGAUAUCAGGACGACUUGCCGUGAGAUAUAAAAGAGAUCCAAUCAUUCCUCGAUACAGAGAGUGAUUUACAUCAGUUCCAGUUGGAUCAGCGUGUAUCUUAUCAGUCUUGGACACUGGAGUAGAGGCUGGUUUGCAGUCACUGAGAGAAUACUUAACAAGCAAGUCAGAAAUAUAUUUACUUUGGCAAAUAGAAAUACCUGACUUUUGUUGCUGAACUUCAAGACCUAAGAAAAAGGUCAUCUUCCCCAUCAUGCUCAUUUCGAACCUUUGAGACAUGAUCUCUGCAAAUUCCUUGCUCAGUUUCUCAUUUGGAGAGCCAAAAAUGAUGUCAUCGACAUAAAUUUGAACAAGAACCAUAUCUGAGCCUUUGUUUUUGAUGAAGAGAGUAUUGUCGAUUGCUCCUCGUCUGUAUCCAUUUUCAAGAAGAUACGAUGUCAGCGUCUCAUACCAAGCCCUGGGUGCUUGCUUCAGUCCAUAAACAACUUUGUCUAAUCGGUACACAUAAUCAGGGUGAUCUUUGUCAACAAAGCCUGGGGGCUGAUUGAGGAAAACUUCUUCUUCUAACACACCAUGAAGAAAGGCUGUUUUCACAUCCAUCUGAUAGACAAUGAAAUUCAUGUAGGAUGCGUAUGCGAGAAACAGUCUGAUUGCUUCAAUGCGAGCAACUGGAGCAAAGGUUUCCCCGUAGUCGAUGGAUUCAAUUUGAGUAAACCCUUGAGCGACAAGCCUUGCCUUGUUGCGAAUAAUGAUUCCAUCUUUAUCAACCUUGUUGCGAUAGACCCAGCGAGUUCCGGUGAUGGUCUUUCCUAAUGGUCUUGGGACAAGAGUCCAAACUUUGUGCCUUUCAAACUCAUUCAGUUCUUCGUGCAUGGCUUUAAUCCAGUCAGCAUCUUGAAGAGCUAUGUGUAUCUUGUCAGGUAAGAUCAGUGAAACGAAAUUAACAUACAUGCAAAAGUUAUUAGAUACACGAGAUCUGGUUCGGACACCAUCAUGAAUAUUCCCAAUAAUUUGAUCAACAGGAUGAUAUCGAUGUUCAGUGACUGAUGCUGAUUCCGGAGAGUUUGACACUGACAAGUUAUCAGUUUCAGGAGAGUCUUCAGCUUCAAGGAUUUCAUCAGCACCUAAUGAAUUAUCUGCUGAUCUGGCUGCAGUAUCUUGAUUCAAGGAACAUGGAACUGGAACGAUAGAAUCAGAAGAAUCAGCUUCAUCUCCAGCAGGAGGGACUUCGUCAAAUGGACAAGAGAGAAGCUCUUGAAAAAUAGAAGAAGAAUGAGUGACUUUUUCAUCAGUGUAUGAUUCCUCAUCAAACUUCACAUGAAUGGAUUCUUCAAUGCAUUGCCUGUUCACAUGAAAAACACGAAAAGCCUUUGAAAUGGAUGAGUACCCAACGAAAAUACCUUUAUCAGCCUUAGGUUCAAACUUGGAUCUUGGGUCACGCUGAUUUAGAAUAUAACAAAUACAUCCGAAUACAUGAAAAAAGGAUACAUCUGGCUUUCGAUCUUUCAGCAUUUCAUAUGGUGUCUUCUUAUGAAUCCUGUGAAUUAGAGAUCGAUUCUGAGUAAAGCACGUUGUAUUGACAGCUUCAGCCCAAAACGACAUAGGAAGACCAGCAUGGAUCAUCAAGGUCCUUCCUGCCUCAAUCAGUGUUCUAUUUCUUCGUUCAGCAACUCCAUUUUGUUGAGGAGUACGAGGAGCUGAGAAGUUUUGCCCAAUGCCUUUAUGAUCACAAAAUUCUUCAAGAGUUGAAUUUCGGAACUCAGUACCAUGAUCACUUCUUAGUUGCUUAACUUUGAGACCUGUCAGUGUCUCAUUUUUACGAAUCAGUGAAAUAAUUUCCUGUGCAGCAUGACUUUUCUUCUUCAGGAAAACCACCCAUGUAAAUCGAGUGAACUCAUCCACAACCACUAGAGUAUACUUAUUUCCACCUAGAGAACGGACAGGAAUAGGUCCAAACAAGUCCAUGUGGAGUAAAUGAAGAGGGACUGAUAUACUGGAACAUGACUUGGGUUUGAAAGAGGACUUGGUUUGUUUUCCUUGUUCACAAGCUGAGCACAUCUUGUCUUUCACAACGCUGAAUUUUGGAAGCCCUCUAACUAGAUCUUGAUUGGAUAUUUUGGAUAGGUUCUUGAAGUUCAGAUGAGAGAACCUUUUGUGCCAAAUCCAGCUAAGAUUGGUCUGAGACUUUGUAAAGAAGCAUUGCAUCAGCGCCUUGUCACUUGAGAACAUAUCAAGAACAUAUAUAUCAUCUUUUCUACUUGCUAAAAGUACGAUGUUCUUGUCAGUGUUGACAACUCUACCUUCCUUCUUUGUAAAGUGAACUUCAUAGUCAGCAUCACACAAUUGGCUGAUGGAGAUAAGGUUGUGUUUGAGACCCUUUACAUAUGAAACAUUUUGAAAAACCACGUUAUUGCAUUUGAUAUUUCCAUAUCCUUUAGUGAACCCCUUUCCAUUGUCUCCAUAAGUUACUGCAGGACCAGUUUUCUUGACAUAAUCUUCCAGGAGAGACUUUGAUCCUGUCAUAUGUCUUGAGCAACCACUAUCUAAGUACCAAAGAUGCUCCUGACCCUGCAGUGCUGAGAAACUAGUUAGAACACACUGACCCAUUCGAGGAUGGGUCAUUCACAAAGUUAUUUGAUAAUAGAUUAUAACACUCCUUAGGAAGACAGUUUAAAGAAUUUGACUUAAGAGUCCAUUUUUCAUUUCUAACUUUAAUAUUAUUAGAUCUUAAAGAUGAUUUAUCAAAUGAACAUUCACUAAUCUUAUGAGAAGUAUCACCACAUCUGUAACAAACUCUAGUACCAAAGUUCCUCUUGGUGAGCAAUUUUUUGGACUUAACACAUUUAGACUUGUAAGAUUCACCAAGAGAGCUUUGUGUCCUUUUGUUAAUUAUUGAAUCACAACUGAAUUCAGUGUCAGACAAAUUAUGAUCAGUGAUAGACGAUGAGCUAUCAUCAAUGUCUGAUUUGGACUUAUUCACAAUUACAUUGCAAUCAGGAAAAUGCUUAAGUUGUUCAUGAACAGCAUGAAACACUCCAUUUGAGAUAGGAAAGGCAAUAAUAUUCUUAGAGAGAGGAGUUGGUCUUACAAGAUGUGUUGGGUAAGAGGUUGGAUCAAUUCCGAUAAUUUCAACAUUACACUCAGUAACACCAUUAGAGUUAGUAACACAGUAUUCAUCAAUUAAACUCUGAUUAAUAAAAGAGUUACUGACAAACUUAUUUUUGAAAUUGUUUUUCAUCUCAUUCAUGGAAUAAAAUUCAGAUUCUUUUUCUUGUGAUUUAAAAACUUUUUCAGCUUCUGCAAAAUUACCCCCAAGAAUUUUCUCACAUGAAUGUGGAAUUUGAGCAGAAAUAAUAUAAUUAGCAUUUUUGUGAGAUUUUGCCCAAGUAUGAAGCACAGUUUGUUCUUUGAUCAAAAGAUCUUUAACAUUAUCAAUUUCAGCAGACAAAGAUGAGUUUGACAAACUAGUGAUUCUAAGAUUUUCCUGAGUGGAAUCAAUAAGGUUAUUUUUCAUGGAUGUUUCAGUUUUAAGAAGAUCAAGUUGACUUUGCAAAUCCCUUAUUGUUUGAUUCUUCUUAGAAUUAAUAACACCCAAAUACUCAAACAUUUUGAUUUUUUCAUUCAUUGAAUAGGAAACAAAGUUUUUGACCUAAUACAUUGAAGGAGAGUCAGUGUUGUGCUUCUUGGAUGUUUCAACUGCAUCAGACAUAUCAGCAUCAAAUGUACUUGUGCCUUUUUCAAGGACAUCCGUGUCUUCUAUCUUUACCAUUAGACACUUGACUUCAUCAUCAGAUGACUCCUCAUCAGUCUUCCAAUUUUCUUCUUCAGCAACAAGAACUUUAUGUUCCAAGUUUUAUGCUUUCAGUUUCUCAAUCAGCUUGUUGUACUUCUGCUUCCAGUAUUCAUCCGAGCCUUGUUUUUUUUGUUUACAUUCCUUUGCAAAAUGAUCAGUGCUCCCACAGCUAAAGCACUAAGCCUUCCUUUUCUUAUCAGCACCAUGCUUUUUAUCAGCAUCUGAUCUUUUUGAAAACUUUCCUCCCAUCUUCUUCUGAAACUUUGAGAAGCUUCGGCCUGAUUUCUCAAAAGUCUUUACAAUCAAAGCUGCACUAGCUACAACCUUUUCAAGAUCAUCAGUGUCAGUUUUAGAGGAAUCAGUAUCUGAAUGGCUUUCAGUGUCUGAAUCUGACACUAGCUUUUUGUUUGAGAACAAAGCUACAGAUGAUUCACGCUGAGAAUCUUUCAUCAGCUCCUUUCUUUGAAGCUUGGAUUCCUCAUAGUAUCGAAGAUUUCCAUAGAGACUUUGUAAGUCCAUAGUGUUGAUCUUCUCACUAUUUUUCAGCACAUCAACAUGGUUCUCCCAACCUGCACCUAGAGAAUCCAAAAACUUCUGCACUAGAACAGUUCUAUGCUUCAACUGAUCUAAUCUUCGUAAAUCAUUAACAAGAGUAUUGAAUCUGUUAAAGGUUUGAGUCAAAGUUUCACCUUUCUUUGCAAAAAAAUGUUCAUACCUUCUGUUAAGAUCAUUUAUUUGAGUAGCCUUGACUUCUUCAGUGCCUUCAAAAGAUACAGUCAAAGUAUCUAUCAUCUCUUUUGCUGAGAUGCAAUUUUGAACCAACCCAAAGAUAUUAUAUGACAGAGUGUAGCUGAUUGCAGCACGAGCACGAACAUCUAGACCAUGUUUUCUUUUGUCAUCUGCCGUCCAGUUUUCUUUAGGUGUUUUCUUCAUAGCACCAUCAGGAACGUUAUUUUUCAGAGGUUGAUACAUUGGGACGUAUGGACCAUUUUCGACGAUGUCCAACAUGUCUUCAUCUACUGACUUUAAAGCAUAUAGAGCCUUUAUUUUCGACAUGGCAAAAUUUGUUUCAUCAAAAGAAGGAAUUUUAGCGGAAGGAUGAUUUGAUGAGUUCGAUGAAGAAGAAGAUGAAGCCAUUUGUUUGAUAAAAGAAACCUUCUCUAAUACCAAUUGAAAAGCCUUUAGAUCAAUCAAUUUAUCAAACAAUAACAUUAAAUAAGAAUAAGAAGAAUUCACGAAGAAAAACUUUCAGUAAGAAAGAUAAUCUCACAAAGAGAUUAUCGUGUGCACAAUGCAGCGAUUAGGGUUUGUGAAAGGUGUAACCUUUCACAAACCGAUACAAAAGAUUAUAUACUGCUAUUCUAGACAAUCCCUACAAAUCAGGGAUAUGCCAGCUAACUAAUUUAUGCUAACUAUGGAAGCAAGAUAAAUACAAAAUCUGUUACAAUGCGCUGACUAAACUAAACAAGCUAAGCUGUUGAAAUGCUGAUGCUGAUACUGAGAUAUGCGCUGAUGCUGAGAUUUAUUUCAAACAUCAUCAUAUUUCAAGGUUUGACCUUACAUGUGGUUGUGGAAUGAAAGUACUAAGUAAGUUUGGACAAGAUUCCCUUCUCUACAACUACUACAUCAUUCAGAACUCCCAAAAGAAGUUUACAAUCUUGGAUGAUAACUUCCCAACAAUCAACCCAAAUGAUGUACUUAUGAUUAUGGCUCAUCUCAAAGACAAACAAGACAGUGAAACAAGCAUUGGAGCUUAUAUUGUAGCACUAAAAUUCCUAAAGGAUUAUAUUGCUAAAUUUGGUCGCUCGGAUGUUGAAUUUGCUCCCUUGUUUAAGACCGAGAAUCUCCUUGCUCUAGUUGACACAAAGAUGGAAAAGAUUGAUCUGCUAAACAAAUGUCUUUUUCCAGAACCUGAGCUCGGAUACAUCUACAAGAGGAAGAACUCAGAAAAGAAAAAAUUAUUCAGGGAUAGACAAAAGCACUUGGUUCACACUAGUGUGUUUCAGAAAAUCUUUCCCAAAACUGCCAAGUCUCAUGCUUUCGAACAAAUCAAGGAAUGGUUAAUCAAACAACUCAGUUGGUGGACUGAGGUUAGACAUUGGCUGCAAAUUGCUUACCUGUUUGUCUUUGGAGAUCAAGUGUAAAAGCUCAAUGAUUACCAAGAUCACUUGGGGGGAUAUUUUUAAUUCAAAAACAAGUGCUCCCUUGUCAAUCCAAAAUUCUAUAAUCCGAGCUAUCAAUUGUUUCCGAUGAGAUGUAGAGUGAAGAAAUCUAAGAUUGAUAUUUUUCUGAAGCUGUUUGUAUUCCGAUGUUUGUAGAUUGAGUGAUUUUGUUUUUGUACUAUUUUAUCUUCACGUAAAUUUUAUUUUGUUCGGUAGAGCAUGUAUGAUACAACAACCAACCGCACCGAUGUUUCAGGUGGUUGAUCUGUUAUAAGAUUUGUAACAUCCCGAAAUCAGGUAUAUCUCCUUGGCCCUUUGAAACGACCCAAAAAUACGACCCAAAAAUUUUCAUUUUUCAAUAUAAUCAAAACCAUAAUAUGAGUAUCAUAACAUAAAAACAUACGCGAUGUAUCCCAAUCAUAAUAAAAUACUGUGCGGAAAACUGUAUCAUACUACAUCAAAUCCAAAACAACUAAAACCAUCCCCAGGAUAAAAGCUAAGCUGUGGUGUGUGCGAUGCUGUCACCCCGAGCUCUUCCCUUUGCUUGCGGAAGUACCUGAAACCAAAACUGAAACUGUAAGCACGAAGCUUAGUGAGCUCCCCCAAAAUACCACAUACCAUACAAUAACAUAUAACACAUAUUGGGCCUUGCCCACUGCAUCGGGCCGAAGCUCGGAAACUGCAUCGGACCGAAGUCCGGAACUGACUGGGACCUUGUCCCCUGCAUCGGACCAAAGUCCGGAACUAACUGCAUCGGACCGAAGUCCGGAACUAACUGGGACCUUGUCCCCUGCAUCGGACCGAAGUCCGGAACUAACUGCAUCGGACCGAAGUCCGGAACUAACUGGGACCUUGUCCCCUGCAUCGGACCGGAGUCCGGAACUAACUGACUGAACAUAUCAUAGCAUAUCAACUAGCAUGAACACAUAUACUGCAUACUACAUCGAGCCGUAGCCCGGAACACAUAACACGUAACACAUAAAACAUAGCACAUAAAUCCUGUCUGAGCCACGAAGGCAUCAAACAUACUAGCUGCUACAUCGGACCGAAGUCCGGAAACUACUGCUAACUGGACGGGCCGGCAUUGUGGCCUUAGACCCGUCCCUACUUGAAGGAAACUCACCUCGUAAACUGGCGGCUGAGUGUGUGUCUCUGAAAGCUACCGGCUGCUGCUCCUGAAUCUCCUCGGCUACAAGUCCAUAAGCACACUCAAUCAAAUACUAAACACUGCACUUGGGGUAAAAUGACUCUUUUACCCUUGGUCAAAGUCAACUCUCUUUGGGCUGACUCGCCGAGUUGGGCCACCCAACUCGCCGAGUCCUACUCUCACUUCUCAGUUCUACACGCUGCUACUCGUCGAGUGUGGCAUCGACUCGACGAGUACCCUCUUGAUCCAAGAACUCAGACAAUCUUCAUCCGACUCGCCGAGCCGUAUGAACAAACUCGACGAGUUGUUCAUGAUCCUAAGAAGAUUGCCUUGGACUCGCCGAGUUGUAUGAACAACUCGCCGAGUCCCUCCAUCACUGAGUCUACCCUCAACUCGCUGAGUCCACUCUCUAACUCACUGGAUUCACUCGACACUGAUCAAAAUGAAGGACUCGGGAACUCGCGACCCAACUCGCCGAGUCGUUCUUCCCGACUCGCCGAGUUGCCGCCAUGCAACUGAUUUUUACUCGAUUUUGUUUGAAUCCAACACAUACAAUUGAUAGAUCUGAGUCCAAUAAGCUGAUUUACCACGUAAAGUUUCCAACUUUACGUGCACAACCUCAUGAAUAAGGGAAAUAAGGCUAAAAGAUGCAUAAAAUGGGUAGAUCUAUGAUUAAUAUGCAAAGUAACUCCAAAAAGACAGUAGAUCUGGGCUCUACAACACCCCAUCAUUCAGAUCUAAAGAUAUCUCGACUUAUUAAGGCAUUCAUGCAAACAUAAGGCUUGGAACAAGCAUCAACUAGCUCUUAGGAGAGCCCUAAUGGAAGUUUAAAGCAUAUAACAAGAGGGGAACUCCGAAAAUACCUCAAAUAACUCAGAUUUGCCCUUGGAUCUUUGCACUACAACUCUUCUCCUUGCUUCUUUCUUCUUCUCCUUCUUCACACCUUCACAAAAUGGCACCAAAAACACUUAUAAGCUCUCAAGGGAGGAUUAGGGUUUUCUCACUGUGUUCUCAGGGUGAGGGAGGCGAGAAUGGGGCUAUAAGGUGGUUUAAAUAGUGGGCAACCCGGGGAUUUAGGGUUUCACCCAGACGGAUGGACUCGCCGAGUCCAGGAUAUGGACUCGCCGAGUCCCCGGCUCACGCGUGCUCGCAGUCGCGACCCUACUCGGCGAGUCAGGCUAUGAACUCGUCGAGUCCCUCUUGCAAAACUUACAACAAUUACCAAUGAAUUAACAUACCGGGAACGGGUCGUUACACCCUUCUUCUUUCCUUAAGUUGUCAGUUUUUGCCCGAGUGUAGUUAGUGUGAUAAUCGAGUAUGUUGGGCGUAAUAGGGAGUACGUCACACGUUCUCGUUAGCGUAUUCAUGACGCGGAGGUUGCCUGGUACGUGGGGCGUACCAGGUCCAGAAUGAAACCUUAAUUCUAAAUGAGCCCCCUUGUUAGGGGUGUCAGACCCAACAAAUAAUAGGGGUACGAGAUACUCCUGAGUAACACUACUUUAUUGCACUAAAAAGUAGUACAAGGCAAGUAGGGUCGAUCCACAGAGACAUGGGACAAUNCAAGUAGGGUCGAUCCACAGAGACACGGGACAAUCAGUCCAUACCCUUUUUGCGUAAGGUACUUGUUCACAAAAAAUGAAAGAAAAAGGGGGGUUUGAUUGCAAUGAUUAGACAAAUAAAGUAAAAUCACAAGUAAUUGGCUGAAUGAGUAAAUUAAAUUCAGAUAUUAUAAAGACUCCAACUUCAUGUAUGACAGUUCAACAAUGUGAAUCCAAGAUGACAAGACUUUUGUUUCAUUCUAUCUAAAUUGGUACUUGAAAGUGUUAACAAGCUCUAACACUUUCCAUUCACCACAAUAAUUAACCAAAACAAGCUCUUUGAUUAAUCCUAACCUUACUGACCUAAUCUAAAAAAGCUGUUAGAAUUAGAUUGAAAGAUUGCAAAAAGCUUUAUGUGAAUGUUCCUAACAACACCCAAUACUUCUCAUAAGCUCGGAAGUGUAAAAGUGUAUGAAUAAGAUUUACACUAAAUUCAUUCAAUAGAGAUCAAUUUAAUGUUUGUUACUUGUUCAAUUUCACAAAACAAUUACGGAUUUUGUAAAAGAGAUAACUGGAGUGACCUAACCCUAAUUCAAAUGGCCAAUAAGAAUCACAAUUAGAAUCAAACAUUCGACUGAAGCAAAAUCAAAUUCAUUAGAUAGAAAUUAAGAACAAACAUCAAGUCAUAUGAUUAGAUUCGCAACUAGAAAUUCAAAACAUGAGUUGGAGAAAUUAGGGUUCUAGCCACACAUGACUAGAACAAAACUGGAAUUCUAGAAGAUGAAAUCAAGAACUAAAGUGCUUACAAAUAUGAAAUCAAAAUGUUUCCAAAUGUUUAACGGACAAUCCUUGCUAAAACCUUCAAUUCCUUCUCUCCAAAAAUGCUUUUCUCCGCUCUGCCUCCCCCCAAGAAUGACCUAAUUCCCGUAAUAAGAAAAGAGGAAAAACUGCCAAAAAGACAGUUUUUAAGUUGAACACGCCCCGUGUCGAAAAAGAGCAAAUCAACACGGGUCGUGUUGAGUGUAAACCAACCCUUCAAUUCUCGAUUCCAAAUUUGAAGUACGAUGCUCAAAAAUGCCCAGCUAGCCCAACACGCCCCGUGUCUAUAUAGGCUGAAUGAACACGGGUCGUGUUCAGUGAAGUCAAAAUUGCUUGAACCGUCAAACACGCCCCAUGUUGGAUUCUAAGCCAAACCCAACACACCCCGUGUUGCCCUUUGGAUGCUCAUCCAAACUUGAUUUUUCUAAUUCUUCCGAUUCUCGCCCAAUCGUCCCACAAUCUUCACCAACGCUCCCUAGCACCUCCAAAAGCACGCUCCAACCUCCGGUUCACUUGAAAAGGACACGAAGGAGUGCAAAUAAAUCUGCUCAAGAAAUUAACCUAGAUAAGCUAAAAUGCAAUAAAAACAAUGAAAUUAUGCUAAGGACAUACAUAAAAAAGGGCUAAAAGUUGUGCAAAAAGGUGCACAAAAUGCACCUAACAGAUCUCCCCAAGCUUAGACCUUUCUUGUCCUCAAGAAAGAACAAGAAACAGACAAAACAUGAUGAUUUCUAGAUGACAAAAAGAAACUUAGAACGAAAAGGGGAUGAAGGAUCCUAAAGGUUAAGAAUGAAUGCAUGCAAUGUAAUGCCAUGAAAAUUUAAGAUAUGUACAAAAUGCACUUGAGAAACAAAAUGAAGCAAAAGAAAAGAAAAUUAAGAACAAACACAAAAUAUAUACUUUUGUAACUAAAUAAAGGUACGAUCAGACUUUACAUCAAUAGGGCUCCAAUCAUUGAUACGUUGGCAACCAUCCUGUUUCCUUCCACAUAUCACAGACUCUCAAUGUGAGGAAGACCCGAAACGGUGUAACCCAAUAAUCCAACCAAAAUUUUAUUUAAUCUUUAUACCUUACUAAGCUUUAUGGGCGAAAAUAACAUAGUCCGGAUUUCAUGUCCUUAAGACUAGGCCAAGAAUCAGAAUCGACGCAUCCUUAAGAGCCCGUCACGGCGAAUCAACUUUCGCUGAAACAGUGAGCCCACCCGAAGGGGCCCAGCUCCUAUGCUUUCACUUUUUCGAGAGCCACAAGUAUCAUAUCACACAGUUCUUCAUUCGCCAUAUUCGACUUGAAUUGGCUUUUGAUUUGAUUGAACUUUGAUUUGUACUGCGUUUUGAAUUUGGAUUCUUCAAUCUUCAUUUUUGGAAUUUCUUUAGAUUUCUUCGUUUUUGCAUUUGAAAAUCUGAUUAGGGUACUAGAUAUGACAGUUGUACCCUUCCUUCUUUCUUGACUAUGUGGAUCUGAUACUUAAGUUCUCUGUUACAAUGGGGGUAACGCGUGUCAACAAAUAGGUCCGUGUUUUGUGGGUUCAGAGUUGCCGAUAAAGAUUCUUUUUAAACAUUCAAAAGCAAAUCAUCCUAAAGCUGUUAUUACCGCCCAAAAAAACGUUUCAAUAUAAAUUCUUUUUAUUAUCUAAGGCUAGGGUCUCGAAUUACGGUGUUUGGGUCCCCUAGUUAUGACAGCUGAUUCUACGCUUCUGGUAACUAUCCGGUCGCCUCGGAAUUCUUCCCACUUCAUGGAGCAAUUGUAUGUAAAGAGUGUCAUCAUCUUGUACAUUUUUUUUUGAAAAACAAAUAUAGAAUGCAAGGAAAAUGAAAAUAAGAAAAUAAAAUAGAAAAGAGAAAAUAAGAGAGAAUAAAAUAAAAAUUUUGAAAAUAAGAAAAUGCAUGCUUGAGUAUGAAUGAACCUAAUAUACAAGUCUACCCCUCCCCAAUCUUAAAGAUAAGCAUCGUCCUGGAUGCUUGGAGAGGGUGGAACAACCUAAAACGGAGGUGGAGGAGGAGGAUAGUAGCUGGGGUUUUGGGUCCAAGCCCAGAAGUCCUCCUCAUGUUUAUGUUGACGCUCUUGGUCCCGAGCGUACUGAGUGGUGAAGGUGGAAAAUUUUUGGGUCAGGCUUGCAAUAUCUUGCUGGUAGGUAUCGAGGCGGGUAUGGAUUGAUUGGAAUUCAUCCAUAUACUGCUGAUGAUAAGACGGGGGUGCAGCAAAAUGGGAUGAGCUGGCACCACCGGUGGCAGAAGAAUGGUGGGGCUCUUCCUCCUCUUCAUCAUCAUCAUCACCAUCUUCCUCGUUUCUUCACUUUGCUCAUUUACCUCGGUGGAGUAUGAGUGGGGGAAGAUGUAUGGAAUGAUUUGUCAAUCGGUCAUGUGAAUGGGAUUUUGGAAAUCAAGAAUGCCUUUAUUUUCUGGUGUGAUAAGGAGCUUUGGAUCAUGAUUUUGACCCACGGUCCAAUGGUGUGUGCCAUCGCCUGCCAAACGGAAGAGUGGCAUGGACUCAAGGACAGUAGUGGUGAGAUAAGGCUCACUCAGCAGUGGAUGAUAGGGACCGGGGUAUGGGGCUCGGAUUUGGGCGCUCUUGGCGAGCAUGCUGACAAUACCCCCGCAAAUAAUCUUUCCCGAUCGGGAUGUGCUCAGGCGGAUGAGCUUGUGGCACAAAAACCGACCAUAAUGAGGAAUGAGGUUAUUCUUGGGAUGGGUCAUUGCAUAGAGGAUUUUGAGUUCUAGCGCGUUGAUGGUGCUUCGCUCCUCUCUAGGGGUGACGAGCGAAGCAAUGAUUCUAUGGGCUACCUUCAUCACGAGAUGGAUAAGUGAUGAGGCUUUAGUAGCACUAGAGACAUAUGGGUGUAAUUGGGUGAGUUGGGUCCACCAUGUCAAGUCAAAGUAUCCUUGAAUUGGGUCAGUGGGGCCAAAUGUGUUUUCCGUCGAGACCCCCACAAUGGCAUUGAUUUGAUCCAAAGAGAUCUCGUAGUAUUGAUUCAUUAGAUGGAAGGAGAGGAUCCCAUGGUCCAAAUAAACUGAGGAUAGAAACUCAGCUGUUGGGACUUUAUAGCUCAAUUCAUGGACCCUCAACAAGUCGUGCCACCCUAUGUUGCGAAACAAGGUUUUCACUUGAUUGUAAACAUGCAACUCUUUUAGGGAUGGAACAUGCGUGAAUUUUUGGAUGGCAUGACCCCCUUUAAGGAAUGACUCAAGUUUGCCCUGUUGAAUUGGGCCAAGACAUACGACACCACAAUGAGACGGGUUGGCUAGGGGUGUUGGGGACCUAGGUGGAGGUGAUGGGUAUCUAGAUGGAGGUGAUGGGGUCCUAGGCUUCCGAUGGCGGGCGGAUGAUUUGGUUUGUCUUGGUCUUUUGGAAGAUGCAACUUCCAUAGUCAAGUUUUGGGACAAAUUAAAAGUCAAUAGGUCAAUAUGUCAAAAAGUCAUCUUCGAAUUUGGCCACCAAAAUUUCACGGGAAAUUUGGUUUUCAAAGAUUUCCUACUAAGAAUCAAGUCCAAAUAGACCGCAAUUUUCAAGUAAUUUGACUCAAGAACACAAAAUCCAAAAGUUAAGAGUUGGGAGCAACUUACCGAAUCGUGUGUGGGAUUGUGUUGGUAUUGAUGGAAAAGAUCUUCCUUAACCUCCCCAAGCUUGACCUUUUGAAGAUUAAGACACUAAAACACCAAAAUCACGUGAGAUUUUCGGAUCUAGGGUUUGUCAAAACCCCCAAAUCCACCAUUAAAAUGCAAGAAAAUGGUGUUUAAGAUGGAGAAGAUGAAGUGUAGACGAUGAAAAUCAAACCUUUUCGUAGAUGGAAUCCAAAAUCUUGAAGAAAUUGAAAGGUUUUGAUGAAAAUCGGACCUAAGGUUUUUGUUGGGAGAGAGAGGCUGUUAGGAAGUGAAAGUGGGGAUAAAUGAGGUCAAGUCCCGAUUUUUUUUCUUUAAAAAGCACCAGAAUUGCUGCGCGGACACAACCCGUGUCGCUGCAGGCUUAAUAGACACGCCCCGUGUUAGGGGGUUUUAUGCUGAGUUAAGGACGAACACGACCCGUGUUGGGUCUAAGCCAAAACUAAACACGACCCGUGUUAUGAUAUGGAGGAAUUGGGGGUACUUUUUGCAUGGACACGACCCGUGUUGAUUAUAGGCCAAAACCAACACGACCCAUGUUGGUCUCUGGAAGAAUUUGGGUCCUUUUUUACAUGAACACGACCCAUGUUCCAUUAAGGCUAAGCGGGACAUGACCCGCGUUGGUCUCUAGAUGCUAAUCCCCACUUUUUGAACUUGAAAAUUUCCCUCUCUUUGAAAUGAAAUACUUUUGCAUUCCUAGGUCCAUUUGGUGAUUUUAAAUCAUAUUUAAAUGUAUUUGGAACAUUGAAAACCAAAAACUCAAAGAAAUGGAAAUUGUUUUUAAAUAAAAGACAUAAAUACCCCCGGGUUGCCUCCCGGUUAGCCGCCCUUGUUUUAAGUCGUUGGCUCGACUUUUCCCCCAAGUGUGCUCCAGUCUUGGUAUGCGGGGUUCUCCAACUCGUCAACCUCUUCAUUCUUCACCUCAAAUCCUUCAUAAAACGGCUUCAGCCUGUGACCAUUGACUUUGAAUGUUUUACCCGUUUGCUUGCUCGUGAUUUCCACCGCACCAUGGUCAAACACCCUUGUGACCACGAAAGGACCAACCCAUCUCGAUCUCAACUUUCCUGAAAUUAGCUUGAAUCUUGAGUGGUAAAGCAACACCUUUUGUCCUUGUAUAAAAGUCUUUCGGGAGAUCGCCCUGUCAUGGUAUGCUUUUGUUUUCUCCUUAUAGAUCAUGUUGCUUUCGUAUGCAUCAUUCCGAAUCUCCUCUAGCUCUUGGAUAUCAAAUUUCCUUUUAUUUCCCACCUCAUCUUCACUCAUGUUGAAUUUCUUUACCGCCCAAAAAGCUUUAUGCUCAAGCUCAACUGGAAGAUGGCAUGCUUUACCAAACACAAGCCUAUAUGGGGACAUACCAAUGGGAGUUUUAAAGGCGGUACGGUAUGCCCAUAAGGCAUCAUCUAGCCUUAAGCUCCAAUCUUUGUGGUUUGGGUUGACCGUUUUCUCCAAGAUGCUUUUGAUUUGCUUGUUUGAGACUUCUGGUUGUCCAUUGGUUUGGGGAUGAUAAGUUGUUGCAACUUUGUAUGUCACUCCAUAUCUCUUCAAAACAACUUCUAGCAUCCGAUUGCAGAAAUGGGUCCCGCGGUCGCUUAUGAGCGCCUUUGGUGUGCCAAACCGUGAGAAAAUCUGUACCUUAAGGAAAUCGACCACAACUUUGGAAUCAUUAGUACGGGUGGCCUUAGCCUCCACCCAUUUGGACACAUAGUCCACCGCUAACAAAAUACAAGAACAACCAAAAGAGGGCGGAAAUGGUCCCAUAAAGUCAAUACCCCAUAUAUAAAAAAUCUCACAUACUAGAAUAGGGGUAAGGGGCAUUUUAUUCCUAGAGCUUAAAGAUCCGGAUUUUUGGCACUUUUCACAAUGUGCACAAAGCACAUAGGAAUCAUGAAAAAUAGAAGGCCAAAAGAAUCCGCUAUCUAAAACUUUCCUAGCUGUCCUUUGGGGUCCAAAGUGACCACCACAAGCAUAAGAAUGACAAAAAUUAAGGAUAUAUUGUACCUCUUUUUUCUCAACACACCUGCGAAUUACUUGGUCCGUACAGUACUUCCAAAGGUAAGGCUCGUCCUAUAUGUAUCAUUUGGCUUCCUUCUUGAUUUUGUCUCUUUGCCAACGGGAUGAAUCUGGGGGAAAUUGACUUGUGACCAAGUAAUUGACGAUAUCUGUAUACCAUGGUGCUUCUUUGGCUGCAAAUAGAUGCUCAUCUGGAAAUGUGUCACAGAUUGGUAUACCAUCUUCGGGCGAUACAAUGCAACUUAGAUGAUCCGCAACCAGAUUUUCCUUUCCACUCUUGUCUUUGAUCUCAAUAUCGAACUCUUGCAAAAGCAGCAUCCACCGUAUUAACCUCGACUUUGAAUCUUUCUUUGUAAGCAAGUGCUUUAUGGAUGCAUGGUCCGAAUAUAUGAUCACUUUAGUUCCAAGGAGGUAUUGUCGGAACUUCUCUAGAGCAAAGACAAUAGCAAGCAACUCUUUCUCCUUUGUGGUGUAGUUGCCUUGUGCACUAUCAAGGGUCUUUGAUGCAUAGUAGAUGACAUGAUGUGCUCGGUCAACCUUUUGUCCCAAAACCGCCCCACCCGCGGUAUUGCUAGCAUCGCAUAUGAUCUCGAAUGGAAGAUCUCAAUUUGGCAGUUGAAUUGUCACACCCCCAAACCAAGGAUGGCGGAAACGUCCGAGGGUGGAGGACUUCAUGUAGAGUAUCACAACAACGAGUAUAAUAGUGCUCAAAGUAAAUACAACCAUCAUAAAUAUAAUUGAAAAAGUUACACCAAAGUAUAUGUUUACAUGAUUCAAAUCAAUUACAUUAUGAUACAAAAUGAACUGUUCGACGAUUUAUCGUCCCAUCCUCAAAACGUGGUUGAUUUCCUGUUUCACUGAAUUCCUGAGAAUACAAGUAGUUUUGAAAAGUGUCAACACAAAGGUUGGUGAGUUCAUAAGCUUUUGACAGUAAGAGUUUGAAAAUCGAUCUUUGUAAAGAGAUGUAUGUUACCAAGAAAAAUCCAAUAUUUUCCUUACAAAAGUUAUGUAGUCCUAAAUACCAGGACCGAAAAUGAACAACUAUUUGUCAUACUUAAAGAUAUAAAAGUGGUUUUAAAUCGGCAUAAAACCCUUUCUGAUGUGAGAAAAAUCCCGUAAUGAAUGAUGUGUAGUCUUAAAUACCAAGACCGAAAGUAUACAAUAAAGUAUGUAAUUGUUGAUGUAAAAAGUGAUUUUAAAUCGACAUAAAACCCUUUUUGAUAUGAAGGCGUAUAAGUAUUUUUCCAUACUUAAAGUAAUUUCAGUGAGCUAAAUAGACAUAACUCGCUAAUUUAAAGUUAGAACCCGUAAAUCUUAUGAUUNNNNNNNNNNNNNNNNNNNNNNNNNNNNNNNNNNNNNNNNNNNNNNNNNNNNNNNNNNNNNNNNNNNNNNNNNNNNNNNNNNNNNNNNNNNNNNNNNNNNNNNNNNNNNNNNNNNNNNNNNNNNNNNNNNNNNNNNNNNNNNNNNNNNNNNNNNNNNNNNNNNNNNNNNNNNNNNNNNNNNNNNNNNNNNNNNNNNNNNNNNNNNNNNNNNNNNNNNNNNNNNNNNNNNNNNNNNNNNNNNNNNNNNNNNNNNNNNNNNNNNNNNNNNNNNNNNNNNNNNNNNNNNNNNNNNNNNNNNNNNNNNNNNNNNNNNNNNNNNNNNNNNNNNNNNNNNNNNNNNNNNNNNNNNNNNNNNNNNNNNNNNNNNNNNNNNNNNNNNNNNNNNNNNNNNNNNNNNNNNNNNNNNNNNNNNNNNNNNNNNNNNNNNNNNNNNNNNNNNNNNNNNNNNNNNNNNNNNNNNNNNNNNNNNNNNNNNNNNNNNNNNNNNNNNNNNNNNNNNNNNNNNNNNNNNNNNNNNNNNNNNNNNNNNNNNNNNNNNNNNNNNNNNNNNNNNNNNNNNNNNNNNNNNNNNNNNNNNNNNNNNNNNNNNNNNNNNNNNNNNNNNNNNNNNNNNNNNNNNNNNNNNNNNNNNNNNNNNNNNNNNNNNNNNNNNNNNNNNNNNNNNNNNNNNNNNNNNNNNNNNNNNNNNNNNNNNNNNNNNNNNNNNNNNNNNNNNNNNNNNNNNNNNNNNNNNNNNNNNNNNNNNNNNNNNNNNNNNNNNNNNNNNNNNNNNNNNNNNNNNNNNNNNNNNNNNNNNNNNNNNNNNNNNNNNNNNNNNNNNNNNNNNNNNNNNNNNNNNNNNNNNNNNNNNNNNNNNNNNNNNNNNNNNNNNNNNNNNNNNNNNNNNNNNNNNNNNNNNNNNNNNNNNNNNNNNNNNNNNNNNNNNNNNNNNNNNNNNNNNNNNNNNNNNNNNNNNNNNNNNNNNNNNNNNNNNNNNNNNNNNNNNNNNNNNNNNNNNNNNNNNNNNNNNNNNNNNNNNNNNNNNNNNNNNNNNNNNNNNNNNNNNNNNNNNNNNNNNNNNNNNNNNNNNNNNNNNNNNNNNNNNNNNNNNNNNNNNNNNNNNNNNNNNNNNNNNNNNNNNNNNNNNNNNNNNNNNNNNNNNNNNNNNNNNNNNNNNNNNNNNNNNNNNNNNNNNNNNNNNNNNNNNNNNNNNNNNNNNNNNNNNNNNNNNNNNNNNNNNNNNNNNNNNNNNNNNNNNNNNNNNNNNNNNNNNNNNNNNNNNNNNNNNNNNNNNNNNNNNNNNNNNNNNNNNNNNNNNNNNNNNNNNNNNNNNNNNNNNNNNNNNNNNNNNNNNNNNNNNNNNNNNNNNNNNNNNNNNNNNNNNNNNNNNNNNNNNNNNNNNNNNNNNNNNNNNNNNNNNNNNNNNNNNNNNNNNNNNNNNNNNNNNNNNNNNNNNNNNNNNNNNNNNNNNNNNNNNNNNNNNNNNNNNNNNNNNNNNNNNNNNNNNNNNNNNNNNNNNNNNNNNNNNNNNNNNNNNNNNNNNNNNNNNNNNNNNNNNNNNNNNNNNNNNNNNNNNNNNNNNNNNNNNNNNNNNNNNNNNNNNNNNNNNNNNNNNNNNNNNNNNNNNNNNNNNNNNNNNNNNNNNNNNNNNNNNNNNNNNNNNNNNNNNNNNNNNNNNNNNNNNNNNNNNNNNNNNNNNNNNNNNNNNNNNNNNNNNNNNNNNNNNNNNNNNNNNNNNNNNNNNNNNNNNNNNNNNNNNNNNNNNNNNNNNNNNNNNNNNNNNNNNNNNNNNNNNNNNNNNNNNNNNNNNNNNNNNNNNNNNNNNNNNNNNNNNNNNNNNNNNNNNNNNNNNNNNNNNNNNNNNNNNNNNNNNNNNNNNNNNNNNNNNNNNNNNNNNNNNNNNNNNNNNNNNNNNNNNNNNNNNNNNNNNNNNNNNNNNNNNNNNNNNNNNNNNNNNNNNNNNNNNNNNNNNNNNNNNNNNNNNNNNNNNNNNNNNNNNNNNNNNNNNNNNNNNNNNNNNNNNNNNNNNNNNNNNNNNNNNNNNNNNNNNNNNNNNNNNNNNNNNNNNNNNNNNNNNNNNNNNNNNNNNNNNNNNNNNNNNNNNNNNNNNNNNNNNNNNNNNNNNNNNNNNNNNNNNNNNNNNNNNNNNNNNNNNNNNNNNNNNNNNNNNNNNNNNNNNNNNNNNNNNNNNNNNNNNNNNNNNNNNNNNNNNNNNNNNNNNNNNNNNNNNNNNNNNNNNNNNNNNNNNNNNNNNNNNNNNNNNNNNNNNNNNNNNNNNNNNNNNNNNNNNNNNNNNNNNNNNNNNNNNNNNNNNNNNNNNNNNNNNNNNNNNNNNNNNNNNNNNNNNNNNNNNNNNNNNNNNNNNNNNNNNNNNNNNNNNNNNNNNNNNNNNNNNNNNNNNNNNNNNNNNNNNNNNNNNNNNNNNNNNNNNNNNNNNNNNNNNNNNNNNNNNNNNNNNNNNNNNNNNNNNNNNNNNNNNNNNNNNNNNNNNNNNNNNNNNNNNNNNNNNNNNNNNNNNNNNNNNNNNNNNNNNNNNNNNNNNNNNNNNNNNNNNNNNNNNNNNNNNNNNNNNNNNNNNNNNNNNNNNNNNNNNNNNNNNNNNNNNNNNNNNNNNNNNNNNNNNNNNNNNNNNNNNNNNNNNNNNNNNNNNNNNNNNNNNNNNNNNNNNNNNNNNNNNNNNNNNNNNNNNNNNNNNNNNNNNNNNNNNNNNNNNNNNNNNNNNNNNNNNNNNNNNNNNNNNNNNNNNNNNNNNNNNNNNNNNNNNNNNNNNNNNNNNNNNNNNNNNNNNNNNNNNNNNNNNNNNNNNNNNNNNNNNNNNNNNNNNNNNNNNNNNNNNNNNNNNNNNNNNNNNNNNNNNNNNNNNNNNNNNNNNNNNNNNNNNNNNNNNNNNNNNNNNNNNNNNNNNNNNNNNNNNNNNNNNNNNNNNNNNNNNNNNNNNNNNNNNNNNNNNNNNNNNNNNNNNNNNNNNNNNNNNNNNNNNNNNNNNNNNNNNNNNNNNNNNNNNNNNNNNNNNNNNNNNNNNNNNNNNNNNNNNNNNNNNNNNNNNNNNNNNNNNNNNNNNNNNNNNNNNNNNNNNNNNNNNNNNNNNNNNNNNNNNNNNNNNNNNNNNNNNNNNNNNNNNNNNNNNNNNNNNNNNNNNNNNNNNNNNNNNNNNNNNNNNNNNNNNNNNNNNNNNNNNNNNNNNNNNNNNNNNNNNNNNNNNNNNNNNNNNNNNNNNNNNNNNNNNNNNNNNNNNNNNNNNNNNNNNNNNNNNNNNNNNNNNNNNNNNNNNNNNNNNNNNNNNNNNNNNNNNNNNNNNNNNNNNNNNNNNNNNNNNNNNNNNNNNNNNNNNNNNNNNNNNNNNNNNNNNNNNNNNNNNNNNNNNNNNNNNNNNNNNNNNNNNNNNNNNNNNNNNNNNNNNNNNNNNNNNNNNNNNNNNNNNNNNNNNNNNNNNNNNNNNNNNNNNNNNNNNNNNNNNNNNNNNNNNNNNNNNNNNNNNNNNNNNNNNNNNNNNNNNNNNNNNNNNNNNNNNNNNNNNNNNNNNNNNNNNNNNNNNNNNNNNNNNNNNNNNNNNNNNNNNNNNNNNNNNNNNNNNNNNNNNNNNNNNNNNNNNNNNNNNNNNNNNNNNNNNNNNNNNNNNNNNNNNNNNNNNNNNNNNNNNNNNNNNNNNNNNNNNNNNNNNNNNNNNNNNNNNNNNNNNNNNNNNNNNNNNNNNNNNNNNNNNNNNNNNNNNNNNNNNNNNNNNNNNNNNNNNNNNNNNNNNNNNNNNNNNNNNNNNNNNNNNNNNNNNNNNNNNNNNNNNNNNNNNNNNNNNNNNNNNNNNNNNNNNNNNNNNNNNNNNNNNNNNNNNNNNNNNNNNNNNNNNNNNNNNNNNNNNNNNNNNNNNNNNNNNNNNNNNNNNNNNNNNNNNNNNNNNNNNNNNNNNNNNNNNNNNNNNNNNNNNNNNNNNNNNNNNNNNNNNNNNNNNNNNNNNNNNNNNNNNNNNNNNNNNNNNNNNNNNNNNNNNNNNNNNNNNNNNNNNNNNNNNNNNNNNNNNNNNNNNNNNNNNNNNNNNNNNNNNNNNNNNNNNNNNNNNNNNNNNNNNNNNNNNNNNNNNNNNNNNNNNNNNNNNNNNNNNNNNNNNNNNNNNNNNNNNNNNNNNNNNNNNNNNNNNNNNNNNNNNNNNNNNNNNNNNNNNNNNNNNNNNNNNNNNNNNNNNNNNNNNNNNNNNNNNNNNNNNNNNNNNNNNNNNNNNNNNNNNNNNNNNNNNNNNNNNNNNNNNNNNNNNNNNNNNNNNNNNNNNNNNNNNNNNNNNNNNNNNNNNNNNNNNNNNNNNNNNNNNNNNNNNNNNNNNNNNNNNNNNNNNNNNNNNNNNNNNNNNNNNNNNNNNNNNNNNNNNNNNNNNNNNNNNNNNNNNNNNNNNNNNNNNNNNNNNNNNNNNNNNNNNNNNNNNNNNNNNNNNNNNNNNNNNNNNNNNNNNNNNNNNNNNNNNNNNNNNNNNNNNNNNNNNNNNNNNNNNNNNNNNNNNNNNNNNNNNNNNNNNNNNNNNNNNNNNNNNNNNNNNNNNNNNNNNNNNNNNNNNNNNNNNNNNNNNNNNNNNNNNNNNNNNNNNNNNNNNNNNNNNNNNNNNNNNNNNNNNNNNNNNNNNNNNNNNNNNNNNNNNNNNNNNNNNNNNNNNNNNNNNNNNNNNNNNNNNNNNNNNNNNNNNNNNNNNNNNNNNNNNNNNNNNNNNNNNNNNNNNNNNNNNNNNNNNNNNNNNNNNNNNNNNNNNNNNNNNNNNNNNNNNNNNNNNNNNNNNNNNNNNNNNNNNNNNNNNNNNNNNNNNNNNNNNNNNNNNNNNNNNNNNNNNNNNNNNNNNNNNNNNNNNNNNNNNNNNNNNNNNNNNNNNNNNNNNNNNNNNNNNNNNNNNNNNNNNNNNNNNNNNNNNNNNNNNNNNNNNNNNNNNNNNNNNNNNNNNNNNNNNNNNNNNNNNNNNNNNNNNNNNNNNNNNNNNNNNNNNNNNNNNNNNNNNNNNNNNNNNNNNNNNNNNNNNNNNNNNNNNNNNNNNNNNNNNNNNNNNNNNNNNNNNNNNNNNNNNNNNNNNNNNNNNNNNNNNNNNNNNNNNNNNNNNNNNNNNNNNNNNNNNNNNNNNNNNNNNNNNNNNNNNNNNNNNNNNNNNNNNNNNNNNNNNNNNNNNNNNNNNNNNNNNNNNNNNNNNNNNNNNNNNNNNNNNNNNNNNNNNNNNNNNNNNNNNNNNNNNNNNNNNNNNNNNNNNNNNNNNNNNNNNNNNNNNNNNNNNNNNNNNNNNNNNNNNNNNNNNNNNNNNNNNNNNNNNNNNNNNNNNNNNNNNNNNNNNNNNNNNNNNNNNNNNNNNNNNNNNNNNNNNNNNNNNNNNNNNNNNNNNNNNNNNNNNNNNNNNNNNNNNNNNNNNNNNNNNNNNNNNNNNNNNNNNNNNNNNNNNNNNNNNNNNNNNNNNNNNNNNNNNNNNNNNNNNNNNNNNNNNNNNNNNNNNNNNNNNNNNNNNNNNNNNNNNNNNNNNNNNNNNNNNNNNNNNNNNNNNNNNNNNNNNNNNNNNNNNNNNNNNNNNNNNNNNNNNNNNNNNNNNNNNNNNNNNNNNNNNNNNNNNNNNNNNNNNNNNNNNNNNNNNNNNNNNNNNNNNNNNNNNNNNNNNNNNNNNNNNNNNNNNNNNNNNNNNNNNNNNNNNNNNNNNNNNNNNNNNNNNNNNNNNNNNNNNNNNNNNNNNNNNNNNNNNNNNNNNNNNNNNNNNNNNNNNNNNNNNNNNNNNNNNNNNNNNNNNNNNNNNNNNNNNNNNNNNNNNNNNNNNNNNNNNNNNNNNNNNNNNNNNNNNNNNNNNNNNNNNNNNNNNNNNNNNNNNNNNNNNNNNNNNNNNNNNNNNNNNNNNNNNNNNNNNNNNNNNNNNNNNNNNNNNNNNNNNNNNNNNNNNNNNNNNNNNNNNNNNNNNNNNNNNNNNNNNNNNNNNNNNNNNNNNNNNNNNNNNNNNNNNNNNNNNNNNNNNNNNNNNNNNNNNNNNNNNNNNNNNNNNNNNNNNNNNNNNNNNNNNNNNNNNNNNNNNNNNNNNNNNNNNNNNNNNNNNNNNNNNNNNNNNNNNNNNNNNNNNNNNNNNNNNNNNNNNNNNNNNNNNNNNNNNNNNNNNNNNNNNNNNNNNNNNNNNNNNNNNNNNNNNNNNNNNNNNNNNNNNNNNNNNNNNNNNNNNNNNNNNNNNNNNNNNNNNNNNNNNNNNNNNNNNNNNNNNNNNNNNNNNNNNNNNNNNNNNNNNNNNNNNNNNNNNNNNNNNNNNNNNNNNNNNNNNNNNNNNNNNNNNNNNNNNNNNNNNNNNNNNNNNNNNNNNNNNNNNNNNNNNNNNNNNNNNNNNNNNNNNNNNNNNNNNNNNNNNNNNNNNNNNAAUGCGGAAACCGAAGAGUGUGUGUAUGACGUGCCGCUACCGCGCCGGCUCCUUCCCCUUCGAUGCAGAGGUACCUGAAAACAAAACUGUAAACGUAAGCACAAAGCUUAGUGAGUUCCCCCAACGUACCGCAUACCAUACAAACACAUAACAUACAUACUGCCAGGCUAUUCUGGGGUGCCUGACUACCCGGUACGGCCAUUCUGGGGUGCCGUCCUACCCGUGUCAAGCCAUUCUGGGGUGCUGACUACCCAUGUCAAGCCAUUCUGGGGUGCUGACUACCCAUCGGUCCUAACAACCGACCACAGGGACUGGUCCCCUCAUACUACCUCUAUCACCUAUAACAUAACAAGCCAGCAUGCAAACAUAUAAUCCUAUACUGUCAGACGUAUCUGGGGUGUCUGACUACCUUUCGGUCCUAACAACCGAACUCGACUAUUAUCACAUACGGCAUAUCAUGCUAGCAUAUAACAUGUCAGGUACUAGCGAACUUAGAUGAUAUCACAAAGACAAUCAUCUAUCAUACAACUCCUACUGGUGGGUCGGCAUUGUGGCCUUAGACCCACCGCUACUGGAAGGUAACUCACCUCGAAGUAGCUGCUGAUCUGAUCGGGAACUGACUGCCUACUGCUGCUGCUGCUGCUCCGGAAAUCCUCCGGCUGCAAUUCCCACAACAUACUCAAUCAAACACUGCUCACUGACCUUUGGGUAAAAUGACCAUUUUACCCCUGACCAUGCCCUAAGUCAAAGUCAGAGUCAACUUUCAGUUGACCCGACUCGCCGAGUUGGCUUUCCAACUCGCCGAGUCACCACCCAAACGAUUGUCCUGGAUCCCGUUCCUACUCGUCGAGUUAGGCGACGACUCGACGAGUUCUCCUUCUAAACUGAUAUUCAAGUCCUUCAUCCUACUCGCCGAGUUGUAUGAACAACUCGUCGAGUUCAUCUUCAUCCGAUGAACACUUAUGCUAAGACUCGCCGAGUUGUAUGAACAACUCGUCGAGUCUGUUCUUGAUCUAAGGAGAUUGCCUUGAACUCGCCGAGUCAGGGCAUUGACUCGCCGAGUACCUCCAUAGAUGAGUUCAGCUUCCGACUCACUGAGUCACACCCCGUGACUCACUGCUCACUCGACACUACGAAAAGGGGACAAACUCGGAGACUCGCGAACAGACUCGCCGAGUCACAUGAACGACUCGCCGAGUCGUUGCCAUGCACCCACUAAAUACACAGAUUUGCUCGAUUCCAGUCCAUGCCAUUCACAGAUCUGGACUUCUAGGACACGAAUCACACGUAAAGUUUCCAACUUUACGUGUGGAUAUUCACCAAUAUGGAUUUUAGGGCUCAAAAUGUCUCAAAAGGGUAGAUCUAGGGUGAACAAGCAACAUGGGGCCAUAAAGCUAACAGAUCUGAGCUCCUGGAGCUCAAUCUUGCCUAGAUCCAGAGGCCAAACAUCUUAUUACGACAUAUAAUGCACAUACAAGCUUGGGGAUUUGUCCAAGAAAGACCUAAAUGAAGUACUAAGCAUAGAAUCAUGGGGAAAACGGGUUAUACCUCAAAGGAACUGCUGGAAGAACACAAUAAUGCCUGGAUGGCUUCCCUUCUUCUGGAUCUACUUCCUUCCUCCUUCAAAACCUUCAAAAGCACACAACAAAGCUUCAAUUCUUCAAAGAACAAGCAUAAACGAGGGUUGGGAGCUCUGGGGAGAGAAUGGGGGCUGGCCUGGGGCGGAUAAGUCGCUUAAAUAGGGUGCAAACCCCUGAAACUUAGGGUUUCAUCCAACAGCUGUGACUCGCCGAGUCCAGGAUAUGGACUCGCCGAGUCGCCAACUUAAACGUGUCCCGGGUCCCGCAUCCACUCGGCGAGUCGGACCUAUGACUCGCCGAGUCCAAGGCUAAAAGAAAGGAAAUACUCAAAUAACAUUUACGUACCAGGAACCGGGUGCUACAAAUCUCCCCCACUUAUUUUAGACUUCGUCCUCGAAGUCUGCUGCUCGAUCCUGAAACAGCUCGGGAUAAUGCUCCAUCAUCUCGUCCACCGGCUCCCAAGUCCAUUCCGAACCCUUGCGGUGCUGCUAUUGCACCUUCACUAGCUCCACCCUCUUGUUCCUCAAAUCCUUCGACUUCCUGUCGAGGAUUGCGACUGGGCGCUCAAUGUAAUUCAGGCUGUCAUCAACCUGAAUAUCCUCCAAAGGCACUACUGCUGAAUCGUCCACUAAGCACUUCCGCAACUGGGAAACAUGGAAAGUGCUGUGGAUCUGGCUGAGCUCGGCUGGCAGAUCCAACCUAUACGCUACCUUGCCCACCCGGGCUACGACCCUGAACGGUCCGAUGAAUCGCGGGCCCAACUUGCCCCGCUUCCUGAAUCGAAUGACGCCUUUCCAAGGCGACACCUUCAGGAGAACCAUAUCCCCGACUUGGAACUCCAAGUCGGAUCGACGCUUGUCGGCGUAACUUUUCUGCCGACUCUGAGCAGUCUGAAGCCUGCUCCGGACCUGCUGGAUCCUCUCGGUCGUCUUGAGCACCACUUCGGUGCUCCCCAUGACCCUCUGGCCAACUUCACCCCAGCAUAUCGGGGUCCUGCACCUCCGUCCGUACAACAUCUCGAAGGGAGGGCGGUCGAUACUCGCGUGAUAGCUGUUGUUGUAGGAGAACUCGGCCAGGGGAAGAUAGGUAUCCCAGCUACCACCGAAGUCUAGCACGCACGCCCGCAACAUAUCCUCCAGAGUCUGGAUGGUCCGCUCGCUCUGACCAUCCGUCUGCGGGUGAAAGGCAGUGCUAAAAUGCAGACGAGUGCCCAACUCGUCAUGGAAUCUCUUCCAAAAUCUGGAAGUAAAACGCACAUCCCUGUCCGAGAUCACCGAUACUGGCACCCCAUGCCGUGCCACAAUCUCCCUGAUAUAGAUGUCGGCCAAUUUCUCGGCCGAUAUGCUCUCCUGAAUCGGAAUAAAGUGAGCACUCUUGGUCAAUCUAUCCACGAUGACCCAAAUCGAAUCCACUCCACGUGCGGUCCUGGGAAGCUUCGUGAUAAAAUCCAUCGUGAUAUCUUCCCAUUUCCACAGUGGAAUAUCCAACGGCUGCAUCUUGCCAUGCGGUCUCUGAUGUUCGGCCUUGACCUUCCUGCAGGUCAAACACCGCUCGACGUACCAUGCCACAUCCCGCUUCAUGCAGGGCCACCAAUAAUCUAGACGAAGAUCCCUAUACAUCUUCGUCGCCCCGGGAUGAAUAGAGAAUCGGGACUUGUGCGCCUCCUCCAUCAAAAUCUGGCGCACGCCUCCGUGAUACGGCACCCACACCCUACGGUGUAGUGUCAAUAGUCCUCGGCUAUCAUAAUCAAAGGAGGAAACCUGACCCACCACACGCUCGCUCUUCCGAUGCUCCUCCUUGAUAGCCUCCUGUUGAGCCUCCCGAAUCUGCUCCAACAGGGGAGUCACCACGGUCAUCCUCAUGCAAACGUCCCUGAUCGGCGCCGCCUUGCGGCUAAGCGCAUCGGCCACCACAUUGGCCUUCCCCGGGUGGUAAAGGAUCUCACAAUCAUAAUCCUUCACCACGUCCAACCAUCGACGCUGCCUCAUGUUCAGAUUCGGCUGAUCCAUGAGGUACCUCAAACUCUUGUGGUCCGUGUAGAUGGUACAUCGAACCCCGUAGAGGUAAUGCCGCCAAAUCUUGAGGGCAAAAACCACCGCCCCCAACUCCAAAUCAUGCGUCGGGUAGUUCGCCUCGUGAGGCUUGAGCUGCCUCGAAGCGUAGGCAAUGACAUGCCCCCUCUGCAUCAGUACCGCGCCCAACCCAGAAAUGGACGCAUCACAAUAAACCACAAAAUCCUCUACGCCCUCUGGCAGGGCUAAGAUCGGCGCCUCACACAAUCUCUGUCUCAGCGUCUCAAAUGCAGCCUGCUGCUCGGGUCCCCACCGAAAGACCACGGCUUUCUUCGUCAGCCGCGUCAGGGGCACGGCUAUCUUGGAGAAAUCCUGGAUAAAUCUCCGAUAGUAGCCUGCCAAUCCUAGGAAGCUCCGAAUCUCAGAUGGGGACUUCGGAACCUCCCAUCUCAUCACGGCCUCGACCUUGGCCGGAUCGACCAGAAUCCCGUUCUGGUUGACGAGGUGUCCCAGAAAUUGCACCUCGCGCAACCAAAACUCACACUUGGAGAACUUGGCAUACAAGCUCUCCCUCCUCAGGGUCUCUAACACCUCUCUCAGAUGCUCCUCAUGUUCCUCCCGAGUCUUGGAAUAAACCAAGAUAUCAUCGAUAAAGACUAUCACAGACCGGUCCAGCAUCGGUCUGCAUACGCGGUUCAUGAGGUCCAUGAACGCGGCAGGAGCAUUGGUGAGCCCAAACGGCAUCACCACAAACUCAUAAUGGCCAUAGCGCGUCCGAAACGCGGUCUUCUGCAUAUCCUCCUCCCUGACCCUCAUCUGAUGAUAACCCGAACGCAAAUCAAUCUUGGAGAACCAAGAUGCGCCCUGAAGCUGGUCAAAGAGGUCAUCAAUCCUCGGAAGCGGGUAACGGUUCUUCACCGUUACCUUGUUCAGCUCCCGAUAAUCUAUACACAUCCGAUGCGACCCAUCCUUCUUCUUCACAAACAGAAUCGGGGCUCCCCAGGGCGAACUGCUCGGCCGAAUAAAUCCCUUGUCCAGCAGCUCCUGCAGCUGCGUAGACAACUCCUGCAUCUCGGGAGGAGCCAACCGAUACGGUGCUUUGGCUAUCGGAGCCGCACCGGGAACGAGGUCAAUCCUGAACUCCACCUGUCGCUCCGGAGGUAUCCCAGGUAGUUCCUCCGGAAAAACAUCAGCAAAAUCUCGAACCACCGGGACCUCGCUCACGGUCGCCUUACCCGCCUCCCGGGUGUCCAUCACGUACGCGACAUAACCCGCGCAUCCCUGCUGAAGGUAGCGCCUAGCCCUCGCUGCUGAACAUACAGUGGGUCCACACUGCGGCCGCUCUCCAUGAAUCACUAACUCUCCCCCGCUUGGGGUCUUGACUCGCACUAGCUGCUGUGCGCAAUCUAUCACUGCCCCAUUAGGGCUCAACCAAUCCAUACCAAUAAUCACCUUGUUCCCACGCAAUGGAAUGGGAACCAAGUCUACCAGGUAACACUCCUCAAACAGUCGCAGGACACAAUCUCGAAACACCAUCGAUGCUCGCACCGAUCGAUCAUCGGCAAUCUCUACCUCUAACGGGCAAUCUAACUCGCCUGAAGUCUCAUGAAAUCUCUUGCUAAGAGCAAGAGAAACGAACGAUCGGGAUGCACCCGAGUCGAACAAUACCUGAACCGGGAUGCCGUUCACAUGGAACGAUCCUAAUACACAUGUAUACACACGGAGCACAUAUCAAUAUCAUAACAACGUAAAAUAAAAGAUAGAAGGAAGGAAUCAUACCCGUCACCACAUCGGGCGCGGCGCGUGCCUCCUCGGCAGUCAACUGAAAUGCCCGACUCCUCACCACUGGAGCCUCUGCCUUGCCCUGACGGCCAUCCGUGAUCCGCAGGGUCGCUGGAGCUGGCGCCUUCACUGGCGCUGAAGCUGUCAACAUGGGGCAAUUGGCCUUCUUGUGGCCCCUCUGGUUGCAGUGGAAACACAGCAACUCCGAUGUCUGAAUAACGGUCGCAGGAGCAGUGCAAUCCCUGCUGAUAUGCCCAAACUUGCCGCACUUGUAGCAGCCUGACGAUCCCAUCCUGCACGCCCCCUCGUGCGGCCUGCCGCACCUCCUGCAGCGGCUCGGUCCCGACUGGCCUUUCGGCCUCCCAUCUGAUCCCUUGGGCUUCUUCCCCGAAGCCCCCGAUGACUGACCAUCCUCAAGUUUCCGUUUCCGGAUGUGCUCCAAAUCUAUCUCUCUCUCCCUAGCCCUGGCAAUCAUGGAGUCCAGGGUAGGGCAAGCCGAAAAGCUAACAUGCUCCCGAAUGUCAGCUCGUAGCAUGUCGUGGUAACGAGUCCUCCUCAUAUCCUCGUCACCUGCAUACUGGGGCACCAAUAAAGCCCUCUCCCGAAACUUGGCGGUGAUCUCCGCCACGGUCUCUGUCGUCUGCCUCAUGUCUAAGAACUCCCUGGCCAGCUGCUGAAGCUCGACCGCUGGCGCAAACUCUGCCCUGAACCUAGCCACAAAGUCCGACCAGGUCAUUGCCUCGAUAGCCGAGGCUCCCAUCGAGUCACCCACUGACUCCCACCAAUCUCGGGCCCGGUCCCGUAAACACCCUGCUGCGUACCUCACCUUCGACCCCUCGGGGCAGAAGCUGAUCAACUGGGCGGACUCGAUAUCCGCAAUCCACCGCCUGGCGACAAUGGGGUCCUUCACCCCAUGGAAAUCCGGCGCACCACUGCUCCUGAAGUCCUUGAAGGACAGUGUGCGAGAUCCUGACUGGCUAGAGGCCAAGUCGCUCCUGAAUGCCCGUAGGCGAUCCUCCAUCAUCUCCACGAUCCCUUCCUUGAUCGACCCAAAGAUGAUGGGGGUCGACUCAAGGAUGCCCCUAGUGAUCUCCGACGUGAUGAACUCACGUAGCCUCUCCUCAAUCGGCUCGGUGCCAGAUCCCGAACCUGACCCCUCUCCUGACCCGCCAUCUGUCGGUCUCGGUCGAAGUACCACCAUUCUGCAAAACAUCAAUAAUAAUCAUUAGUGGUACUGCUACUUUCUGAGGGAUCUCAACUACUUACAGGUUCCUUGGUCUCGUCUUGGCCUUCCUCGGCUCGGGUACGGAUCCUCUGCUUUCAGUAGUACGGGCCCAUACUACCUUCCACAUCUAUCCGUACCUUCUCCGAGGAAUUCCUCGACUCCACCAACUCCCCUCUACUACUGCUACUCUCCGAUAUUCUCACCCUAGGCUUGCCCUAGGGAGAACUCAAGUUCAACACAACUGGUCCUCAGCUGCUGUAGGUCUCCUCAUAAUGCCAGUUAGCCACCACCUAAACACCAUCACAUGUAAUGAGGAUUAGAUAAUCCUUCAAGUAAAAGAUCCGUCCCUACAACGGUUGGACUCAAACAAGAGCUGCGCAAUAGGGCCAGUUCCAACACUUUGGGAUUAUUCAACCCUGAUUACAUGUGGUGUGACGUGUUUACCUAGUGGCUCACUCCCAUUACUCAGAAUCCCACCAAGCACGAAGCAAGCAGCAUUCGGAUAAGGAAAAACAGACUCAAGCCAAAACUGUUCUUAGAACAAGAAACGACACUUAACAUAGGAUGCUAAGCUCAUACUAUCAGGCAUAACCUAAACAGGCUACCCUACUGCUGUCUACUCAAUUCUAGCAUGCAAUAUUCAAUAAGCUGUAACAAAUAAACAGGCACAUAAGGCAUCACUCCUAGAUCCUUAGCCUAUUCUAGCAUGCAAUAUUCAUAAAGCUGAUAAACAUAACAUAAACUUGUAUGGGUACUAUGGGGAAUACUUACUUGAGCUCGGCCGGUCGCGCACGUCACACACUUUACUCUUUCUCGUGACUCUUUUCCGGGUUUUAAAGAAUAAUUUCUUUUGGAAAAAUCUUUCAAUCCCUCGGUUUGAGUCCAAACACUCCCGAAGGCGUGUCCGAAUCCCUCAAACCAGGGCUCUGAUACCAACUUGUAACGACCCAAAUUUUUUUUUUUUUUUGAUAUUACUUUAGAAAACAUUAAUAAAUAAAAACAUUGUCUAAAUAAAAAGAAACAUUGUUUGUUCACACCAUAACACAUUGCAACCAUGUUCUCAAAAGCCAAACCGUACAUCCCAUCAAAUAUCAGAGUACAAUCCCAGUAAAUCUCAUAAAUGCGGAAACCGAAGAGUGUGUGUAUGACGUGCCGCUACCGCGCCGGCUCCUUCCCCUUCGAUGCAGAGGUACCUGAAAACAAAACUGUAAACGUAAGCACAAAGCUUAGUGAGUUCCCCCAACGUACCGCAUACCAUACAAACACAUAACAUAUAUACUGCCAGGCUAUUCUGGGGUGCCUGACUACCCGGUACGGCCAUUCUGGGGUGCCGACCUACCCAUACGGCCAUUCUGGGGUGCCGUCUUACCCGUGUCAAGCCAUUCUGGGGUGCUGACUACCCAUCGGUCCUAACAACCGAUCCUCGGGGACUAUUUCACCCCUACUACUACGAUCACAUAUAACAUAACAAGCCAGCAUGCAUACAUAUCGUCACAUACUGUCAGACGUAUCUGGGGUGUCUGACUACCCUUCGGUCCGAACAACCAAACUCUACUACUAUCACAUACAGCAUAUCAUGCUAGCAUAUAACAUGUCAGGUACUAGCGAACUUAGAUGAUAUCACAAAGACAAUCAUCUAUCAUACAACUCCUACUGGUGGGUCGGCAUUGUGGCCUUAGACCCACCGCUACUGGAAGGUAACUCACCUCGAAGUAGCUGCUGAACUGAUCGGGAACUAACUGACUGCUGCUGCUCCGGGAGUCCUCCGGCUGCAAUUUCCACGACAUACUCAAUCAAACACUGCUAACUGUCCUUUAGGUAAAAUGACCAUUUUACCCCUGGAUUAACUCUAAGCCAAAGCUGGAGUCAACUUUCAGUUGACCCGACUCGCCGAGUGGAUCACCACUCGCCGAGUCCCUAGCAAACCAAUGUCCUGGGUCCCUGGUUCUACUCGUCGAGUCGGGCUAUGACUCGACGAGUUCACCUUCUAACUGCCAUUCAACACCUUCAUCCUACUCGCCGAGUUGUAUGAACAACUCGUCGAGUUCAUCUUCAUCCGAUGAACACUUUAUGCUAAGACUCGCCGAGUUGUAUGAACAACUCGCCGAGUCUGUUCUUGAGCUAUGAAGAUUGCCUUGGACUCGCCGAGUCAGGGCAUUGACUCGCCGAGUCCUAACAUGGGUGAGUUCAGCUCCCAACUCACCGAGUCACCCCCUGUGACUCAAGGCUCAACUCGACACAUGAAGAAGGGACCAAUUCGGUGACUCGCGACCAGACUCGCCGAGUCACCUAUGCGACUCGCCGAGUCGUCGCCAUGCACUCCUUAAAUAUACCGAUUUGCUCGGUUCCAGACCAUGCCAUUCAUAGAUCUGGACUUCUAGGACACGAAUCACACGUAAAGUUUCCAACUUUACGUGUGGAUAUUCACCAAUAUGGAUUAUAAGGCUCAAAAUGUCUCAAAAUGGUAGAUCUAGGGCUAACAAGUCUUAUGAGGCCAAAAAGCUAACAGAUCUGAGCUCCUGGAGCUCAAUCUUACAUAGAUCCAAAGGCCAAAUGCCUUAUUACAACAUAUAAUGAACAUGCAAACUUGGGGAAAUGACCAAGAAGGACCCAAAUGAAGUUUUAAGCAUAGAAUCAAGGGGAAAACGGGUUAUACCUCAAGGGAAAUGUUGAAAUGACACAAGGAUGGCUGAUCUCCUUCUCCUCUUCUUGAUCUACUCCUCUUACUCUUCAAAACCGGAAACCAGGUGCUACAAAUAGAGGGAUUUCCCGGCCAAUCGUUCUAACAUCUGAUCGGUGAAUGGCAAAGGGAAGUGGUCUUUGCGGGUGGAAGCAUUCAACUUCCUAUAAUUGAUACAAACUCUCCACCCGUUUUGCACACGGGUGGGUACCAAUUCCCCCUCAGAGUUUUUGACAACGGUGACUCUGGCUUUUUUCGAGACAACUUGCACAAGACUUACCCACUUACUAUCAGAAAUGGGGUAGAUUACACAUGCAUCCAAGAGCUUCAUGAUCUCCUUUUUAACCACCUCCAUCAUAGGUGGAUUCAACCCCCUUUGGGCUUCACAGGUUGGCUUGAAGUCCUCUUCCAUCAGUAUUGUGUGCAUGCAUAAUGAUGGGCUCAACCCUUUUAUAUCCGCAAUGGUCCAACCAAUAGCCUCCUUGUAUUUCUUCAUAAUUUCAACCAACUCUAUUUCUUCUUCUCGUGCCAUCUUGGUCGAAAUUAUCACCGGUAAUGUCUCUUCCUCUCCAAGAUAGGCAUACUUGAGAUGGUCGGGAAGAGCCUUCAACUCAAGAGUCGGUGGUUGUACUUUGGAUGGGAGAAGUUUCAGAUUGGAACUUUUUAGCUUCAUGCAGGGUGGUUCAACUCUCAUGGGUUGUGCUUUCUCCAAGGAAUCGAUUACUUCAAUCAAUUCAUCCUCCAAUGUGUACUUGUCAGCCAAAUCCUUAAUCCCUGUCUGAUCAAAGUGUUUGCUCAAGAUGGUGGUUAGCACAUCUUGGCUUGACAUCUCAAAGCAAUCAUUAGUACAUGAAUCAAUAACAUAUAUGAAGUUUAAAGAAUGAAUAUCGCUAGGAUAACGCAUGGCUUUAAAGAUAUUAAAGUUAAUCACCUCACCAUCAAACUCCAUUGACAAAGUACCAUUGGCUACAUCUAUUUUUGUUUUUUCGGUACUCAUAAAAGGUCUCCCCAAAAGGAUGGAUCUCGAUUGUAGGGUGUUUUCAUCACCCAUGUCUAAAAUAAGAAGUCAGCGGGAAAAACAAGUUCAUUAACUUGCACUAACACAUCCUCCAAUACACCUUUCGGGUGUACCAAAGACCGGUCAACAAGUUGAAUGAUAACUCUGGUUUUUGAUAAAGGUCCAAUUCCCAUUGUCUUAUAACUUGAAUAGGGUAAGACAUUAAUUGAUGCUCCAAGAUCAAGCAUGGCACGUGGUACAAAAAGGUUACCCAUUUUGCAAGGAACCGUGAAAACACCCGGGUCCUUGCAUUUUUUUGGUAGCCGCUUUUGUAACACGGCUGAGACAUUUUCACCAACCUUCACAGUUUGAUUUCCUUUAAGCUUUUUCUUAGAUGUGCAAAGUUCCUUAAGGAACUUAGCAUAUCUAGGAAUCUGUGUAAUGACAUCUAAAAGAGGGAUAUUGAUUUCAACCUUUCGAAACAUGGCCAUGAUUUCAUCAUCUUCCAUUUCUCUUUUGGUGCUUGCCAACCUUGAAGGAAAUGGAGCUGGUGUGACUUUCACUUCGGUCUCUAUGGGCUUCUUUGACUUGGAAGUACUUUUCCUUUCCACUUCUUUGAUAGCUUCUUCCACCUCAAUCUCUUUCUCUUCUUUUUCUUCUUCAUGCGACAUCCUUGGGCUUUCAUAGCUUUUCCCACCUCUUAGAGUAAUUGCACACGCAUUGUGUUUUGGGUUCUUCUCCGUUUGAGAGGGUAGCUUGCCUUGCGACUCCAUCUUACUCACGGAUUGAGCGAGUUGUGAUACUUGUUGCUCCAAGCUUUUUAUGCUUGCCUUGGUUUCUUGUUGAAAGCUUUGAGUGCUUGUGGCAAGGCUUUUCACUAUGUCCUCUAAGGACAUACUUGAAGAAAUUGCUUGUGGAGGGGGUUGUUGUGGGUGCCUUGGUUGGUAAUUUUGAGGUUGGAAGGGUGGUUGUUGUUGAUUUUGAGGAAAUAGUGGUCUUGGUUGAUAUUGAUGCGAUUGAUUUUGCUGAUAAUUCCCUUGUUGAUUGCCUCCCCACCCUUGAUUAUUGUUCCAUCGCUGAUCACCUCUUGGUUGCUCAUAACCUCUCUGAUUUGCCCCAUAAUAGCCUCCCAUGACUUUCGCUUCUUCAUAAUCUUCCUCUUGGAGUUGUGGGCACAUAUCGGUUGGAUGCCCCACUUGGGUGCAAAUAUCACAUGGGCGGGGUGUGGGCUGCACACCUUUGUCUUUGGCCAACAUCAUGACUACUUUUGUGAGCUCGAACAAUUGAGCUUCAAUCUGAGGAGUUUGAACUUCUUUUACACCCCGGGGUGCAUCCGUAUACCAUUCUUCGUCAUGGCUUGAAUGUUUGGAAUCUUCAGCCAUGUUCUUGAUUAGAUUUCGGAUCUCAGUUGGGGUAUUAUCGGGCAAAGAUCCGCCACUAGAAGCAUUGAGAAUCCUUUUUUCCAUGGGGGUCAUACCUUUAAUGAAAUAUUGUAGGAGCUGAUACUUGGUGAUCCCGUGCUUUGGACAACGGGAGCAAAGUUUCUUAAAUCUUUCCCAGUAUGUGUGGAAAGCUUCUCUUUUGUGUUGCUUGAUUCCGAUAAUUUCCCUCCGUAGGGCUGAAGCUUUCAUUUCGGGAAAAUACUUGUCCAAUAACAACCUCGCAAGGUCCACCCAAGUAGUCACCGUCCCCGGUGGGAGGUCAUAGAGCCAGUCUUUGGCGGCGUCUUGCAAUGCGAAGGGGAACGCCCUAAGCUUGAUCUGAUCCUCCAUGACAUUGUGUGGUUUCAUACCCACACAUACUACAUGAAACUCUGUAAGAAACUUGUGAGGAUCUUCAUUUUCUAGGCCCCUAAAUGUUGGGAGUAAGUGAAUGAGCCCGGAUUUGAGUUCCAAGUUGGUGGCAGCUGGGUAUGUGAUACAAAGAGGUUGUUGAGUCACCUCUUGUCUUGACCAUUGACGGAGAGUUUGUUCGGGUGGUGGGUUUGGAGGACCUUGAUUCCUCCAGGGUUAUCUGACAUGGCUUGAGAAGUGGGUGAUGUUUCUGUAGGUAAACUAUUUAGGAUAUUAUGAAUAGGUGAAGAGGGUGGAGUGGUAUUUAUGGGUGAGGCUAAUUGUUGUGAGAGUGAUGGGCUUUCUGUUUCUGAUGCAGAUACACUUGAGAGGGGUAUGUCCUCCCAAAUGUUGAUGAUUGGGGGAGUAGAUGAUGAGAAGUACCGGAAACUGGCUGCCUCUUAUGAAGUUUGGCUUGCUUCCUUAACUUCUUUGCAGUCUUCUCUAUCUCUGAAUCAAUUGGCAACGGCGUACCUGUACGAAAAGAUCUAGGCAUAAACAAUUUGUAACACUGUGUCCCCGGCAACGACGAACUUUUGUUAGGGGUGUCAGACCCAACAAAUAAUAGGGGUACAAUAUAAUCCUGAGUAACACUACUCUAUUGCACUAAAAAGUAGUACAAGGCAAGUAGGGUCGAUCCACAGAGACANCUUAUAUGGGAUGUUUUAGGGUUUUUGUCCCAAUAGUCAAUGGCUUUGUGAGUUGAUGAGCUUUAAGAACCUAGAUCUGUCCCUUGCUAGUGUAUUUCGUGUUAUAAGGUCAUAAAAAUGCAAUCUUGGUCAUUAAGAACUAACCAUGCAUGGGAUAUGAGCUUAAGGAAGAAAAUGGAUUGUAACAACCCAAAAAUCAUAACUAAAAAUUUCGUUUAAAUAACAUUACUUAAACCAUGAUUGUCAAACCAUGACAUAAUUCUUAACAUAAAAUCAGAGUAUUAAUUCAAAACAUAAUCUUAUUAUCUGAGUGAAACAUCCCAGGCUGACUAAAUAUGGUGCGUUCCAUGCAAUCAUCCCGAGCUCUUCCCUACGCUAUCGAAAGUACCUGAAACCAAAACUGAAAACUUUAAGCACGAAGCUUAGUGAGCUCCCCCAAACUACCACAUACCAUACAAUAACAUAUAAAGCACAUAUUGGGCCUUGCCCAUUAUAUCAGACCGAAGUUCGGACUAACUGGGGCCUUGCCCCCUGCAUCGGACCGAAAUCUGAAAACUGCAUCGGGCCGAAGCCCGGACUAACUGGGCCUUGCCCCCUGCAUCGGACCGAAGUCCAGCUAACUGCAUCGGGCCGAAGCCCGGACUAACUGGGGCCUUGCCCCCUGCAUUGGACCGAAGUCCGGCUAAUUGCAUUAGACCGAAGCCCAGACUAACUGGGGCCUUGCCCCUUGCAUCAGACCGAAGUCCGGCUAACUGCAUCGGACCGAAACCCGGACUAACUGAACAUAACUUAGCAUAAACAUAUCAAUUAGCAUGAACACAUAUACUGCAUACUGCAUCGGGCCGAAGUCUGGAACACAUAACACAAAAACAUGCUUGAAUCACAAAGAUAUCAAGCACAUUGAACAACUGCAUCAGUCCGGAGUCCGGAAACUACUGCUAACUAGACGGGUCGGCAUUGUGGUCGUAGACCCGUUCCUACUGGAAGGAAAACUCACCUGAACUGCUGAACUCGACCAAUAACCCUCUGGUUGCUAUCUGACGACUCUCCGAAAUAUUGCUCCUCUAGCUCCCUGAGCUACUAAUACCAGUAAUAACACUUAGCCUAAACUGAACUCUAGAAGUCAAACUAAGUCAACUCUGGUCAAAGUCAAAUUCCUGGUCAAAAUCAACCUUCCAGUUGACUCUACUCGCCGAGUCAACCCGUAAACUCGCUGAGUUCUUAAACUCACAAUCCUUCAAAAUACCACUCAACUCACCGAGUCACCCCAAGACUCAUCGAGUUCAACGAUCUCCGAGUCCCAUCCUGACCGAACCCACCGAGUCACCACUCAACUCACUGAUCUGCAUCAUAACAAGAAAAGAUUGGGGUUCUGCGACCAGACUCGCCAAGUCCAAGAACAGACUCGUCGAGUCCAAGGCAACCUUCAACAGACUCGCCGAGUUGUUCUUCGAACUCGGUGAUUUCCUGCCCAUCUUCAUACAACUCGCCGAGUCCACCCAUGUGACUCGUCGAGUCGCUUUAGUUCUUAAUCCAUACAGUGACUUUUCGAGCCAUGCAUGGUUCCAAACAGUAGAUCCACACUUCUAAGGCCCACCCUUUAUGUAAAGUUGCAAACUUUACGUGAAACCAAGGAGUUAUAGGCUUGAAACACUCUAGGGCUAGGGUUUGAGACAAACAUGCUUCACCAAGACACUAAAGACUGAUACUGUAUGGGUUUCUGGGCUAAUACAAACCUAGAUAUGAAGUUCUCUUUGCUCACCAAGGCACAAUACACGAAUUGUCCUUGGAAAUGGCCCCAAAAAUGAUAAAAUCUAACUAGGAAAGAGGAUCUAAANACAUUACUUAAACCAUGAUUGUCAAACCAUGACAUAAUUCUUAACAUAAAAUCAGAGUAUUAAUUCAAAACAUAAUCUUAUUAUCUGAGUGAAACAUCCCAGGCUGACUAAAUAUGGUGCGUUCCAUGCAAUCAUCCCGAGCUCUUCCCUACGCUAUCGAAAGUACCUGAAACCAAAACUGAAAACUUUAAGCACGAAGCUUAGUNUUGAGAGCACUAUAAUGGAGGCUUAGGGUUUCGAGAGUAGGUAAAGGGAGUGAUGGAGGCUAGGGUGGAGGCCUGAAAUGAUGCUUAAAUAGGGUACCAAGUCCAAAAAUUAGAGUUUCCCAACCCAGACCAGACUCACCGAGUCAGUCUCCCUGACUCACCGAGUCGGUCACUUAAUCCGCGACACGGGUCACGCUCCGACUCGUCGAGUUCCUCCUUGGACUCGAUGAGUUGACUCCUUUGACUUAGGGCUUUUCUUUCCUUUCCUGGUCUUCCUGAUUCUGGGUGUUACAUGGAUGAAGGUUUUGAGUGUUUAAAGCCAAACCAGCCAUGAAAGGCGUAAAGUCUUCGACUUUAUGGAUUAGGAGGCUGUAGGGGGUCCAAAUAUGUAUUUUGAGCCAAGGUCUUAACUGAUUAAGACCAUAAGUGAGAAAAUAGUAAAACUUGGACAUACGUUGAGCGUAAAUCCCAGUACGCGGGGCGUAGGGUUUGAUUAGCCCGAUAUCAGUGAAGUAAACGAGUACGCCCAACGUAGGGAUAUGGUACGCGCAGCGUACUCGCAGGCGUUGACUUUUAGGUUUCGGUCAACAAAUGGACUUUUGGACUCACGAAGGGGUAAAAUCGUCUUUUACCCUUCUGAGAGAGCAUAAAGGCGAGGGGGUGGUCUAGCUUAAUGAGUGCUGUUAUUAAAUAAGAAUUUAUGUUUAUGUGUAUUAGACGGAGGCUAGACCGGAGAUUUGAGUUUGAGAUUAUUCCGAGAUAGUUAGAGGUGAGUCUUCUCGUUAUACCUUACCUAGAGUGGUAAUUAUGUGUGACCGGAAGGUCGUAUGUGCUUAUAUGUGACAUGUGAAAUGCUAUGUUAUGAGUUGCCUGGUUUGGACCGGAAGGUCAAAAGGGUUGGGCCGGAAGGUCAAUAGAGCAGGACCAGAAGGUCAUCAAGGUAGGGCCGAAAGGUCUACCAGAGUUGUGUCCACUGAGACAUAUUGACCGGAAGGUCACAGCCUUGAGUGGCUAAUUUAUAUGCAUGUGGUAUUUUGGGGAACUCACUAAGCAUUCGUGCUUACCGUGUUAUGUGUUAUGUGUUUCAGGUACUUUCGAGGAUCGCGGGAAGGCACCGACGUGAUUGUACACACACACUCUGGACAUUGAGCUAUGAUUGUGGAUCCUGGAUUUGAUAUAAUGUUUUGAAAUUUGUUGACUAUUAUGGUGUUUUAUAUAAAAUGACAUGUGUUUUAUGAAAUUAAAAAUGAAAAAUUUAUUUGAAAAAUCAUGUCGUUACAAGAUUUUAGUACAAAUAUCUCCUCAUAUGAUUAGUCCUGAGCUAGUACAUACAUGACCAUUCCCUGUGUAAUUCCUCACCGUUUUUCACCUUUGAAAUAUAAAAAUCAAGAAUCAUUCAGUUAACCAUUUUUACUCUCAUUAUAUUUGUUCUUGAUUAUACUUUUAUUACUUACUUACUUAUCCUAAGCACAUUGUUGAGUUAUUAUCUUCUAGGCUUGACGAUUUCAUCCAGACUUGAUUGAAAGAAUUAUUAGCAACCAUUGUUGUGUUUUAUCUCAAGAUUUGUGUUUUCAAACCUUUUCCACACAAUCCUUGUUCUCACAGUUAGAGAAUAUAGAGAAAGGAUCUUCGAGAGAAACAAGAUAAGAGAGUUCUUUGUAAGAACUUAGAUGUAACUCGUGAAGGAUUAAGAGUAAGGAAUUCGUGAGGGAUUCAGUAGUAAGAAGAAAGAUUAAGGAUCCACGAGGGAUCAUAAGAGAUGGAAGUAAGACCGAAUGAGAAUACCCAGUAGGGUUAUUCGGUUGUUGUUUCCAUUAGAAUAUAGAUGAGACUAAGUAUGAGAUGUGAUCGUUGAGUCCAGAUGAGAAAAGAAUAUUGAGGCAUUAAAGUUGAGAAUAGAGAGAAAUGAAGAGUAAGCAGAGCAUGUGAAGGCAUGUUAAAAGAUAGAAAUGAGUAGAGCAAUAGAUAGAGAAGAAAGAGUAGAGAAGAGAUAGAAUAUGGAACAUAGUAGAGAAGAGACAUAGAUAGAGUGUCAUUGGAGCAUAAAAAGAGCAUGAGAAGAGGCUAAUAGUAGAGUAUGAGAAACAAAGUAGGUGACAUAGAAAGAGAUAGACGGAAGAAGAAAAAAGAAUAACGGUGUAUGCUAUUAAGAGAAAGAGUCAGAUGAUAGAGUAUGAGAAAGAUAAGGAAAUAUAGAUAAGAAAAGAUAGAAGAAUAACUCACCAAACAAUUUGUGUUUGAUGCUGCAGAUUUCAGAUUGUAGCAGCCGUGGUACCAGAAUAGAAGACAGAAGCACAAGGAAGGCUUAGAUAGUAGGAUCUUAUGUAUGUACUUUUCUUGUUGUUCUAAUUUGUAUGUAGAUUUUUAUUGUAAACCCACGAUUAUUCCUGGGAAGUAAAGUGUUUUAAUUUUAGUAAAAUUUCACACUUGUAAAAAAACUAUGAUAUUUCUCUUAGAUUCGAUGUUUGUAUAAUGUGGGUCGUUACAAUUGGGCUAGCCAAUAUAUGACGCCCUUUAAUGCACACAAAUUGCUUCAUACUAACCAAGUCAUCAAUCAAAGUGCUCAACCUAUUAACUAACAUUUUAUCAACAAUUUUAUAUUGACAACCUGUUAGACUAAUAGGAAGAAAGUCUUUCACAAAAUUUGAUUCGUGAAGUUUCAGAAUUAGUGUAAUAAAAAGAUGGAUUUCACAGGUUUAUGGUGGCGAUGGUCAAGAGGGUUUAUGGUGGUGGUUGUGCAGUUUUCAAAUAGGGUGCAAAUUUUCGAUGGUGGUGGUAGUUAAGUGUUAUUCAACAAAAAGAGAACAAAUAUAUAUAUAUAUAUAGGUUCAAAUGUUUCUAGCAAAUAUUGUGUGCCUAAAUGCACCAAUCAGAAUUUAAGAAAAAAGAAAUCAUUAAUUAAAUAAUAAAGGGUAAUUUAGUCAUUAUGUAUGUACAAUUAAUUAUAUUCCAAAAUUAUAAUCCCUAAAAUAAUGGGUCAAUUUUCCUUUAAUAGCAUUUAAUCAAGAUAAUUAGUUUAUAAACCCUUAAAAAAUCAUCGUUCGUUUCAUCAUCGUCACCAUAAAAUGCCGACUUCCACCCAAGCAAAAAAUCCUUCAUCCUAGGGUAUUGUGUUCUUCCCUUGUCGAUCCUGGUAAACACCCUCUUCACCGACGACCCUCCACCUGCAGCCACCAAUCCCUUUGUUUUUCCGGUGUUGGUCCCUUGCACCGACGAUGAUGGUGUCGCAACAUAUGAGGUGAAAUCGAAUAUGUAAACUCGAUCUCUACAAUCGACGGUAAAUUUCCUCCUGCUAAUUUCUGAUUUUACAAUUGACCAUCUUCUAUCUCCUUCUUCGAUUAAAACAAUUCCUUUUUGAAAUCAGAAUCGACGGUAAAACAGUUUCAAUGGGGCUUCAUUCUUGCUCUCUGGGCUUUUUAUCCAUCUCCACUGAAGACCCUCACUCCCGAUGCACCGUUUCCACAGAGAAAGAUCGAGUGGGAGAGAGGUAAAAAGUCAACACCACCACCACCCUGCUAUGCACAUCCAAUUACCUUUACCACACUGGUCGAUUUUGCUUUACAAACCUCGAAUUCUCGUGAUCGUCCCUUGGAUUGUCGAUUCAGGUAUGAGAAGUACAGAUGCCAAAUUUUGUUUUCAAAUUCUUCAAAGCCGGUAUGAGAAGUAAUUUGAUGGUAUAAUUUCCGUUUGAACACGAUUUCCCAUCCCUUAAAAUCCGAAAAUUUCUUUUUUUAAAAUAGGUUAAUCGACUAACAUACCUUUUUGCUGAAAUUUGUGUGAUUAUAUGAUACAUGCUACCCUAUGGUAAUAUCAUAGACCCUCAGAUCAUGACUGUUGAUUCUAUUCAUCCAGUGGUCCAGAUCUGUGCAUUCUGGCACACAAUAGUUACUAGAAACAAUAUAACCUAACUCUCUCUCUCUCUCUCUCUCUCUCUCUAUAUAUAUAUAUAUAUAUAUNACAAUUUUAAUUAAAAAUAAUAGAAAUAUCACAAAUAAAUUGAAAAUGACGCUAUAGUCAUUUCAUGUAAUGGAUGAAGUGUGUAAAAUUAAACUAAUAAGGGAUGAAAUGUGCAACUUCUAAUCAAACGAGAGACGAUCCAUGUUAAUUUUUGAAAGUAUGGAUUGGACAUACAUUUUGACAUUUGUACGAUGGAUGAUUUCUGUAAUUAGUUUAAAUUUAAAAAUAGAUUUGAAAGAUUUUUUAAUAUAAAUAAUAGUUAAAUGAUAUUAAAAGAAUUUAAUUAGUUUUGGGAUUUAUUAAAAAUAAUUAAAUUAUAUUAAAUUUAUUGAAACUGAAUUAAUGAAAGGAAAGGGGUGUCUUUUGCCAAAAUCUGAAAGUACCAAAUUUGUUACCGAAAAAGCCAAAUGGGUUAAAAUUAUCAAUUUCAAAAGUUCAGGGGGUGAUCUGAAUUUCCAGAAAGGAUUGGUUAUUUAACUCAAAAUGGGAUUUGAGGAAUUUUUUUCAAGUGCACAAAUAUCAGGUAUCAUUAGUGUAAACUAGGAAUUUUCAUGCAAAAUACGGGAUUUUAGCCCAUAUCCUUUCCAGAUUUAGAUUCAACCCACUUUCCUUGCCCUCUACGGCAUCUUGGGAUCAUAUAAACUCCUCCCCAACCCUUAUGUGGCGUCGAGAAGGAGACAAACGAGGGAGAGUGCAGAGAAACGAGGUAGGGAGAUCGAGGAGAAGAAAGGGUAGGGAGUCAUAUUCUUCUGUUUGCGAAUUUUUGUACUAUUUGGAUUGUGAGACUGAAUAUUGUUGGUCUAUUAUUGUUAUUAUUUUUUUUGUGAUGCACCUCCUUGAGAAAAAUAUGAUGAAUAUAAAUUUUUUUGUUGUUGCUCGACAUGCCAUACAAUUCACGAACAUUUGGAAUUCCAAGCAGCCUUUCUUUAUUUCCUUAUAAUGCAAAUUCAUCCCAUAUAACUUCUUUAAUGAAAAAUAAAAAAACCAAUGAGUAGUUCUGUAUAAAUAUGAAGAGAAGCAAGCCUUUCUAAGCACUGAUACGAUUUCUUACUAUCUAAUAAAUAAUUAUUAUAAAUAUGCAGAAAGGCUGUGUAUGUUGUUUAUUUUAAUUUAAGACAAAAAAUGGGUGUCCAUUUGAUUGAGAGCAGCCGGCUAGAUGGGACUGAAGAGCCGAGGCUUGUAAUCCUUCCACUGUCGGGAGCGAGGGGUUAUCGCAGCUCUGUGAAGCCAGCCUAACGCGUUGUCCCCUACUCUAAGCUCCAAGUGACCCAAGCCUUCACUCAAGCCACAUGAAUCAACUCUCGACUUGGAACGGGCAAGCCAGAUAAUGCGCAGCAGACCCAACCGAAUGACCCAAAUCACAGUCCGACCCACUUUGAUACCCCCACUUGGGUUAUAGGCAAGCGCAACCAAGCCCGGUGGCAACUCAUCUGUUGGAUGACUUUAUUAACGGGUUAUAAGUUUCCUCAUAUGCCGAUGUGGGAGAACUCAAUAUAACUUAAUUUCUUGAUUAAUAAUUCCACCCCCGUUAUGAAGCUUAAGUAUGAUUUAAACGACUUGGUUCUACUAUUUAUCCUUUUCCAUUUUACAUAUCACGAUAAAGACAUUAAACUUGAAUCAUUACACAUAAACAACAAACCACACUAUAAAAAACUCUUAUCAACACAAACCAAUGGUAUAUUAACAGUAUCACUCUAUAACAAUUUGAGUACAAAUCUUCAUAUUAUAACUAACAAAACCGAUCAUUGAAUUCAGAAAGGUAAAAUUGCACGAUUUAAGAAAAAUAGCAAUUAGAACAACAUAAAUUUAUGUAACACAAUAAAGAGUUUUUUGAUUGAAGAGAGAGAAUGAAUAUCUAACUUCUAGUUAGAUAGAUAAGUAUAAAAGCUCUACAUAAAAUAAAAUAAAAAUAAUAAAAAAAAAUUAAAAAAAAAAAAAAAAACUAGACCAAACAAACCACCAAAAAUGCUCAAACCAUUUUGAACAAAACAUGUUUGCUAAAUCUGAAAUACCAUAAAAAUACUCAAUAGUUUUAGUGAAAACUAGGACAACAGAAAAUUUAACCCCAAUAAUCACAAAUUUCUUGUGUAUUAUGGUUGAAUGUUUUGGAUUUAACUUACAAACUAGAACAUAGAAUGAAUUAUCAUGACUCCAUUUACAAAGUCACUUGUACAUGACCAAACUUACAUCGAACUUAACUCACGUAUAAUUUACCCAUACAGCUAAAUCCAUCCAAUUACUAAAUCAAUUUUAUCAAUUCCACAUUUCACCCGUCUCGGGAUCAUAUUCAUCAUCUUUCCAUUCUAACAAUUCAACCAUGAAUUUAGCAUAUAAUUCUUGAGAAUAUGAUUACAAUGCUUACUACAUCUAGGGUUCUUACACAACCACCACUUAGCUGUUGACGAUGGUGGUUACAUAGUGAUGCUGGCAGUUCCCGGUAAAAGAAAAGAAGAGAAAAUAAUGAAAGAAAAAUGGUUGUUACCUUAACCUAGCUUCACAUAUGUAGUUAUGUACCUACUUCUUGUCAAGGACUAUCAUGUCAACAUGUCACGUUCAUCGGCAAUCUAAAAACCGGUUAAGUGGUCAAGACUGACCAAAGGGCUUCUAACCCAGCGGUAUCAGGUGGUGCCCUCCCUCUUUGAGGUCGAGGGUUCAAGUCCCGUCGUGGACAUAGGUGGAAUUAGGUGUUAGUUUAGGAGUAGAUUAGUAUAUUUGUAUUUGCCGGUUCAAAAAAAANNNNNNNNNNNNNNNNNNNNNNNNNNNNNNAAAAAAAAAAAAAAAAAAAAAAAAAAAAAAAAAAAAAAAAAAAAAAAGUGGUCAAGACUGGAAAAAGCUAAAAAAUUCAGUGUCUUAAUCGCAACAAAAUAAACAAACAUAGUUUCAAAAUCAGAAAAUAAUGUAAAUAUAAUGACUUUAUUCAAUUUUACCCUAAAUUUUUUGAAGCAGACUAAAUCCUACAACAACGAACACUCAAUUGAAACAUAUUUCUCAAAUCAAAGCUAGAGAAAUGAAAAGUAUUGGUUGACGAUUUAAAGGCGUUACAUACAAGCAAAACGGUCGACUAGAACGUAAUCACGUAUCUAAUAACUCCCUAGCUAAUGCUUGGGCAUCAAAUAGACAAAAAAUAAAAUCACAUGCAUCGAGCACUAUCUACACGUCAUCAAUAAACGAACCAGUCAACAUCCUUGACAAAUAUCAACACUUUCUAAAUUGUUUAAAAGUUAUAAUCGGUCAUCGUUCAUCAAACAUUAAUCCCAAUCUUUUAGGAAAACAACACAUACCCUUAGGGACAUCAAACACUGAUCCCGAUUUGGAGGAAGAUAGAUAGAGGGUGAGAGGACGAUUCGGAUAAUAAAAACAUAUUUUACCAAAGUAUCAAAACUUCUAUACACUAACAAAAUUUACGAGCAUCCGUUAUUCAUUUUCUAUGUCAAUUCGCAAAUGUAAAUUUUCUCCAUAAGGGACAUAACAGGACACACAUUUCUCUCUUAUCGACACUGAUAAAAAAGAAAAAAAAAAUGGGAUUGUUUGCACGAAUAUUGCUGACCAUUUGGCUAAUGGGUGGCACCGCCGGUUCAAUAUAUCUGCUAGGCAGACGGGCUUUAGAAAUCGGCGUACGUAUGGUGGCUCUCCAUACCGAAACAUGUUUAGAGGACACUGUGUUAUGGCCAACAUAUUUGAUGACCGGCGUCUUGGUUACAUGCCUCCUAGGCCUCGUCGGAAUCGUAUGUUGUAAAGUCAAAUUCUUUCAAUGGCUCUUUACUUUCUUGGUCAACAUCGGACUUCUUUACGUCAUGGUCAUUGUCGUUUGGCGUUUGCUUAUGUUCGGGUGGAUCAGAAAAUCGACAUCAGCCGUUUUCGAUGAUGUUUAUAAGGAGGAUUCACCUCUAGAUGAAAAAUAUAAGCCGAUGCUUAUCGAAGCCAUGGUUGCCGACAACGUGUGGCCGAUGGUUGAUGAGUGUUUGACGGAGAUUAAGUUUUGUGAAGAAGAUCGUGGACCUGAAAAGUUCCUUGACAAAGACGACGACUGGAAAAUAGAAAAUUACUACGAAUUUUUCAGGGUAUGUUUCAAAUCCUUCACAUCCUUUUCAUUUCAUUUUAUCCAUCGUCAUCGUUAUGUUGAUGUAACGGGAUAAGGGUUUCAGGAAGGGUGUUGUGUGCCUCCGCCAAAAUGUGCACGCAAAAUGUUUGAGUUGGGGAGUGUAAGCGAAAACGAUGAUUGCUUAAAAUGGGCGAAUGCGACAUUGAAUAAACCAAAGCAUGUCAAAUGUUUUGAUUGUGAUUCGUGUAAAGCUGCCCGCAUGGCGACGUAUAUAACAAAUCAAGACAAGGUUGGUAUAUAUUUGACUAUUGCCGGCGUAUUCCUCUUCAUAGCCAAUCUGUUUUCUUCAAUGGGGGGUUUUGAAUAAACAGGGUGUGGUGUGGUUCUGUUGAAUUAUGAUUCUAACAAAUAUGUAUUGUAAUGUGAAUUAGUGUAAAUUUAUUGAGUUUAUGAUUGUUUUUAUUAACCAAAAAGACAAAAGGUGUAAGAUUUUAGGUUAAAUGUGGGAUAUUGGCGAGAGAAGCUUGCAUUUUGUCUUCUGAGAAAGACAAAUCAACCAUGGCGCCCUGUAAGUAUUUCUCGUAAGCAGGAAGGUCAAAAUGGCCAUGGCCACACAUUGCCAUUAAUAUCACUUUUGAUUCGCCGCUCUCUUUGCAGUGAAGGGCUUCUCGUAUUGCUGCGGCUAUGGCAUGUGUAGGCUCCGGUGCUGGUAUCAGUCCUUCUGAUCGAGCAAAUUGUAUGGCCCCUAAACCAGUUCGUUUCAUCCAAUUCAACACGUUAGGUCUCAAAAUAACAAAAUUGAUAGACGAAAGAUUACAAAAUUGAAAGUAAUUGUACCUCGAAAGCACUCAAUCUGUGGAAUUGCGAUUGCUUCCAUGAAACCUAAUUCAUAGAUGUGUGAAAUCAGUGGCGCCAUUCCAUGAUACCUCAACCCUCCUGCAAAAUUAGGUGAAGUUAUGGUUCAUUUUAACCACAAAGAGCAUCUUUCUGAGUUAUUAUAUCAAGAAAUCAGAAAGAGUUAUACCGGAAUGAAUAGGGUCAGGAAUGAAAUCAUGACCGAGUGUAUGCAUCUUCAUCAAUGGAGUCAAUUGAGCAGUAUCUCCAUAAUCAUAAGCAUAAACACCUUUGGUCAAUGAAGGGCAAGCAGUAGGCUCGACAGCUCUUAUAACAGGGUUGAUUUUUCCUUUGAGUCUUUCCCGGAUAAAAGGGAAACAGAGCCCUGCAAAAUUGGACCCACCACCCGUACAACCAAUGAUGACGUCAGGAGUCUCCCCUAAAUCCUCCAUCUGCUUAAUACAUUCUUCCCCAAUAACAGUCUGAUGUAACAAAACAUGAUUCAGAACACUUCCUAAGCAAUACUUGGUAUCUUGGUUAAGACCUGCAACCUCCACAGCCUCUGAAAUGGCAAUCCCCAAGCUCCCUGGACUUAACGGAUCCAUUUCAAGGAUUCUCCGGCCUGACUCCGUGAUGCUUGAAGGAGAGGGAUGAACUUUAGCUCCCCAUGUUUGCAUCAUCAGUUUCCGAUAUGGUUUCUGAUCAUAAGAAGCCCUAACUUGCCACACCUGCAAAUUAAAAUUGAAAUUAAACCAUAAGUUUUAACCAACACUAAAAUGAAGAAGCUAGCUCUAAGAGAAACUCAUUACUCACUUCACAGUUGAGCCCAAAUAGGCUGGAAGCAAACGCUAAAGAACACCCCCAUUGACCUGCACCUGUUUCAGUGACAACGUUCUUGACACCUUGUUGUGCAUUGUACCAAACCUGAGGGACAGCGGUGUUUGGUUUGUGUGAACCGGCUGGACUUACACCUUCAUAUUUGUAAUAAAUUCUUGCGGGUGUAUCAAGUAGUUUCUCCAAUCUCUUGGCUCUAAAUCAAAACUCAGAACAAUUCAAAAAUAUGAUAUCUUUUAUAUAUAUGGAAGAAUAUUCUAGAAGAAAAACCGACCUGAUAAGAGGGGUAGGGCGCCAAAGCCUGUAAACAUCGAUAACUUCAUCAGGAAUCACAAUGAAUCGUUCAUUGCUUGCCUCCUGCUUAAUCAGUUCAUCGGGAAAAAGAUGAGAUAGGUCUUGCGGUUGCAAUGGUGCAAACGUCUUUGGAUGCAGAAAUGGGGGAGGUUUGAUGGGGAGGUCGGCGAUGAUAUUAUACCAAUGCGUAGGGAUUUCUGUUGCGACAGCAUGUGGAGUAAGUGUCGUUGAUACUGGUUUUUCUCGAAAUGAGAAUUUUAAAUGAUUGGGAUUUGCAUUAAACAACGAAUUUCCAUGUUUUUUCACCUCACCUGAAAGGGGAAGAAGAAAGAAGAAAAUAAGUUUGGCUAUUGGAUUCUUAUCUUAAGUCGAUAUAAGAUCGUACAGUUAGAAGCAAAUUGAUUUGAAUAAGCGUAGCUUUAACCUAAUCAUAUGAACUGUAAAAUCAAACGACCCAAAAUAAAAAAAAAUAAAAAAAAAAAAAACAUCUUCUACCAAACUGGAUCAAAAUCCACCACAAAUAAAUCAAAGAAGAGUUGAUAUCAGUACAAAUAGAUGAAGAGCAUGUGUGUUGUUUUUCUUUACCUUGGAAUGAAAAUUUAGGGCUCCGAUUUACCGAAAAAGAAAGAGAAGGAGACAUUGUUGCAGGGGUGUGGAAGUUGGUAGUGAGCUACUAAACUUGACUAAGUUGAAUAGGGGUUGAAGAAGUGGUUUUGGCAUUGAAUAAGAUUGUAAUAAUAAAGAUGGCAUUUGAUGGCAUGUGACCACUUCCCUAUCGAAUACGCCGCCAUGACCACCAGAUGCCAUUUUUCAUGCAUUAUAGAAUUGCAUUCACUUAACGUACAAUACAAAUGCGUAUAAGACGGAGGACCACGUACGAUAUCAUUUCCUUUUUGUUUUUUUAUUAUAUAAAAAAAUGGAAAGUAAAAUAGUAAAUGGCAUAAAAGAUUAUUAUUUUGCUUGACAAUUGUUUUAGAAGAAAAAAAAACAGAUUAAAUAAAGAAUUUGAUUACAAAAAGGUAUCAGAAUAAUAAUGCAAGGUCACCUCAAAAGUCCAACCUACACAGUACACAUAUUGAUUGGUGGUCCGUCGAAUUGCUGUCUCGGCCUUAUUAGUACCACGAGCUUAAAUGGCUAAUCUGGGCCCACUAGCGGCCCGGUUCACUAGAAACCAGUCAUUAAUCCAACGGGUUAUCCCUAAUUUCCGAGUCAUUUUACGGAUUUCAUUAGAAUUAUUUAUGCCUUGAGUAUUAUUAAACUUAAUAUGAAUUUGAGACUUUUUUUUUUCUUUUAAAAACAGAGACUUUUUUUUUAGUGUUUUUCCUUAUCUAGUAAUCGGCCAUUCUAUUUUGUAUAUUCCUCCAUCAUGUGGUUAGAGCCCAAAUACAAGGGUCGGACAUGAAAUACCAAGUCGCAAUUUAGUAUGGUCAGAUCAAAGUCAAAAAUUUAAGCUCAGGAAAUCUAAUAUGGAGCCUUGUUGGAGAAAAAAUACCAAGCAAUGAGAUUUCAUUCUUUCAUAAGAAAGCCUUCCUACAACCCGUCCGCCAAUUGGUCAAUCACUCAUUCGAUCACUGCAAUUGAGAGUGAGGGGAUAUUGAAAUGGGCCUUAUAUGGAUUCACCUACGAAAAUAAAGGUCUCCAAUGGAGGCUAUUUUAAGGGUUUUACCUCCAUUUUUUAUUCAAUAUUUCUAUUUCCCUUAAGCAUUUAGUAGUUUAGAACUAUUAUAAUAUAUAUUUGUCAUUCGAAUUAUUCACUUCUUGAGUAUUGUUAAAUUUUAUUAAGAAUUUGAGAAAUUUUUUUUUAAUAAAAUUAAGAUUGUUACUGAAUGCUUUUCCGUUCUCUCCUAACAAACCAUUUUUUUUCUGUUUCUUCUGCCAUCCAUUUAAAUACAUUGAUAGUUUAACACAAUAAAUAAAUUUAAAAAAAAAAAAAAAAAAAAAAAAAAAAAAAACCCGAAUGUUAACCUAUUAGAGUUCAAAAUUUGUAUAUUUUAACUAAGCAACGAAAGUCUUAACUUAUAAAUCUUAGAAAUGUAGGUUGGUGUAGUUUGUGAUUUCCUUGUACAGGAAAAAUUAGUCUCAACCCAAAACAAAUAUUGGAAAUUGGUACUUGAAUUGUCAACUCUAAACAGAAAUCUUGAAGACAAGUUUUUUAGAAAAUGAAAUGUGGGUGAUUGUGUCACGACUUAGUUAUCUAAAAAAACAAGUAUUUCAUAAGUUGAUUCAAUGAUCUAUGGGACUAUUCAUACAAGCCAAUAUUUUUCAAUCUUGAAAAUUUAUGGCAAGUAUUUCACAAAAGCUUGGCAUAGGUUAUAAACACGAUGACAAUUACAUCAACCAGUGAAAAGAAAAAGAGGUCACAGGAAAUGAGCAUAACUCACAGAACAUUCCAAUCAUCCUACAAUUGUGUUAUUCUUGAAGCUCCAUACCUUCCUUCCUGAAGAUCAUACAUCAAGUUGAACAAACUUCUUUAUAAUUCCCAUCAUUUCACUCCCUGGAAACCGCCCAAGACAACCCCUUGCCACCGCUAACUCAUCCAACUUCCAAACCGAAUCGCCGGAAAAUGCUCGAUUCUGUUGACUCCCUUCCUCUUCUUCCACCACAUCAUCUGAUAAAUCUUCACCGGAUUUAAUAACCGGAAGUGGAAACGUAUCAAGAGAAGUUUGUAAAACCACGGAUUCACCACCAACUGCACCCACAUAAUCUUUCAACCGACAUAACGUAAAUGGAACAGGCUCAAAGCUAUGAUCCCCAUAUUCAACCGGAGUAGAAUGGUCUCCAGUGACACACACUGAAAACUGGAAUUCACCACUUGACUCUGCCUCCCAAAGAAGCCUUGCAAGCUGCCCUAUUGCUUUGUCAACAGCUUCCAACCCUUUCACUUUAAACACACUCGCUUUAUCAUGCCCCGCAUCAUCUAUUGCCUGUAAUUUAUAACAUUUAGUCAUUUAUUAUUUAUUAUUUAUAUCAUAUCAUUUCAGAAAUAAACAAACACGGAACACCUUUAUAUGAAGGAAUCCAAAAUCAUAGCCAUCAGAUGGACCAGGCUUGUGUUCAUCUUCCCCUGGCACAAAAACAUUCGGGCAAGACUUUGUAGGAGCCGACAACGCGUUUGCUAUCGCCAUUGCUUUUGAUGUCAAUAAGGUUCGGUAAUCUCCCGUGGCUCCGGAAGCUUCUAGAAUGUCUAUACCCAAAGAUAACCCAAGCCCAGCUAUGAUUUUCGUGGGGGCCACCAUGCAUGGUCUUAGUCCGUGAUUCUUCUCAAAUGCAGGAACCUGUAAUAAUUUAUUUGUAUUUUUUUUUAUAAUGAAAUUGUAUGUUUGACUUUGACAUGUAAAGUUAAUAAUAAUAAUAAUACCUCGAUUCGAAUGCCACAGCCUCGUAAAAGGACAAUAUUGGCAAUGUUUUUUCCUUGAGCAGCACGUUUUUCAUUCAAGGGAUGAGCAACUAAGAUUUUAGAAAUUUCUUUUGAUAAUUCAUUGAUAACUGUUGCAGUAUGUUUUGCUUCUUCUGUAUCAUCAAGAGCUUGUGCUUGUAAAAGCAAACGGUUAUCCUUCAAUGGAUCUGUUCCUGAUAUAUUUCCACUUAGUUUAGGUCCUUUCACCACAACCCCACAUCUGUGCUCUGUUGCAUACCUGAAACAAAUCUAAAAAAGCAUAAAACUUGCAACAUCUUUUAUUUUCAAAAAGCCUUCAAGUCUUGGAGUAAGAGGACACACACACACACACACACACACACACACCUGACUCUGACUUCAUAUUCGGGAAAAGAUGGGAGCUUCAUUUUAUCAAGUGCUGCACACAAGAUGGGGCCUUCUUCUUCAAAGUGCCUAUCAGCCCUUCUGCUAGUGACUACUCCCGUUUUCUCAUCUAGAGUUGCAAAGUUUGACUGAUGGAUUAUGAAAGAAAUGAAAAUCAAUACAAUCACAAAAAGAGGGACGUUUUAUUAGUUAAAAGACGGAUUUGCCCAUACCUUGAAAGCAAUAUCUCCUGGUGACAUGGCCAAACCAGCACCCAUGGAUUCAAAGGCGCCUCGACCACGGUAAUAGACUCGAGGGUCAUAACCCAUUAGAGAAAGAUGAGCAGUGUCACUUCCACAGCCUAAACCUACUUCAACUGGGUCCAUAAGACCAUUGACUCCAGCAGAAGCAAUGGCAUCCAAGUUUGGCACUUUUGCAGCUUCUAGAGGAGUUUUGUAUCCAAAUCUUGGAAUUGAAACAUCUCCCAAUCCAUCGAUCAACACAAAUGCAACUCUUCUACGAGGCAUCUUUGAAUUGACCAUACUUGUUUUUAAACACUUUUAAGAAUCUCACUGUCAUCAAGAUCACGAUAUAACAAUAAGAAACUCAAAGUAAAUAAGCUUUACAACCUAGGGCUCAUAACCAAUUAAUCAUGCAUGUAAGAAAAAAAAUCCGAAUUGACACUGAAUUAGUUAACCCUAGAUGGUCUAUUUCAAUUAUGUAGUGAGAUCGGAUUGACAUGUUAUAAACGACCAUCAUCAAAAGAAAUACUUGCAUCUUGUGGGUUUGUAUAAUCACACAAUCAUAAAGCAAGAACUAAUAACAUAAACAUAUUUGAGACUAAGACUGACCUGAUUAGGCUGAGGGUUUUGAAUUUAGGAGAGAUUUUGGAUACUGGGUAUUGAAGAGGAUUGCAUUUUUGUUGAAUCUUGGGUAUUUAACUGCGUUUAGUAGAUGGGGGUAAAGGAGCAUCAAUCUUCAUGGCACAGAUGCACUAGGGUAUUCCUUUUCGAAUAAAGAAUUCCUGUUGAGAUGCACACUCCAUAACCCUUUCCUCGGUUGCGUACUCUCUUUUUACACCGUCUUCACCGAGUUAAAAGAAACAGAGAAAAAACAAAAGAACAGGAGUAGUAAUGAAAUCAAGAAAACGUAGAUUUUCUUUUAUUCUUUUAGAAAAAAAAUAAAAAUAAAAAAGUUUUUUUUAAGANNNNNNNNNNNNNNNNUAUAUAUAUAUAUAUAUAUAUAUAUAUACACUAGCCGUUUACCCGCGCAAAGCGACGGGUGCGGAUCAACAAAAUGACAUAAAAAAUUUGUUAAACAAAAUGACGAACAGAUAGAGAUUUCUUAUACUUGGGCUAGGAUUAAACGUAAGACAUUUUUGGGCUUAUUCGAUUUUAAUAGAAAGAAAAACAAAGGAGGAGGUAGCGAGCAUGAGAGAGAACCAAGGUUUUGCAGUCAAAUGGCAAGACAUUCAUGAUAGACGAAUGCUGUAUCAAUGUGCAUCUUCCAGUUUAUAUAAAAUGUUUUAUAACGUGUACAUCGUAUUAGACCGAUUCAAAUGGAUAUGAAGAACACUUGGUCAAACUAUGACCCAUUCAAAAUCUUAUCAUCAUCUUAUUUGACUUUUUCAUAAAUAUUGAUCGGAUAAGAUUUAGUAUUUACCGAUUCAAUUGGAUAUGAGGAACACUUGGUCAAACUUUGACCAAUUCAAGAUCUUAUCAUCUUCAUCUUAUUUGACUUUUUCAUAAAUAUUGAUCGGAUAAGAUUUAGUAUUUACCGAUUCAAUUGGAUAUGAGGAACACUUGGUCAAACUUUGACCAAUUCAAGAUCUUAUCAUCUUCAUCUUAUUUGACUUUUUCAUAAAUAUUGAUCGGAUAAGAUUUAGUAUUUACCGAUUCAAUUGGAUAUGAGGAACAUUUGGCCAAACUUUGACCCAUUCAAAAUCUUAUCAUCAUCAUCUUAUUUGACUUUUUCAUUAUUAUUGACAGAUUCGUUAUUUAGCGAUUCAAUUGGAUAUGAGGAACACUUGAUCAAAGUUUGACCCAUUCAAAAUCUUAUCAUCAUCAUCUUAUUUGACUUUUUCAUAAAUAUUAACCGUAUAAGAUUUAGUAUUACCGAUUCAAUUGGAUAUGAGGAACACUUGGUCAAACUUUGACCCAUUCAAAAUCUUAUCAUCAUCAUCUUAUUUGACUUUUUCAUAAAUGUUGACCGGAUAAGAUUUAGUAUUUACCAAUUCAAUUGGAUAUGAGGAACACUUGGUCAAACUUUGACUCAUUCAGAAUCUUAUCAUCAUCAUCUUAGUUGACUUUUUCAUAUUUAACUCAUUUAAUUUGAAGAUAAGCUUUGAAGUUCAGUUAUANUAUUAAUACUAUAUGGAAUUAAUAUCAUAAAAAAUCAUAUAAAAACAUAAUAUAAUCUAUAUAUAAUAUUCUAAUAUAGUUGUAUGGAAACUAAAAAGUGUCAAAAUGUCAUUACAGCUCAAGCCGUUCGUGGUUUCUUACACCCCGUUCCCGAGUUAAACUUAACGAGAGAAAGGAAAUGAAAUAGGUGGAAAUGAGAAGAAAAUAAAAGAAAUUGGUGUUCCCGAGUUUUAUUAAUGAGAGAAGUGGAAGGAAGUGGAGGGAAAUGGAAGGAUCGCUUUCCCUCCUAACUUUCCUUCCGAUUUGGGAGGAUUUGGAAAGAAAGAAUAAAAUGAUUCAUUUUCCUUCCGUUUCUCUCCAAUUCGGGAACACUAAAGAAAAUUUUGUUCUCCUUUCAUUUCUCUUUUUUUCUCUCAUGACGUUCUUUUCUCUUCUCUUCUUUUCUUUUGUUAAACUCGGGAACGAGACAUUAGCCUAAAAUGCUGAAUUUUAAGAGGUACAAGGCAUAAUUUAAGCAUCGGAAUCUUAUCCGGUCAAUUAAAAGGAAAAGUUAAACGGGACUUUGAAGACGGGCCUUUGAAUUCGUGUUCCACACUUUCAACAUAAUGAAUCGGUCAACACCAACUAACCUUUAUAUAACAUCUCCUCUUUCGCUUCCUUUAUCAUUGUUACGUUACAACUCACAAGCACACACCAGAUUUCAAUAACCACUAGAUCAUUCACUCUCCGCCAUCCUCUUUCUUUCCCUAAAAAAUAGAAUCCCCAACCAAAAACCCAUUUGCCACUCACACCCCCAUUCAUCGGUCACCACCAUCACAACAUUACUUACCUGCAUCAAAGGUCAGCUUCAUCACUACUAUUGUGGAUGUUUGACCGUUCACUUCUCCUUCCGAACUCAACAAAUCACAAAUCAGAAAAUCGAGCAGGUAACACAUUUGGUACCUUUUCUCUGUAUCCAUAAAACCUAGAUUGAACGUUCACGCUACCACCACUUUCAUCACCUUCAAAUCAUUCAUUGCAUUGGUUGUGAUCUUCUACUUAUGCUUUCUUAUUUAUGUUUUCUUCUCCAUUUGCAGGUUUCAAUUUGUGUGUAAUGUACUUGAUUGGAUAUCAAACUGAUGAUGUAACUUUGAAAGGCAUGCCUACGACUCUAAUCGUUUUAAAUCUCAUCUUUGUUUUCCUGUUUUUUAUUUAAUUUUAGCCAGUUGACCUUUUUUGGAAAAAGAAUUACUGGUGAAAUAAGUUUAUCCUACUUUCAUAUAUGACUUCUAUUAUGUGUAAAGAUGUCUAAGUACUCUACUAUUUGAUGCAAAUAUUAACCACAACAAAAUAUGGCUCGAGAUUUUAUAGCUAAUAACUAUGAGGUAAAGCUUAUCAACAUAAUUUUUUCUUGUAGGUGGGAGAGAAACGAGCACUAGGAAUAGAGACAAAAAGGAUUUCGACGAUUAGUUUGUUGCUGCAAGGUCUUAAUUUUUUAGGGUUAGUAUUCUUUUUUUUUCUUGAUUUACAAAUUCUUUAGGGUCAAUUCUUUUUUUCCCCCUGAUUUACAAAUUCUUUAGGGUCAAUAUUUUGUCGUGAGAGAUGAAGAUGUUGUAACAAGAAUCAGUAUGACAAAUAAAUUAUGUCAGUAACCCAUAACUUAAACCUACAUCUUUUAUCAUCUUUUUUCUGUAAUCUCUUUUAAGUAUUCCUCUCUUUUGAAAUUUUGGUAGGGAUAAACAAGAUCAUAUAAGAUUCGAGUUCCUACAAUUGGUUAAUGUGCCUUGCUCCUCGGUGGAUGACUUUUAAAUUUGUUUUUUUUUCAAUUUUAAUCAACGGCGAUGUUAUAUAUAUUAAAUAAAUGAUAUUGAUAACAUAAGCAAAAUCAUUUUAUAUUUAGCAGGUCGCCUAUAGCACCUGAAGAUACAAUUAUGCCAUAAGGAAGCAUAUCUAUGAUUUGUCAUAAUUAAAGUUUUCAAUUACCAUGACAGGUUAGUCACCAUCUUAACUUGAUAGUCACCAUAUCAACUACAUGUGUGUGUAAGCUUGUUUGUGUUUAUAGGUCUUAAAAUGGGUGAUUUCAUCUUCAUCGUUAGAACAAGCUUUAAGUGGUCAUUUUGACCAGGGUUAUAAGGUAAAUCUGUUAAUAUAUGAAUUUUUUAAACUAUUAUAUGAUUAUGUUGGAAAAUGUGAUAUGGUGUCAUUUAGGUCUAAUAAAAACUAUGGUAUGGUUAUUCUCCAAAAAAAAAGUCCUAGCAAUUUUCUGUCAAAAUGUACAUUUGUAGAAUUCUGCGAUUUUACUUAUUUUUUUUUCAAUUUGAACUUUUUUUCCUUUUUAACCAUUGUACUUUGAUUCUUCUCAGGUGCCUGCUUCAUGUUCUCUUUAAUAUGCUAUGUUGGUUUGAGGUAAAACUGUAAAAAUUGUCAUCAACACUCUAAAGCGAUAAGCAACAAAGCCCUUUAUUCUUCUUCUAACUUUUUUCCUCUAUCUUUUAAUUUGGACUCAUUUUCCUCUCUUUUGAGAUCGAUACUGAAGAAAGUAAACACUGAAAUCUUUUAUUCUCAGUGUUUUGGGGCUUCCAAGUCCCCUAUGGUCUCCAACCUCUUCUGCUUCUAAUCUAACCACUAUGAUCGAAAUGCAUAUACAUUCUCCCAUUGCUCCAAAAUCUUGAAAAUUCCAGCACCUAAGCAAUAAAAGGCAUGCACUUUCUCUUAUUGUUACUGAUACACCUCCAAUACAAUACACGUAUUCUAGAAGAAGGAGGGUAGAAUGGGAAAUCAAGACCAAGACAAAAAGGGAACAUCCCUAGAGGUGGCAGUAUCAGAGAAGUAAUGGGAGACACUGCAGGGGGAAAUCUGGAAAGAAGUUUAUUUGGUUAGCAAUAGAAUAGUAGGGGAGCAUUAGAGAAAAAUUGGUGUUAUUUUUAUGGAGAGACUAACCUCUCGAUCAUGUUAGGGUUCUUGUUUGUCUUUAAGUGUUUGUGAAAUACCAUAAGUGAAUUGCUCCUGUUAUUUACAUUCUUUUGUUCUUUGCUUAGUUACUAUCGGAAGUUUAGCAUUAAUUUAGCAAUAGCUCAGGAGUUAUAAUGUUUAUUUCGGUUUUAUACUUUGUUAACAUCUUUAUUGCGUUAAGGUUUUAUGUAAUCUGUUUAGGUUACAUCUGAAGAGACACCAUACACAUCAGCUGCAAGUUUAGUUUUGAGAACAUGUAUAUUCUCAAGGCUCUAUUUACAUCAUCAAAUUCAUACCCUCUACAAAUUAUUGAGAUUUAAGGUUGGCCCCCUGAAUUUCUUCCUAACUAUUCUAUGUUAAACAUGGCGAUGUUUUGUUUCAUAUUUCAUUUGGAUGAAGAUUCGUGAUAAUAGUUGAGCAAAUCAUAUAUCAUGAGGUUUCCUUUUCUUGCUUUUAAUCACUUGCUUUUAGGAUGAAACACAAUCCAAUCAAAGCAAUGAUGGUACUCCCGUUUGAAGGGCAAGCUAGAAAAAGGAGUUAAAGAAGAUUAAUGCUUGGAUUUGAAGGUUAGUCCUACGAAAUGGACAUUUGUAAAUAGUGGAAUCUGAUUUUUAAGGUUGAGAACAAACAUUUUUAUACAAAAGAUGGGAGGGAAGAACAAAUUAUUUCUAAUUUUUACCAAGUUUAUUGUUUUUUAAGCUAUAGUUACAUGUUUAUGAAGAAUGACUAGGUUUUUAUCAAAUGUUAUUGGGUAUCACUGGUAACAAAAUGUGAUUAAUGUCUACUCUUUUGAUUGUUGAAUUGUUUGUUUUAAAAACAAUUGGUUGAUUAAUGUAAGUAUAUGUAAGAGCUUUAUAAGAAAGCUUGGUCCAAAUAUUGAACAUACUUGAUAUUCAUGUUUUUUUUAUCGUCGUAUGCAUUUAUCUUUCAAAAAUUGAAUUUAUAUAUCAGUUUAGUUAAGCCCAUACAAAUUCAACGUGGCAACUUUUCUUGUGUUUUAAUUUGUAUUGGUUUUCCUAAUCUUUUUAUAUUUAUUUAUAUCUAGCAUUAAUCAAAUUUUAAUUCUUUGAACUAAACACAACAAAAAAAUAAUUAAUUUGUCUUUCUAAUAUCUAACAAAAUUCAACAAUAAAGAAAAUUAUAAUAUAUAACUAAUAAAAAGUAUUUGUAAUUAAUGGAGAUACUAUGUGAUAAAUGUUAAAAACAUUUUUGAGAAUAUAACCAUCUUAUUUGUAAAAUUUCAAUUAACAUCGAUUAUUUAUUUAACGAUGGAAGUGAAUAAAUAAAUCUUUAUAAAAUAUAAAAGUUCAAUACAUAUCGAUUGAAAGCAAACGAGCAACAACUUGCGCCGCUAGCCUUUUAAAAUUGAGGUUCAACAAUGACAAAGUAUACACAUCAAAUGUGUUGUAUAAAGAAAUAUUUGUAAAUUCAACCAUUAGAAACACAUUUAUGAAAAAAAAAAACGCAUCUGUCGNNNNNNNNNNNNNNNNNNNNNNUAUAUAAGUUUUCAUUUUUAAAGACUCUUUAAGAAAGAUGGAGAGAUAUAUAUCAAAAUACAUUCUAAAACUUUUUGAUGACGAAAACAACCUUUCGAUUAAGACUACUAAAAUUGAUUAAACAACAUAAGGAAUGUGAGAAAUAAGAAGUUACAUAUAGGGGUGAGUAUCGAGCGGGUUAGGCGAUUUUUGGUUCAUUCGGGUUCAUUUUAAAUGGUUCGUUUUGGGUUACUCGAAUGGAAAAACAAAACUGCAGUAUGCCACUCAAGAUGUCGGGCAACCGAAGGAACCAUUGAACCAGGGGAAGGCAAACCCUACAAUUUGACGGAACCCUAGGCCUUAAUUGAUCGGAGAAGCUCGAAUGGUCAAGUGCUCGACUAUCGGUCUAUCUCUAGCGAUCGUGGAAGAGACGUCGUGUUUUGAUUUUGAUUUUCACGGGGUGUUGUAGUGUCGCAAUUGAAGUUUUAAUGAUGCAACUCAUAAAAUGAAUUAAGGGUGGGUGUUGGGGGUAAAGUCACUCAGGGGUAGGUCUGGCAAUCGUGUCGUGUUCGAGUUGGCAUGUCGCGGGUUGGCGGGUUGGCGGGUCAAAAUAUGCCAACCCAAACACGACCCAUUUAAAUAUACAGGUCACGGGUUUGCGGGUCACAGGUUGGCGGGUUUGGAACAUAAACCCAUAUAUGACCCGCCAACCCAUUUAUUGAUUCAGGUUCUCAGAUUAGCGGGUAUGUGGGUCUGAUUUGGGUUCAUGGGUAAGAUUCCAUAAAUAAAAUUGACAAUUAAACAUGAAUAAAUUCUUGAUGGUUGAUGCAAACAUAUCUGAAUUUUAGACACUUAAGUCUUAAACAUCCAAAUGAAAAUUAAAAACAUUUAUAGAAACAUGUUCAAAUUAAACAUUAAUACAAACAUAGAUAAUUCAAGUGCUAAAGUAAUUGGCCACAAUUCCCAUUUUUUCUCCCAAAAAAACAAAGUCAAUUCUCCAACACCAUUUUGAUACUUGAUUUCGAUCACAGAGUAACAGAGGGGAGAGUGAGACUAUAGGUGACCAGGAGACUGGAAGUCUGGAAAAGGGAGAUACGCUCAUACACGAAUUGAUUUUGAGAUUAUAAUUUAGGGCAAAUGGACAAAAUGGUUACAGACUUAGCCUUACAAGUUACGACUUACGACCUUAGGUCAUCCACACUAUUUAAACAUCCUUAUCCCCUCAAAACCUUUUCCUUCAUCAACCUCCACAUCCCAAAACAUCCCUUGCUAACCCUAAUUCAUUGUGUAAGCAUUUUUUUAGUAUGAUAGUGUGUAUUUGUGCUCUUGAAGGAAGAAAAAGAUAAUAGAUUCAUCUUGGAAGCUUCAAGCAAGAGUAGAUCUGAAACUUCCUCCUUGCAAGCAACCUCCAAAAGGUAUAGAGUGAAAUUUGAUGAAUAUUCUCCUUGGUCCCAUAGUCUUGGUGUUCAUGAGCAUGGCUUACUCUAACCAUAAGGGUCGUCCUUUCAGACGUUUUUAGGUGUUAGGAACCAUAAAAAUGUGAUCUUGGUCUUUUCUUUCCCUUCAUGCAAGAGUUAUGGUGUUUAGUUUGAGUAUUAAGUUAGAGUUUUAGUAGUUAGACUACUUCUAGCCAAGGAAAGUCAUAAAGGUGGAAAGUUUAUGACUUAGAAUGACAUUUAGGUCGAGAUCCAAACUUUAGACGUUAAAUCUUAAUGGAUUAAGCACUUAAAAAGAAAAAAUAUAGUCGGGUUAACUACGUUGGGCGUACCAAGGGGUAUGCUGCAUGUACUAGCCAAGGGCCUCGUAUUUUGGAUGGAUCAUGACUACUCCCAACGUAGUGACUAAGUACGCCCCACGGGGCGUACUCAGUCUAUGUUGACUUUCCUAUGAUUUUUGAAUUUUUUAAUUUGACUUUUACCAGGAUUUUGACCAAGUUUGACUGAGGGGCAAUUUGGGGUAUUUUGAGUAGAAGUUUGAGUUUAGGUCCUUGUUUAUUAUAUAAGUGACCGGAGAGACAGUAGUUGGAGCAGUGAUCUGUUCAGUACAUUUCAAACUGUGAGGUGAGUUUUCUUCACUAUACUCAUGGGUUGAUGGCAUUAAUGUCGACCUACUAGGUUAUGUAUCCUGGUAUAUAAGAUGUUGCUAUGAUGUAGUAAUUUUUCAUAUUUGCAUUAUUAUAUGUUUGAUGGUUAUAUGUUAUUUGUUGCAUAUCUCGACAUAGUUUGGUUAGGUUGAGGCAAUACUGCUUUGUGCGGAAUCCAACAAAUUUGGGAGCAAGCCAAACAUAAGAUGUGGGCCGGAAUGGAAAGCCAAACUUAUGUUGUGGGCUCGGAAGCAAUCCAAACAAGAGUUGUGGGCCAGGAGGCCAAACCAUACUCAUGUUGUGGUCUUAGGGGUAAUCUAACCCAAUGGUUAUGGACCCAAUAUGCAUGUUUUUAUAUGUUGUGUGGUAGCAUUUUGAAGAAACUCGCUAAUGUUUGGCUUGCAUUUUAUGUGUUAUGUUUUAGGUACUUCUGAUGACCGGGACAAGGCGAAGGCAUGAGCUUACACAUCCUUCAGUAAUAUGUUUUGGAGAUUUUAUGAUACUUUGAUUCUAGUAUAUUUGUAUUUGAUAAUUGGGUUAUGACUUAAGUAUUGAUUGGAAACAAUGAAUUUACUUAACUGAAAAAUGAAAAAAUUUAUCAUGAUUUUUGGGAUGUUAUAAGUUGGUAUCAGAGGCCUUGUUUGAGCGGAUUGGAUAAGCAUUUGUAUGAAUCCAUUAGAACCAUGGUUCUAAAAAGUGUGCCAUGGCGCGCCUCAAGGCGUUCCAUGGCACGAGGCGUGGUGUAGCCGUUACGAAAACGUCUAAGGCGGGUUUGUUAAGCUUGGCGCCCAAAUAACGUGUCAAGGCGCGCCUUAUCGCGUUAUGGCGCGAGUUUUUUUGAUUUUUUUUCUUUUGUUUUUUUUAUCGGGCCUAAAAUAAAUGAGUUUUUGUUAACUUUUUUCUAUUAGAUAUUUAUUUAAAACUUCUAAAAACUUCAUAUAUUUGAUAAAAUUCAAUAAUUAUAUGAUUUAUAUCUUUUUAUGUAUAUAAUAUAGUCACGCCUUGAAAAACGUCAUGACUCGUCAAGGCUUGUCGUUACUUAACUUUUACCUUGCUGCCAAGCCACGCCUUACGUUAUUUAGAACCUUGAUUAGAACAAAGGAUCUGUAAAGUUUUCAAAAUUAAUUUCAAUUUUGUUUUCAAAAUUAUUUUAAAAAUUGUUUUCAAAGGUAUCCAAAGAAGGAUGGGGUGUGUACGAUAAGUCAGAGCAAGAAAGUAUACCCCAAGAUAUCUACACUAUUAUUUGCUUAUGAUGAUUAUGAUAGAAUCGCAUGCUAGUUUUUAGGUUAGGGAUCCUCAGGAAUUGCAUGAUAUAAUUGCCUAAUGUGUGAUGCCUUAUAGCCUAGGAAAACUUCUUGUAUGAUAGAUGAAAUUGACAUCAUUACUAAAGUUGCUUAGUGUGUACAUCAUAGUUGUACAUAACUAAGAUUUUUAUAGCUUGUGAAUGUUUAAUUUAGCCUUAUUUCAUUUUUCUUGUCGGGUUGUGGGCUUAGGGUAGAAUUAAGUAUUCAGCUGUCUAUGGCAUCCAAGGUUAUGUAAAAAUUUAGCAUACACGAGCGGCUGCAGAGUUGGUGGAAGCGUCAUGAGUGACUGUGGGUGUAGCUGAUGGGUUUUAUGUACUCUAACAUUCCUAUGGUGCACAUACAACCCUAAUGCUUUGGGUCUAAUUUUUCUCUAAUUAUACAUGUAGCAUUGUUUUCCAAAGCAUAAAGCCUAAACUAGCAUGCAAGGUAACAUUUAAAUCAUAAAAAACAGCUAGAAGAUUACCUUGUGUGGUAGCUUGCUUGUCUUUGUCCUUUAGGAGCCUAGCACCUCAAGUCUGAUGCCUCAAAUGUCUUAUAACAAACCAUGAAUAAGAGAAUUGAUUUGAGAGAGAGGUUUGGGAGAUCAAAAUCGGCUAGCUACAACUCUAGUGUGCAUGGGGGCCGAUUUUAGGGUGUUAGGGACUUCUUUUAUAGCUUAGGAUCACAACCAUGCAAACCCUAAUGACUCUUCAUAUUUCUUAGUCUUUUAGGCUAAACCUUCUUGGACUUUCACAUAGGUUUAUUCCAACUUUAAUCAACAUGAGUCAUGAGCCCAACUAGAAGUAUUACUGAUUUACCUAAUCAGUCCCUGUAACUUUAAUCAGUUUCUUUUGAUCAUGAAAUUAAUACCAAAUUAAUUCUUGAUCAUUACUAAUUAAAUAAUGUGAUUUCUCAAUUAAUAUAUUAUACUUAUUAUAUAUUAAUAAAUCACAAUAACCUCUUCCUCAAAUAUCCAUCCUAUCAAAUUGUUCCAGAGUGUUACAACCCACAUGGACCAUGCUAUUAUCGGGUCAAGUACAUACCCAUUAUAGUUAUGGGCUUAGACACCUAAUCCAACAGUAGCAGGCCAGUUGAGGGAUGAUUAACCACUCUCGAGAGAGUGGGUAUAGGAUGUAUGCAUAUCCUAGUUAUUGGGUUUGUUUUCGGGUAGUUUGUGAUGAUCCAUUGAGAUAAAUACGGGUAGGUGUGGAAGGUAGUAUGGUCCCGUACUACUGAAAGCACAGGACCCGUACGCAUAACAAGGAAUUCAUGAACCCAAAGGGUGUAGUCUUCCCGGAAUGAUUGAAAUAAUAUGAAUUUGUAGCAUUUGUGAUAUACUUAUGGUUCAUUUUUAGUAUGGUGUUUACAAGGGAUUUAGGAUCUCGAGCUAGUGGCCAGGAUUGUUAGAUGAUGACAUUCACGAGUUGAUCGCCAAUGAGGUUGAUGUUGCUAUCUAAGGUGCCAUCCAUGAGGUUUUUGGAUCUAUCAAGACUGCAAUGAUUGAGUUUUUUGAUGAGCGGUACGCCGCUGUGUUUGAGGUUGUUGUUGUUGCAUCCAUCGCAGCUAUUGUUGCUGCUGCAGCUGGGGUUCAGGGGAGAUGAUCAUUGUAGUAUCAUGACUUUAGCAACACGAAUCUCCUGGAGUUUGAUGGGUUCAAGAACCUUAUCAUGGCCAUGAGAUGGAUUUCUGACAUGGAGGGUUGUUUCUUCACCUGUUAAAAUUCAGAGGACUAGAAGGUCAAGUGCUCCUUAAACCUUCUUCGACUGUGUGCGAAGGAUUGGUGGAACCUAGUGACCAGUUCUUAUACUUCUAAGAUGAGGAAUGUUGUUACUUGGGAUCAUAUCUCAUAGAUGUUUGGCACUAGGUACGUUCCCUAGGUGGAGAGCAAGAGGCUGGCUCAUGCGUAUCUGGAUUUAAGACAGACGUCGGAGUCAGUGACAAAGAUCACCAAGAUGUUUAGUGAUAUGGGCUCUUUUCUGUCCUGAGUAUGAUGCUAUGGAGUAGGCUUAGAUGGAACUGUUGGGUUUUUGAGUAUUCUAACACUCCUAAGGUGUGCAUGCAACCCUAAAUACCUUGGAUCUAUGUUUUCUCUAUUAUCCAUGCAAUCUUGAACUUUCCAAGGUAUUACCCUAAACUAGCAUACAAAAGUUUAUACAUGGGUAAUAAAACAAGUUAGAAGACAUACCUUUUUUUGUAGUUGAAAGCCUUGGACCUUUAAGAACUUAGUGCCCCAAGUGUUGCACCUCAAAUGGAAUCACACAACACCACCAACAAUUGGAAUAACUUGAGAGAAGAUUAUAUUAUAGCAAAAUCAGCUAGCCCUCACUUGUGUAUCCACUAGUGUCAAUGUCAUGAACUAUGAGGCUUAUUAUAUAGUGUGCACAUUAGGGUUACACCAUGUAGCUCAUGACUUUCCAAAUUCCUCAUGAUCCAUGGGUUUUAACCUCCAUGGAGGAUCCAUGGGUUUAGCCCAAGACGAAGAACUAUGGAUCAUAAGCUCACUUUAUAAGAAUGAAUGAUUUACCAAUCAAUCCCCAUUUAUUUAAUUAGUCUCGUUUGAUCACAAAAUUAAUUCCAAACUAAUUCUUAAUCAAUACUAAUUAAAUAAUAUGAUUUCAUAUUAAUAUAUUAGAACUUAUAAUAUAUUAAUAAAUCAUAAAUAUCUUAUUCUCACAAAAGUCUAUCCAAAUUGAUCCGAUGUCAUGAAUCCCAAAUGGACCAUGCUACUCUCGGGUCAAAUACAUACCAAUAAUAGUUAUAGGCUUAGACACCUAAUCCAACAGUCUCCUACUUGGAUAAGUUUAGUAACUAUUAUUGCAAGCAUGACUCCAACCUGACUAGAAAUUGUAGCUCUUAAAAGCCGUUGUCGAACUCUGAGUCAAUGACGUGUCCAUUAGAUAAGGGAUCAUACAGUCCUCCAUUCUAGAUACCAUAUGGACUGAGACAUGGAUUAUAAUCAUUCUCUCUGUCCAUGUGUUGUUUCCCGAUUUCCGAUUUAUGACGACUGACUAAUUGAACAAAUCAAAUCAUUAUAGGCCUGAUGUCAUCACUAAAUCAUCGAGGGGCCCAUAGAUAUCGCUUUAUCCACAUGGGGUAAAAGGAACAGAUAAACUUCGACACAAAUGCUCGCUUGUGCUUACUCAUCAAAUUACACACAACGACUGGUUUAUAACAUCCAAGUUACUGGUGCCUUUACAUAUGUCAAUGUGCAACCGACUCGCAAUUACAACUCACACAUCUCCGUUUGAAGAAUAUAAGAUAUUAUCGUCUCAUGAUCACUCGUGAUAAAAUCCAUGAAGUGAUUCAAAUGAGCGUGGGUUGAAUCCAAUACUCGAAUCUUAUUCCAGGAGUACUCAUGAACACUGCAGCCACCUUGUCCUCGACAAACUACAGACCCAUUCAUGACAGUCUUGCCUCAAUACCUACUUCCAAAGUAUGAUCGACUGUGGAUGGUUUGAAUAAAAUAGUUAUUCGGGAAGUCAAAACAUGCAAAGCAAGACACAAGAAUAAUACUAACCCUAUAUGGCUCCAAAACUUUUGAGCCAUAUUGAUUACUCAUCAUUCAUUGUAUAAUGUUUGGAAUAAUCAACGUAAUACUUGAAUUAAAACAAUAGUUGUGCCAUGCUCCAAGCAUGCACACUAUGUUUGUCUAAACGAUAGUUAUGUCAUGCACCAAGCAUGCACACUAUGCUUGUCUAUGGUCCUUAAUUUGUAAAAGAGAUCAAAUGAAAAACAUUUCAAUGAUGCUCAUUUCAAAAUUCCAAAUCGUUAUUGCAAGUGUAAGAAUUCCAAAUUCUUGUCACUGCUAGAAAGUGUUAGAUUCUAAACUAUCAUGCAAUGAUUCUGUUGUAAUGUUUAGGUACCAAAAGUCACAAAGACUUGACCAAUGAUAUUACAAAAUAUUCUUUUGGAGAUUGUUACAAGACAAUUCCAUGGAAAUGAAGUCUCAUAUUCAAAAUACAUUCCUUUGAACAUCCUUCUUGCAUAAAAGUUUCUAACUUUCUCAUAUAUUCUUCAACUCCCAAUAUGUAAACAUUCCAUAUUUGCCAUACGACAACUCAUUAAAAAUAGAAUCUUGUCUAUUCAUAAUAGUGUCAAUAUGUUCCAUCCAUUAUUAUACUUCCAACUGCCCUUAAGCGACCAAUCCUUGGCAAACCUUAGAUUGUCCUUAACAGUUGCUCAACCACUUUAGUCAUAACCGGUUUUAGUCUUUUUUCCCUUUUAAUGCCUUAGGCAUUUGGAAAAUUUAGAACACGAGAAUAAUAUAGCAUAUGUAAUCGAUCCUAUACCCGAAGCAUAUGGGAUACGAUUCAUAAUGUCUAACAUAAAGACAUGAUACUUGAUCAGUCUUUUGCUAUAAUAUUUCUAUUUGCCAUGUUCUCAUAAUUUUGAUUAUGAAGAGGGAUGACGUAAUCAUAAUCAAAAUUUCGAGAACGCAAUUAACACAUCCAUAUAUAGAAUUUCCUUAUGUUGAACUAUUCUAACACACACACACACACACACACACAUAUAUAUAUAUAUAUAUAUAUAUAUGUCACACCCGAACCAGACGGCGGAAACGUCUGAGGGCUCAUGUGACUAAAUUUGAAUAUCAUCACAAUGAAUAUACAUGAAUCAUAACACAAACGUCACCAUGCAUCAAUAUAUUACAACUGUCAUUGUUCAAAUCAAGUACAUUGUUUUAACAUUACAAAUCCAUAACAUAAAAUGUUUGAUAGUUUUCAAAAGCACAACACCCUAACAUACUUGGUACCACUCCUCAGCUUACCUAUUACCUGAGAAUACAAGUUAUUUUGAAAACGGUCAACAUAUGGAAUGUUGGUGAGUUCAUAAGCAGGUUUGAUAUGAAAAAUGUUUUGUGUAGUUUGAAAGAAAACAACCCAGAAAAUCCGAUAUUUUCUGAAAAGACCAUUGUUUAUAUAAAAGUGUGAAGAUCCGUAAAUAUAUGCAUGAUGAUUUCAAAACAUGUAUAGUUGAAAAACUUUGUAUUAAAAGUACCAGUGAAAAAUGUUGAACUUCCCCAGAAAACCCGAUGUUUUUCGAAAAUAAAAAAAUAUCAUAUAACUGUUCGAAUUGUUAUCCCAUCCCGUGAAUGAUUUUGAUUUACCUUGAUUACUUGAUUAAUAUUAGAUUUAUUUAUGUGAGUCGUUAUAACCAUGCAUGAUAAUGACUAGUUCGUCUGUCUUGGCACUCUGGUGAACGCCGGAAUUGAUCUUAAGAUUUUGUCACCCUAGACUGGCCGAGUCUAACUAUAGCGAACAACUGAGGUCUGGGGGAGUCACCCCCGUAUAGAUCUAUACACAAACUCUCGCUCUCCCUCUAGGAGACUUUGAUUAUAACUACAGACUACGACCGACACACGUUGGUGGCACCCGUUAUUACUCACUAAAUCCCAAUUGACUUUGAUUACUAUUGAUUAUCGACUCGUAUAUGUUUACUUGGAUUGACGAUAGGCCUAAUAAACGAGGAGAAGAGGAUUACAAGAUCCUACUAUUCUCGCAUAUUAUUUAUGGCUAUUGGUUAUACGAAGGACACGCUGACCCAUUUCGCAUUUGAUUUACUUGGACCUUACUAGCAAUGCUAAUGGGCCACUAAGGCCCAAUAGCACUUAAAAUCCAUUGAGGGUCCCUUGACUAUGAAAUUGGGUCAUAGAAGGCCCAAUAACAUUUAUUAUUAUCCCGUGGACCCAAAAAUCAUGUUAAUGGGUCACAAAGGCCCAACAAGCAUGAUUGGAACUUUCAAGCCCAAAGAUUUGAAUGUUUACUUGUUUUAGGUGUAGUUUAAUUGUUGGAAAGUUUGAUUGGGUGAUUGUUAAUUUCAUACCGGAACAAGGCCGGUCGGUUAUUUUUAACGAUGUUUUGAAUGUUACGUAUUUUCAUCUUUCCAUUUUCAUGAAUGGUAGUUUGGUAUUUUUAUUUUAACUCAAAUAUCUUAAAAAUAAAAUAAUUGACUCAAAAAUCUUGGUUUGAACCCCUUUCAGCCCUUCUUUGGUAAAAUUGAAAAUUUUAGUCCUUUUAUAAAAAAAGACAUUUUAAGCCCUUAAACCAUUUUCUUAACACUUUUGACCCAAAGAUUUGUUCAAGUGAUAUUUUUAGCUCAAAACUUAUUCUUUGGCAGUUUCAGCCCUUCCAGAAAAGUAUUUUUCAGUUAAAGCCCAAACUUUUGCAACUUUUACAAUUUUGGCCCAAAAUCCAAAAAGUUUACAUUUUUUAUCCUUGUUUGGAAAAUACAUCAUUUUAACCCCUGAAAUAGUUUUGUUUACCCUUUUUACCCCCUGUUUUGAGAAGUUUAUCAUUUCACUCCCUUGAAAGUUGAAAUUUUCGUAAGUUAUGGCUUAAUGGGCCGAAAAGCCCAAAAUAUGUCCCAUUAAGCUACAAUUUACACUUCUAGCCCAUAAAAGAGUAUGAUAUCCAUAAAAACAUUUAUUUUUACUGAUUUGACUCUUUUAGUCCUUAAGAAAUCGUGAAUGACAAUCUUUCCCCAAACGUUUGCUUAUUUGACUAAAAUAACCCAAUAAUGAGUCUUAUUUUGUAACAUGUUUAUUUUAACCCUUAUAUGGUAGAUUUUUCUUAACUAGUUGUGUUUAAUACACCCUAGAUCACAUAUUUUUCCCUUAUGAACUAUAGAUCUCGAAAUAUCUUUCAUUUUUGGCACAUAUUUACCACAUAUACACAUGAAAUCACACAUAACACACACAUACACAUAGAUCUACACAUUUUACCUGCAUUCUUCCCCAUAAAACAUAUGAAAACCGAAAAUAGAGGGGUACGAACUCACCUUGCUUAGUUGUUCUCGGUUUGAAGAAGAAAUGGGAAGAGUUUGAUGCUAUUUUUCGGCCCUAGCAAGCUUUCUUGGGCUGAUUUCGAACUUAAGAGCUUCUAAGGAGUAGAUUAUGAGAAUUGUGUGUGUUAGGAAGAAUUUUUGAUGAAGUAAAGAGUCUAGGUUAUGGAUCUAAACAACAACUUACCAAUGAUGAUGAUUAUUGUGGAAUAACCUCCUUGAAAAGCCCUAGAUCUCGAAAUUUUGGUGGAGGAAAUGAAAGUGUUCUUGAGAGAACUUGGAAUAAGAGUUUGAAGUUGUGUGGGUGUGUUCUCCUUGCGUUCUCGGCCGAAGAAGAAAAAGAGAGGGGAGAAGAGAGAGAGAGAGUUGCAUGGAUACAUGAGUCUUGCAUGGUAGUAUGGGAUGUAAUUGCUUUAUUAUUUGUUGUGUAAUAUGGAGGUGUCACCUCCAAAGUCAACCUCCAUUUCCUUUUUUAUAUGUUGGUCGAGAAUGGGCUAAGGAGAGGAAUGUGUUGGGCCUUUUGGAGUUUAAGUCCAUAAUAUGGGCCCAAUUUGAUGUUUUUCGUCCCAUUGGACCUUUUAGAGAAAUUCACGGCCCAGUAUUCAUCAAGCAUGAGUUUUAUGGCCCAUUAGGGCUAAUUAGGUUAGUUAUGGCCCAAUAAGGUCCAUUAGGGUAUUUUAUUUCAUUCUAGGCCCAAUAUGGCCCAACAUGUUAAAAUAAAUGGAAGUGGUCCAAUUAGAGCCCAUUUAAGAGUUAUAAGCCCAAAAUAGUUAAAUUGGAAGCUUAUUGGCCCACUAGGCCCAAUAAGGAAAUCCUAGUCCAUAAUGGACUUAAACCGGGAUUUCUAGGGUUUCCAAUUAUUUGUUGACUAUUUGAAGUGCUUGCAUAGAGAGUUUAAUGGAAAAUUUGUUGUUAUUGAAUAAGCAUCAUACGUGCUUUCACAUUUUUGGUUCACAAAUGUUAUCAUUGUUGUUGUUACAUGGUAUAGAAUUCCUAGUUGUGACAUCAUCCCCCCGUUAGAGGGAAUUUUGUCCCGAAAUUCCUUCUAAAGGUAGAUUCAAGAAUGCGAGAAUAGGUGAGGGUACUUCUGCUUCAUUUGGUCUUCGCGUUCCCAUGUGAAUUCUGGCCCACGCUUCGCGUUCCAUCGUACCUUCACAAUCGGAAUGCGACUUUGCUUAGUACGCUUCACCUCCCUGUCCAUGAUUUCAACUGGUUCUUCGACGAACAAUAGAUUCUCGUUGAUUUCUAUUUCUUCAAGUGGAAUGACGAGGGUUUCGUCGGAUAAACACUUUUUCAAAUUGGAAACAUGGAACACAGGGUGUACACUGCUGAGCUCGGCAGGUAGAUGUAGUCUGUAAGCCACUGGACCGAUUCGGGAAAGGAUCUCGAAGGGUCCAAUGUAUCGUGGGUUCAACUUUCCCCAUUUCCCAAAACGAAUAACCCCUUUACAGGGAGAGACCUUUGACAACACUCGAUCCCCGACUUGAAACUCCAAGGGCUUUCGUCGUUUAUCAGCGUAGCUCUUCUGUCGGUCUCUUUAUGCUUGUAUUCGAGCUCUAAUUUGAACUAUUUUCUCCGUUGUUUCAUGUAUGAUCUCCGGUCCCGUUAACGCAUUACCUGAUAUCAGUCCUCUUGCUAGCUGGGUGUCACCUACCUCAGCCCAACACAACGGUGAUCUACAUUUACGUCCAUACAACACCUCGAAGGGAGCAACUUUGAUGCUCGAGUGAUAACUGUUGUUGUACGAGAAUUCGAUUAAGGGAAAGUGGGUAUCCUACGACUUUCCAAAGUCUAUCACACAUGCAUGAAGCAUGUCUUCAAUCAUCUGAAUGGUUCGUUCACUUUGACCAUCCGUUUGCGGAUGAUAAGCGGUGCUCAUGUCGAGAUGUGUUCACAGUGAUUUCUGAAGUGAUUGCCAAAAACGUGAAGUGAAUCUACUAUCUCUAUCUGAGAUGAUAGAUACUGGCACUCUGUGGAGUCUCACAAUUUCCUUGAUGUAUAUCAUCUUCAACCUCUCCAUCUUGUAGGAUUCUUUUAUUGGCAGGAAAUGAGCAGAUUUCGUCAAUCUGUCGAUUAUUACCCAUAUGGUUUUCCAAAAACAUCACAACUUACAAAUUUCAAAUGUACAAGAGUAGAAAAACUUUUACUCUACAUUUAAUAAUUGUUUUAAACCUUUCUUAGUAUUAUGUCACUCAAGGUUACAAUCUUGGAGUAUGACUCUAAGACUUGUUUUGGGUACGAAGUAUGACUCAUCUUCUUGAUUUAAACUAUUUCAACAAUUCACGAUUCCUCUUCUUAGCCAUACAAAUGCACUAAGAUGUCUUUAGAGGAUCAAUUGUGAUAUGGUUUUCCAUAAAUAUUAAGAUGAUUAUAAAACACAAUACUAAAGUACUCUCCCAUCUUUUCAGAUUGGAGAAACUUUUAUCUUUCUGCCUAAUUAGAUUCUUCUUAUUCGUUCUGCCAUACAUGGUGAUGAGAAUCCUUCCUUAUUUGGCAAAUACUUGACAAUACCACAAACAAAAGAAUCAAAUUCAUAUUGCUAACAUAGAAACAUACCACUACCAACACCGCCACUCUCAACACCAACUUUCUCCCCACCACCAAUGUCCUUGCCAUCACCCAUGCCACUACCAACACCUCCAACAACUGAAUCAUCAACUCCAAUAACAACAUCUUCUCCAACGACAUUCUCACCAGCAAUCUCAUUACCGUCACCUACCAUACCAUCAGGGGUGCAUUCAGAGUCGGAAAAAGCAUAAAGCUAUCGAACCCCUUGGAUGUUCAAAUCUCCUAAACCCAGAAGCAAAGCGUGAUCCAUGCUGGCAAACGACAGAAGAGCCUCAUUCACACUCACAACAGGACCAGAGGAAGAGGCGCUAGCAACAAGGUUUUCAUACCCAACGCUUUUCAGAGUGCUACGGACACACUCCACCCCAACAACGAAGGAAGAGUGACGAAUGAGACUCAUGACACCUGUAAAAUCUGGAUGUUCAAUCAGCUUGUCAACAAUUCGCACAAGACCCACCUGCAACAGCCAAUCCAAGUCACGUUCUGUAGCAUCAACACUCGCCUGCAGGGCAACCAUCAUCCAGUCACGAUCAGCAACAUCCCGCUCGAGACUCUUAACCUGGAUCACCAAACCUUCAUUAACCCGAGUAAGAGAGUCAACCUUCACCUCCAAGGCAGAUCUGACCUCCUCCACAGCAGCCUUCACAGUGACAAGAUGUAACACCUAUGUUUCUGGGCUUGUCAUUAAUGUUGAUAUAAUAGUCUAGGUUAACCUUUGUAACCCGUUUUGAAAUAAUAGAAGUGUAUUAUUUGAGUAUUAUGUGUUUUGUGCUUAACUGUGUGACUUAAAUAAAUUAAGGAUAAAAAUAAGCAUCAAAAAUAAAAUGUUAUAUAAUCCUGAUAUCUAUGAAGGAUGUGGUAGUGGUCGUGACUAGGUUUCCGAAUAUAUAAAGAAUGCCGAAAUCCGAGUUAUAACGAAGAAGUUAUGACCUGUCGAAGUUUCGCGACAGAACUGACACGACACGGAAUGACGUAAAAUACGAAUUUAAGAUAGAGCGAUAUCUAGCCUUAGUAAUCUAAACGUAGGAUACGUUAAAUCGAGAUCGUCCAUAAAAAGAACACCCAAAUCUGACUUCGUAUGAGGAAGUUAUUAUUUUUCCAAGAUCCGGAUAUAGCAGUAGACAGCUAAAAACUCGAAAUAGAGCUCGAGAGACUUUUGACCGAAACAACCUAAAUNAUUUUUAGCCGAAACAAUCUAAACGAGAAUCGAAGAUCUCGUUAAUAGUAGUGAAACGAUAAAAAGAUAGGCAAAAACGGACGUUAGAUGAAGAAGUUAUGAGUUUAUAACGGAGUUUUCCUGUCCCGGCCUACUAAAAAUAAUAUAAAACUAAUAUAUUUAUAAUAUAUUAAAAAUAAGGUCAAAAUUAGCUAACGGAGUCUAAACGAGAGUUGUGGAGCAUAUUCUCACUUACGCGUCAAUAUAAAGAACCUCAAAAACGGAGUUCGAAUGCGAAAGUUAUGAAUUUCUGAAGUUCGGGGCGCGAAACCCCAAAACUGUCAGCCACCACGACGUGACAGGAGCUCUGGAGUCUGUCAGACCCACUUGCAAUGAUGCAUGCAGUGACGACCCAGCCACCACGACGUGGCAAAGGCAAAUUUUUCCCUAUAAAUAGAUUUGAAGGGCCAGCUGAGUUUGGUUGCUCAAAUUCUCUCCCCUCACUCAUAUUACCUCGAUUUACGUGCAAAGAAGUACCCCCGAAGCCCCGGUAUCAUCCCGAGACCCGAAGCAAGUCUCGAAGCUCGAAGAUCCCACGAAGAAAAGAGUUUUCGAGCCGAAGCUCUGCACGUAAGAAGUCCGGUGAGUGAAGUGAACCCAGUUUCACCGAAGAAUACUACUCUUAGAGUCNNNNNNNNNNNNNNNNNNNGAUCAAGUGAGUGUGUAGUUACUUUCUUCUUACGCAUAACUAUGAAGUAUUUUAUACAAAACACGUGUUAUGUGUAUAUUUUGUUGUUAUAUGUGUGAAUGUAUAUUCAAUUUCUUCUAUCUCAUAGAUAUGAUUUAUUCUCUAUGAAAUACGUGUUGUGUGUAUGUGUCUCAUCUGUUGAUUGGAAUAUGUAUUGAAUGAGAAUGUUAUACAGGUUUUAAACUAUGUAUAAAAAUAUAUAUUUUUAUCUACUAAUAUGUUGGGUAGAACAUGGGUAGAUAGUUGAUGUGUGAUAAACAGAUGAGAGGCAUCGAUGUUGUUGUUGAUCUAGUUAUUCAGCGGAGUAUGGAUAACGACCACAGACUCUUUCUAGACAGCCAUGUGGAACGCUAGCAGGCUCAUAACCUGUAGGUGUUGUGAACGAUGUGUUCACCGGUGUACUCUAACCCCCUCAUGGUUGCUUUUAGGACAUCUACUGUUAAGGAAACCCCUUUGCAGUAAUGUCUGUCCCGAUGAAAAUCCUAGAUUAGGUCCCUUGAGAUAGAUGUUGUUUUAGGGACGUAAAGUGAGGAUAACGGGAAUGGGUAAUCGGGUUAUUGUUGGUUGGUGAAAUUAAAUAUAAUUAUUUAUUGCGGGUUGAAAACCUUAUUUGCUCACCAGGCUCCCAAGCCUGACCCACUCAGUUUUGUUGUAUUACAGGUAGUGGCGCGAGAGCAUAAGUUGGAUGACUUAUCAAGAUCUUUUGAUAUUACACCAGUUGUUAUAUGUAACUGUUGUAUGGUCUAUCUAUUGUUGUUUAUGCUUUUGGUCUGUUUAUCGGAACAUGACAUCCUGAAUAUUGUUAUAUAACGAAAAUGCAUCUCUUGAUGAAAUGCUUUGAUAAACUUUAUUUUAUCAUAUUUUGUUUUGGGAACAAAUUCCGCAUCUCUUUUAAAUCAAUGGAUUUACUCUGAAAUUAUUUUUAAAAGCAUAAAUUAAACUGGUAUUUUCUGGCCGUGAUUUUGGGGAUGUCACACAAGAAGCUGGUACCUCUGUUCUGAAUGUUGAAAGUCAUCACUAAACUCAUAAACGUGAUGCCCAAAUUCAGUAACGAGAGAAUCACACCCAACACGUGCAGCCUCCAUCUCACCAAGCAACUGGAUGCGCCACGCACCUGCAACAAUAUAAAACAUUACCUGCGCAGCAACAUAUGACAUAUUGUGAAAAAGGGUAGGGCUGCCCAUGACCUCUAUGUCCGCAAUGGCAGCCUGAGGAAAAGCAUGUCGGGCAAACUCCACAACAUUAGCACGCGCGUAGAGAUGGGACUUGUUAUGAAGGCUCUAGGUAGGAACAAAUGGGGAAGGCCCAGAAGAACCUUCGCCAGCACCUCUACCUGGAGAAACGGGAGCUUGUCCUGGGUCACUAGGACCCUUUGAAGGCGAGGAGUUAAUAGGAGUAGAAGAAACAACUUGAACAAGAGCAACAGGCUGGUUAGACAUCGCACCGACCCCUUCGGAUUAUUGAAUGUCGUCACCAGGGAUCACAACAACAGCCGCCGGCACUGAAGAAAUAAAGUUCAGAAGGCGGGAGAAACUAUGCCUGGUCUGGACCCGUUUGGCGACAUUAGGCACACUGGUAACUGCCUCCCCAUAGCCAAAAUAGCCUUCCUUUUAGCCUGCAUACGCUGAGCAUCAGAGAUGAUGCCAUCCUUGCUGUCCUCAACAGAGGAACGAUGAGCACCACCCAGCGGAAUGACGGUCGAAAUAGGACGAGCGGUCAAAGGGUUCACCUCAGCAGACGACGAACUCUCCCCAAAAACCGGAGGAACGGGCAUGGCAGAGGUUAAAGCAAGUUGAUCUAGCCGACGUGGAGGAAGACGUUCGACUAAGUCCACCUCCCGACACUCCAACUUCCCCCGAUAGCGCUUCCACAGGACCUCAUCCAUGGAUAAGGGUGAUUCGACACCUGAAUUUUAGAAUAUAAAAAGAUACAUCAGAACACAAAGAGCCCAAAAGACUAGAACCCAACCCCAACGAACACACCCAGGCAAAUGAAGAAGAAGCAAAACGCAAGCACCUACCAUCAAUGAUGCAGAAGAAAACCGCCAUCAUGCCACGGCGCCUCCAAGAAGGACUCAUCCCCACACCAGAUAGCAUAGCUUCAAAAUAAUCCUCGGGAGACAUCUGGACGCUCUUCGGGAAAUCAGCAACACCUUGAUUAUGGGGAAACAACUUGGGAAUAGUGUCAGCAAAGGUGUUAGCACGGUAACGACCGUUGCCGGCUAAACCCUGGUUCACCCACAACCAUUUUUCCUUCCAAUUUUGGGGCGUUCGCCCAUCAGGAACUAGGGUGUGCCCUCCCCGCCGAACAGAAAACGUGCACUUAUCGCCGGUACAGCAAAACCUGAAGAAAUACUUGAACACAAAAUAGUCGGGGAGAUAACCGUUGGCACGGCAGAUCAUUUCGAACGCUACCACCUUAUUCAAAGCGUUCAGAGUCAGCAUUUGAACACUACAACCGUCCUUUUAAAGGAUCUCCUCCAGGAAGUCGGUCAAUGGGAGACAAAGACUGGUGUCUAGGGUUUUCUGGUAAACCCCAACUUUUCCACGAAGAGGGGACGUAAUAGAAGAAGUAGGCGACGAAAACUCCACGUCGUCCAAAGAAGUAAGACCAUAAGUACGCUCAAGCAGUUGAUACUCAGUUGCAGAAAGAAGAAUUCCUAGGGGACUUGCCAUAAAAGAAAAGAGGGGAAGACAGACUUGGGGAAGAAGAACAACAAAGGAAAGGAUGUGUAAAUGAGAAAGCGUAACAAAUGCCCUUAUAAGAGAACAAAAAGGGCGGGAUAUUCAAAAUGUUCGACAAUGAUGAAACCGAUGGCCAUCAUGAGCGGUCACGUCGCCAUUAAAAUUGAAACGACGGGCAAAUAGGGAAUUGGCACGUGUAGAGCGGUUAAGUCCAGAACGUCGUAACUAGCAUCGCAACGUUACGACUACCGGACUGGGGGACUCAAUGACGUUCCUAAGCCGACAUGGAAAAGUCGCGCCUGUCCAAGGAACCCGGCGCACCAAUAGAACCAGGCUCAGCGGGCUCAGCACCCGCCAACGCCCCUAAAGAGUAGGGCACUCAGGUGAAAGACUCGCGCAUGCCAACACCCCUAUAGAGCAGGGCACUCAGGCGAAAGCUCGCACCUGCCACGGACGCUCCCAAUGCCAAGACAAAAGAUACGGUCAGGUGACAAGGCAUGGGAUCACACCACUACCGCCGGAGCCAAUGAUAGCGCUCUGACAGAUGGAGGCGCAUGAUUCUCCAAUCAGCACCUCUGACCUUGUCUCCUCAAAAGCGAUCACAUCCCAUACGGACAGACAGGGCCGCUAAGUAUAAAAGGGCAUGCUCAAGAGCUCAAAGGGUAAUCUAUCAUCUUCCAGUAACAUUCACACAUACCUUAAACCUUAUCUAACCUGAUCGUCGAAGCGUCCUUCCUAGAGCCUCCUCCCGGGAAACGGCUGACGAAUUUUCUUUCUUGUGAUAUUACAGAAGUCAUUCGAUACCCAUACCCAUUAGAAGAAUCGAGAAAGGAUCAAUUGCAAGGUCGCAUCAUUUGGCGUCAUCCGUUCGUGUGACGAAGAACGAAACUAAAACCACCAUUUAGCGAAAUCAAUGGCGUCUGACAGCAAAAACAGAACUGGAGGAGCUAAGACCAGUACCAUACAGUCCAUGGAACCGUUGGACGAAACACUGCCACCUAUGAUGGACAACAGAGAAGCUACAGGCAAAGGAAGCUCUACAAUAACUACGGUACCACCGGGGAGUCAACAACCACUUCCGGCGCCACCCACAUCGUUAGAAACAAGCGGUGGUACUGCCAUGACCUUCAUCCCAACAGCAAAGGCCAACUCAGGUGACGGUACCGCUACUUACACCCCUUCAACCGCCACUAACACUCUAGCCAAUGGCGACACAAUCCCCAGUACCAUAAAUUGCCGCCAUUCUUCACAUCAAUAAUGCAACACCAAUUGUCAAUCCCUCUAAUAACACUGCCGGUAAACCAAAUACCAAAUGCUCAACCAUCACCCCAUAUAUCGUUGCCGAACCAGUCAACGAUGAAUACACAUCUGUUGCCACCACUUGCCCAAGCCAUGAUAACUACAUCAUCGCUUUUCUACCCUGCAACAGGCACAUGAGGCGAACCUGUCAUUACCACCAACACCAGCCGACAACAAAAUCCAACAAGCCAUCCUCCAACACAACCUCAACCCAUCCCUACUGGAUACUCACUUCAACUGCCAUUCCAGCAGCAAGCCUUCUAUGGCCCAAACCCAGUCUGUAAUGCAUUCUACGGCCAUCCAGGUGUGCAGCGACACAGCACAUCCCACCAAUAUAACAUGCAGGGACCGCUAAUGUAAUGCCUGUGUUUAUGGGCUUGUCAUUAAUGUUGAUAUAAUAGUCUAAGUUAACCUUUGUAACCCGUUUUGAAAUAAUAGAAGUGUAUUAUUUGAGUAUUAUGUGUUUUGUGCUUAAUUGCUUAAUUAUGUGAUUUGAUUAAUUAAGAAUAAAAAUAAGCGUCAAAAUUUAAGUGUAAAAUAAACUCGAUAUCUUUACAUAAAGUAGUAGUGGCCGGAACGAGGUUUCCGAAUAUAUAUAGAAUGCCAAAAUCUGACUUCGUAUGAGGAAGUUAUGAUUUUCUAAAGUUUCGACUUUGCAGUAUGCAGCCCGAAUACUCGAUUUGAGAUCGAACGGUUUUUAGCUGAAACAAUCUAAACGAGAAUCGAAGAUCUCGUUAGUGGUAGAGAAGCGAUAAAAAGAUAGGUGAGAACGGACAUCGGAUAAAGAAGUUAUGAAUUUAUAACGAAGUUUUCCUAUCCCGGCCUACUAAAAAUAAAUAAUAAAAAUAAAGUCAAAAUUAGCCGACGGAGUCUAAACGAAAGUUGUAGAGCAUAGUCUCACCUACGCGUGGAUAUAAAGAACGUCGAAAAUGGAGUUCGUAUGAAGAAGAUAUGAAUUUUUGAAAUUUAUUAAAUAAUUAAAAUAUAUAAAUUUAAUCUUUAAUUCGGCUGUAUAUCCGAAGGAGUCACCGAUCUGAUCCGAAGUACGCCCAGCGUACCCCGAUGCAUGCACCGCCUCAGACUCGAGUCCUCUGAUGACGCAUGCAAUGACGAAACGAGGCGUACGCCCCGCGUAAAGCUGUACGCCCAGCGUACAGCGAGGCCUCAGCCUCCUAUAAAAAGGUUGCGAGGGCAGCCGACUCCAUUUGCCAAAUUCUCUUCUCUUUCUCCCGUUUUGCAUCGUUUUGCGUGCCAGAAGUAUCCUGAAGCCCCGGUAUCAAUCCCGAGCCCCGAAGCAAGUUUCGAAACCCCGAAGAUCCCGAGAAGUGGAAUUCCCGAGUCGAAGCUCUGCCCGCGAGAAGUCUGAUUUUUGUGAACAUCUUCUAGAUCUACUGAAGAAUACUACUUCUGCAAGUCGUAGUGAUGUCCGAUCAUUUUCUGAUCAAGUGAGUGUGUAGUUACUUUCUUCUAACGCAUAAUUAUGAAGUAUUUUAUACGAAAUACGUGUUAUGCGUAUAAUUUUGUUGUUAUGUGUGUGAAUGUAUAUUCACUCUCUUCUAUCUCAUAGAUCUGAUUUAUAUUCUAUGAAAUACGUGUUAUGUGGGUGUGCCUCAUCUGUUAUGUGGAAUAUGUAUUGAAUGAAAAUGCUAUACAGGUUUUAAACUAUGUAUAAAAAUAUAUAUUUUUAUCUACUAAUAUGUUGGGUAGAACAUGGGUAGAUAGUUGGUGUGUAAUAAACAGAUGAGAGGCCUCGAUGUUGUUGUUGUUGAUCAAGUUAUUCAGCGGAGUAUGGAUAACGACCACGGACUCUUUCUAGACAGUCCAGUGGAACGCUAGCAGGUUCAUAACCUGUAGGUGUUGUGAACGAUGUGUUCACCGGUGUACUCUAUCCCCCUCAUGGUUGCCUUUAGGAUAUCUAUUGUUGAGGAAACCCCUUAGCAGUAAUGUCCGUCCCGAUGAAAAUCGUAGAUUAGGUCCCUUGAGAUAGAUGUUGUUUUAGGGACAUAAAGUGAGGAUAACGGGAAUGGGUAAUCGGGAUUUUGUUGGUUGGUGAAAUUAAAUAUAAUUAUUUAUUGUGGGUUGAAAACCCUAUAUGCUCACCAGACUCCCAAGCCUGACCCACUCAGUUUUAUUUGUAUUACAGGAAGUGGCGCAAGGGCAUGAGAUGGAUGAAUCAUCGAGUUGUUUUGUUUACAAGUCUAUAUAUGUAUAUAUUUGUUGAAUGACUUGUAAUGUUAUCGUUUAUGCUUUAUGGUCUGUAUCGAAACAUGACAUCCCGAGUUUUGAUUAUAUAAUGAAAAUGCAUCUCUUGAUGAAAUGCUUUGAUAAAUAUUAUUUUUAUCAUAUUUUGUUUUAGGAACAAAUUCCGCAACUCUUUUAAAUCAAAAGGAUUUAAUCUGAAAUUAUUUUAAAAAGCAUAAAUGAAACCCGUAUUUUCUGGCCGAGAUUUUGGGGAUGUCACAGCUAACCAUCCCAAACCAAGACUGUCUAUCAAGGAGCGUCACGUCUCCGUUCGCAAAGGAACUUUUAGACUACGAAAUCCCAAACACAGCCAAAAUCCCCAGCCUUAAAACUUGCAACAACACCACCGACCUAGACAGCCACAUCGAUACGUACGAAUGGAAAAUGACGUCGCUCAAAUUAGACGAGCGGUUCUGGUGCACGUACUUCCCAACAACCCUUAAUGGAAGCGCGGACACAUGGUUCAAAACACUUCGUCCAGGAAGCAUCUACAACUUCGGCCAACUUAAGUACAUGUUCCUCACAAACUUCAUGCAACUGAGAAAAUAUAAAGGCAACUCCCACUCAAUCAUUGCAUGCAAGUAUAAAGAGGGUGAAAGCAUAAGGGAGUACUUCACGAGGUCCACAAACGCCACGCUAGAUGUCCCAAGACAUGAUGAAGGCCUCAUAGCCGGAGCCUUCACGUGGGGACUCCCACCCGACCCUUUGUCGCAAAAGCUCAUGGGCAAAAAACCGCAGACGAGGGCCGAACUAAAGGAAAAGGUGGAACGAUACUUGAGACAGGAGGAGAGUGAAGCAACGAAACAAGCGUAUCUGAAUGCCAUGAUGACCAAGCGUCAUAGGCGUUAGGUGGAAGCAAACACUUUGGGCGAGGAUGAAGACUGCAAGGUCGCUUUAGACCAUUUGAUAGGGAUGACAGGCGGGGCCGCCGACCAGAUGUCUAUGUGGUCACAGACAAGCCGCAGCCGACGAAGACACCAAAAGGGCGGUUCUGUGAGUAUCAUAAGAGCAAAACACAUGAUACCACAAAUUGCUCAGUCCUUAAGAAAGAAAUGGAGGAGACACAACUUAAAGGAGAUCUUCAAGUUCAUAACCAAUGAUUUUAAUGAUCACUUUAAAUGAAAAACUUUUCAUUUUCCAUAACAUCCAUAACUUGAGGACAAGUUAUGGAAUUUAUCAAAAUCCAUUUAGAUCAAAUAUUAUAACUUACAAAAAUAAUCAAUUUGUCUAUGAACUAAAUUAAACUCAUAAGAAUAAGACAAUUCAAAUCAAAAAAAUUUCAUGUAAUUAAUCUAACCAUAUAAACUAAUACAAAACAUGAAACUUUGAAUUUUAUCUUUUAAUUAGACAAGCAUGAAUACUACCCUAUUGAAAAACAUGUUUCUAGGUUCAAAAAACAAUUUAGGGUAAUGAUCCUAAUCCAAUUGCAAGCCAAAACACGAAAUUUUGCUCACAUGUGCAUCACCACGUCGUGGUAAAAGCUACCACGACAUGGUGAGCGGUCAGAUGCGAAAAUAGCACAUUUUCAACUUUGGAAAAACAAUAAGCAUCAAGUAUACGAGAAAGCAAGCCUUGGCUCUGAUAUCACUGUUGGGAUUUGAGCAUUCUAACACUCCUAAGGUGUGCAUGCAACCCUAAAUACCUUGGAUCUAUGUAUUCUCUAUUAUACAUGCAAUCUUGAACUUUCCAAGGUAUUACCCUAAACUAGCAUACACAAGUUUAUACAUGGGUAAUAAAACAAGUUAUAAGACAUACCUUUUGUUGUAGUUGGAAGCCUUGGGCCUUUAAGAACGUAGUGCCCCAAGUGUUGCACCUCAAAUGGAAUCACACAACACCACCAACAAUUGGAAUAACUUAAGAGAAGAUUAUAUUAUAGCAAAAUCGGCUAGCCCUCACUUAUGUAUCCACUAGUGCCAAUUUCAUGAACUAUGAGGCUUAUUAUAUAGUGUGCAUAUUAGGGUUACACCAUGUAACUCAUGACAUUCCAAAUUCCUCAUGAUCCAUGGGUUUUAACCUCCAUGGAGUAUCCAUGGGUCACCACAUGGGUUUAGCCCAAGAUGAAGAACUAUGGAUCAUAAGCCCACUUUAUAUGAAUGAAUGAUUUACCAAAUCAAUCUCCAUUUAUUUAAUUAGUCUCGUUUGAUCACAAAAUUAAUUCCAAAGUAAUUCUUAAUCAAUACUAAUUAAAUAAUAUGAUUUCAUAUUAAUAUAUUAGAACUUAUAAUAUAUUAAUAAAUCAUAAAUAUCCACUUAUCACAAAAGUCUAUCCAAAUUGUUCCGAUGCCAUGCAACCCAAAUGGACCAUGCUACUCUCGGGUCAAGUACAUACCAAUAAUAUUUAUGGGCUUAAACACUUAAUCCAACAGGAACGAUACAUGAGCAUGCUCAAGACUGAUAUUCGGCAGUUUGUGUCUACCCAGCAUUACGACAUCCUCUCUGAGCUUUAGGAUGUCGCACAAAGAAGGGAGAUUGAGAUUGAGACUCAGACAAGAGAGCAAAGGCAGGCUCUCGUUCAGUCAUAACCUACAAUGAAGUGGUACAAGCCCACCGAUUCACGAUCUGGGGGACCGAGGGGUCGUAAUUGUGGCAAGUGUGGCAAGGUUCAUGAGGGUGUUUGUCGAUCUUCCUUUGGGAUACUCUUAGGUCUCAGAUCGUUAGUCUUAUUGGCAUUGUUGGAUGUCAGUGCGUUGUUUUUGGGAGUCGGUAGACCCGGUGACCAACUGGUUUGGAUCAUGUGGUCAGAAAAAGUUAUUUAGGUUGACAUAUUCUUUGUGCACCGGAAUUCGCUUAAUGAAUAUUUGAUAUUGUGGACCCCGUCUUCUUGGACCCCGUCUUCUUGUGGGUUGUAUAUUAGGAGCUUGGUUUCCAAUGUGAGGUGUUGGUUCUGAAAUCUCGAGUCACGGAGUUCGUUGUAUAUGUAUUGAGUGAUUUUUCAGGUAGAUGUACACCUAAUCUAAUGAGGGAUUUUGAUGCAAUGUGCAAAUUCUUGGAUUGACCAUCCUUAUGCACUUUUUUUUACCAUGGAUUUCAUCACCAAGUUACCUUGGAUGGCCAAAGGAUUUGAUGAAAUUUGGGUUAUAGUGGAUCGGGGGUAAGCCCGAGUGUUGUGGUUGGUUAGUGGACCGAGGGUGAGUCCAAGUGUUGUCAGUGGAUAGUUAGGAUGGGUUGUCAAAGCCGAGUAGGAGUGUGGUCUAAUUUAGUAUGUGAUUAGUUAGUUUUCGUUGCGAUGGUGCACUUAUGUGUAGAUUAGCAUGACAACAUUUGGCCGAAAAGGUUUUAUGCCGACCAAAUCUAUGGGUUUUCGAACAGCUUCGUUGUUGUGAGGGAUUGCAUCAUGAAGUGGGAGCGAGUGCUGAUUUCGAGGACGAAAUCUAAUUUAAGUGGAGGAGAAUUGUGACAUCCGAUUUCCUAUCAUUUCUUAUAUUAGGGUCGUGAUUCGUAAGUUGAUUAUGUAAAGGCUUUUGACCUUAAGGAGGUAAAGUUUAUUCCUUGUAGAAGGAGGUAAUGAUUGUUAAGAGAUUUAACCCUUGAAUUGCAUAUUAGGCCGAAGGGUAGAAAGGGAAAAUUCAUAGGUCGGGUUCUUGCAUAAAAUAUGGAUUUUUAUUCGAGAAGUUUUUAGUCCAAGAUAUCUAGAUAAUAUUGUAGGGCUCUUCAAUACCUUUCAAUGUAUAUAAAGAUCGUCAAAAUGGAAUAGGAACAAAGAAGUUAUGCCUGUUAGAAGAUAGGAGGGUUUUGGGUUUAGCAUAGUCUGUUGGGUGUACGGGGUGUACGUUAGGCGUACUAGGCAAUAAGGAUCAUGGAGAGUCAACCUGGUACGUUGGGCAUACCAGGAGUAUGUUGGACAUACGUGACCAAAACCCAAACCCUAAUUUCAGGGUUUUGAGCCCUAUUUAAGCUCCUUAACUUCUCAAACCCUUUCCAUUCUCAACCUCUACCUCUCCAACGCCCUCCCUUGAAACCUAAACCCUAGAUUGAGCCUUGUGAGCAAAAGAAGGUGUUUUGAAGUGCUUUAGAGUGUUCUUGGUGCAUCUUAGAGAAGAAGGAGCUCAUUGGAGAAGUGUUGGUUGCAUUGGAGCUUGUAGAUCCGUACCUUUUUCACCUUGAUCUUUCUUCUAGAGGUAUAAAGCUUGAAUCAUGAUGAUGCAUUUGUUAAAUCUAGCUAGUUUUGGAUGUUAUGAUUUUUUGGUCACUUUAGUGCAUUAAGUGUAGAUCUUGAAGGUUUGUGACCUUGUUAUGGAUAAAGUUGGAAACUUUAUCCAUCUAAAUAUCAUUUUGAUUCAGAUCUAAAGGUUGGAAACUUAGACUUAAUGGAUUAAGUAAGAAAGAUGCACUUUUGGUCCCUUUGAAACUCAAAGACUAGAUCUUGAGUGUUUGGACCAUCCUAAUGGAUAAAGCUGGAAACUUUAUCCAUUAUGGAGUUAUUAGGAACCAUAAAAAUGCAAUUUUGGUCAUUAGUUUACUUCCAUGCAUGGAAUGUGAUGUCAUAAUGAGUUAAGAAGUUAGGGUUUUUGGGUAUUGAGCGCUUAAUAGCUACGCAAGAUCAUAAAGUUUGGAAACUUUAUGAUUUAGUAUGUUAUUUGAGGACUAGAUCUAGAUUUUGGACGAAAGGGCUUAAGGGAUUAAGUCCUUAAUAGAAAAAAUGUGGCAGGUGCAUACACUAUGGUACGCGCGCGCAUACCAGGUCAACAACUCGUUUUUUUAUCAAUGCUCUAGUAUGUUAUGUGUACCAACUGAAUACGCUGGGUGUACUCAACUGUGUUGACUCGGUUGACUUCUUUAACUUUUGACUUUGACCAGGAUUUUGACUAAACUUGAUCUAAGGGUAUUUUGGGUAUUUUGAGUGGUAUUUGAAACUAGUUGGUAUUUGGUGUUCAAGUGACAUGUAGAGCUGAUAUUCGGAGCAAUGUCUUGUUCAACUAUCUUCUCAAACUGAGAGGUGAGUCUUCCUCAUUGUACUUGUGGGUCGUAGGCACCAAGGCCGACCCACUGGAUUUUGUAUCGUGUUAUAUUGAGUAUGUGUUGGAUUGGUAGACCUGUAUGAUUACCUGUGCUCACUGAGUAUGCGUUAGAUCGGUAGGUCAGUAUGAUUACCUAUACUUGUUGGUUAUUGAUUGUUAUGGUAUAUGUCAACAUGUUACAGUUUGUUGGGGUGAGACGGACCUGCUUUGUGCUGAAGACCAAGAUACCAUGGCGGUCCGGAUAGAUUGUAGGCCUGCGAGGCAGUCCAGUUAGGCCAAAGGCCUGAAGAGCGAUCCAGAUAGGUUGUAGGCCAUAUGUGGCGAUCCAAAUAGGUUCUAGGCCCGGCGCGAUGGUCUAGUCAGGCUGAAGGCUCAUAUAUGCAUGUUGUUAUUUAUUUGAUUGUGUGUGGUACUUUGGGGGAACUCACUAAGCUUUGACUUACGGUUUCAGUUUUAUGUUUCAGGUACUUCAGAUGAUCGGGGAAAAGCAAAGGCGUGAUCAUGCACUUCCUUCACGCUUUAUGAUUUUGGAUUUUGGGGAUACUCUGGUUUUUAUUAUUACUCUUGAAAACAGUGUUUUGUAAACAAUUAUGGUAUCUGGAUUAAUUUUAAAAAAUUAAAAAUUUUACUCUAAUUUUUGGUAUGCUACACUUCGAUUAUGAAAAUGAAAAAUUACAAAGUUUGUUAAUUACCAGCUUAACUGGGGGAGUAAAUUGAAUUCUUUAGAGCUAAUACUCAUAAUCAAUUAUGCCUUGUAACUUUAAUUUUGAAAAAUGAUUAAAACGAGUAAUCAGGGGAGUAAAUUGAAUUCUUUAGAGCUAAUACUUUGAAUCAAUUAUGCCUUGUAGCUUAAUUUUGAAAAAUGAGUAAAACCAGAUAAAAUCCCACAGGAUUUUAAAUCCCUGUUUUAUUAGUUAAUUGCAUGAAACAUAUUUUUUUUUUUGGGAUAAAGCCUAUUUUUUAUAAUCUAAACUUAACACCAACCUCAAUUCUUAUAAGAUAAAAUUUGACUUUUUUUGUUAAAGAAUUGAGGUUGACGUUAAGUUUAGAUUAUAAAAAAUAGGUUUUAUCCGAAAAAAUUGUCAAAAAUAUUAUGUGUUUCAUACAAUUAACUAAUAAAACGGGGAUUUAAAAUCCUGUGGGAUUUUAGGUAAAGAAAAAUAUUUUAUUUGAAAAAUAUUAAGAAAUAAUAUAUCUUUUUAUGUAAUUAACCUCACUUUUGUUUGAUAGAAAAUAAGAGAAAUAGAGCAAUUAGGAGAUGAUUAUUAUUUAGAGUCGAGUAAAAUCAUGAAGAUAAUUUGAAUUUUAGUAUUUGGAUGAGGUGCAAGGCUUUUUAUGGAACUCUCAAGGUAAUAACUCUUCCCAUAGUGAUUUAUAGACGAAAUCAAAAUAAAAUGAAAAAUAGUGAUUUAUAGACGAAAUCAAAAUAAAAUAAAAAUAGUGUGGCUGCUGGGAUUCGAGCCCAGGUCUCCACGGCCACAACGUGGAAUUCUUACCACUAAACUACAGCCACAUGUUUGCUUAAUUCCAAGUUUUAUUUUACUUUUAUUAAUAUUUUUAGUAUAUCUUAUUUUUUCCUAUGCUUCAAAAAUUGUGCGUUUCUUUUUCUUUUGUCAAUCACGGGUUUAGUUGGGUGAGGACAUUAGUCGGAGAUGCAAAGAUUAUGCUUGCAACUGCUUCUUUCGCUUCCAAUGGACAUUCCCUGUUUUUUUUUAAUCAUUAUUUUGUAUAUAAUACGCAUUUUUGUGAUAAUUGCAAAGGUUAUAGACUCUAUAGCCAUAGAGGGAUGGAUUCUACUCUCAAGUUAAUCAAGAAAGUAAGAGGGUGUUUGGGUUAGCUUUUUAAAUGACUUUUGACUUUAUCUUUUAGAAAAAGUUCCAAAAGAUGUUUGGCAAAGGGAAAAAGACUUUUGUAAAUGACUUUUCCCAUAGAGUAAUUUCAAUCUUUUUGAAAAGUCACGAUUACCUGAUUUUUCCCAACUUUUCACCAGCUAAAAAUAUUAAAUUACCAAUAUAUCCCUCAUCUACCCUAAACAUGUUCUUUUUGUCAUUUUACAUGUAAAAAUUAAACCAAACACUUUAAUUUUUGACUUUUUCCCUUCAAAAUUUAAUCCAAACACAUUUAAAAAAAUAACUUUUGUAAAAAGUUCUUUUACAAAAAGGACUUUUGCUCCACAAAAUUUAAGCCAAACACCCCCUAAAUAUUUGUUUACUAUUUAUCCCCGAAAUUUUAAACAAAAAGGUAAAAUUAUCAUUUAUUCAGAGAGUUGUUUGUUUUGUUUUGUUUUUUUUUUUCUUAUUAAAGUCUUUGUAAAGGUAAAGUUCAUUUAUUUUUCAAAAUGAUGAUUUUAUCCUAAUUAUAAAUAAUACAAAUGCAAGUGUUCGUAAGUGCAAUGAUUAUGGUUAACAAACUGGAAAAGUGGAAAACUUUCACAUAUUAUUCAUUUCAUAAUUAUGUUUAUACGAGCAAUUCAAUUCACAAUUAAACAAUUUUCACAUUCGAAAAACAAUUAGUCUUCUUCCAAGUUACCUAAUUUUAGUUGAAAUGAAUGUAUGUAAUUCCAAAUAGAGGUGUUGAUUGGGUAAUUUUUUCAGAUUUCGUGUAAUUCGGGUCGGGUAAUUCGUUUUUCAUGUUAAAAAAAUGUUUGUUACCCGACCCAAAUUAAAUUCGGAUAAUUCGGGUUUGGGUAAUUUGGGUAGUGGGUUGGGUUUGGGUAAUUCGGGUAUCACCCGAAAUAUAUAAUUUUAUUAAUCUUGUUUAUAUAAACAAACGAGACAUAAACGAAGUUACUCAAACUUUGACAUUGAGAUUUUUUAGUCAAUAAUACUUGAGAUAUCAAGUAAUAUUUUAACAGCUUAAUCUAAUCUAAUAAGAUGUUAAAAAACAAAUACUUAAAGAUCUUAGUUUAAAAGUUUAAAAUGUUUAGGAUAAUUAUAGUCAUAAGUUUUGCCAUGUUUUGAAGUUUCGUCAAGAUAAUGAGUUUGUUAAUUGCAAUAAAAACUAUAAUCUAGAAAAUAGUUAAGUUUUAAAAAACAUAGUGAUAUACAAACAAUUGAUUUUAAUAUUGUUAGUGUCAUACUAUCAUAAUAAAAGAGAUUCAUGUUUUACAAUAAUGAUAGUUAGUUUAAGCGUGAUCAAAUACCAGCUACUAGGGAUGAGCAUAUGGACAGGGGAACCGACCGGAACCGGAACCGGAACCGGCACCGGAACCGGAACCCGAUGGAACUGGUCGGGCCGGGACCGGUACGUUAUUUUUGUGGAUUUUUGGAACCGGGAACCGGUGGGAACCGGAACCGGUAGAACCGGCAAAAACCGGAACCGUAUGAUGCUAUUUUUCAAGGAGCGGUUCCAACAUUUGAAGACAUGACAAGAACCGGUAGGAACCGGGAACCGGUAGAACCGUCGGGCAGGUUCGGUUCUUGAUUUUGGCCGAAGCCGGUUCCCCGGUCCGGUCCGGUUCGGGCCGGUUCGCUCCUUUUGCUCAUCCCUACCAGCUACAGAGUACAAGCUCUACGAAAAAAAAAAGAAUUUUUAAAAUAAUUUGGGUAAUUUGGGUAUACCCAAAACCCAACAAACUUACCCUAUACCCGAUCUAAAAAGAAAAUCGGGUUACCCGAAUUUUUUUACCCGAUACCCAAUUUACCCAUACCCACAAAAAUCGGACGAGUAAUUCGGAUAAUGGGUAUUUUCGACAGGGCUAAUUCCAAGUUAUCUAAUUAUAGUUGAAUUGCAUGAAUGUAAUUUAAAUUAUGAAUUAUAAUCAAUAAUGUUACUCUAUGAAUCUCUUUGAUUGUGUUCUUACUUAAAGAGAGGUGAGAUUUCUACUUAUUAAUUUGAUGCUUCCACUUGAAUUAAAAUUGCUUUUACAUUUUUACCCAUAUUUAAAACUUACAAAAAUAAAAUGAGAUAUAAAUGAGGGUUUAUAUGUUUUCCUCUUAUCCAUAACAAAUUUAAACGUUUUCUUACAAAAAUUAGUUUGUUUUCUUAAUUUCCUUUUCUUUCCCCUCCCCCAACCUCUCUUAUUUAUCACUUACAAAAAUUAAUUAAUUUUUUUUUCUCUCCUUGUUUAUUCCUUAUAAAAAAUAGUUUGUUUUCUUAUUUAUUUAUCAAACUGUAACGACCCAAAAAUUUCUUUAAAAACAUUACUAAAAUCAUAUUUAUAAAAACUGUAUCAUAAGUCAUAACAUAAUUUCUCGAGUAUUGGUUCAAAACAUAAUAUCAUUAUCAGAGUCAAACAUUCCCAGGCUAACUGUCUAUGGUGUGUGCACUGCAAUCUUCCCGAGCUCCUCCUUUGAAAAACCGAGUACUUGAGACCAAAACUGAAAACCGUAAGCACGAAGCUUAGUGAGCCCCCCCAAACUACCACAUACCAUGCAAUAACAUAUAAAGCACAUAUUGGGCCUUGCCCACUGCAUCAGACCGAGGUCCGGACUAACUGGGGCCUUGCCCCCUGCAUCAGACCGAAGUCCGGAAACUGACUGGGACCUUGUCCCCUGCAUCAGACCGAAGUCCGGGCUAACUGGGGCCUUGCCCCCUGCAUCGGACCGAAGUCCGGACUAACUGGAACCUUGUCCCCUGCAUCGGACCGAAGUCCGGGCUAACUGGGGCCUUGCCCCCUGCAUCGGACCGAAGUCCGGACUAACUGAACAUAACAUAGCAUAAACAUAUCAACUAGCAUGAACACACCUAUACUGCAUACUACAUCGGGCCGUAGCCCGAAACACAUAACACAUAAGUCCUGUCUGAGCCACGAAGGCAUCAAACAUACUAACUACUGCAUCAGAUCAAAAUCCGGAAACUACUACUAGCUAAACGGGCCGGCAUUGUGGCCUUAGACCCGUUCCUACUGGAAGGAAACUCACCUGAGACUGCUGAACUGAUGCUGCUAAUCCUUUUGACUGCUACUUGACCUCUGACUCCGAACUGCUGCUCCACUAGCUCCUCGAGCUACCAAUGCCAAAAUAACACUUAGUCCAACUGACCUCCAAAGGUCAACUAGGUCAACUCUAGUCAAGGUCAAAAUCCUGGUCAAAGUCAACCUUCCAGGUCAACCCUACUCGCCGAGUCCACCUAAUAACUCGCCGAGUUCAAAUGCUCAAGGUCUUUCUAUUCGCGACUCGACUCGCCGAGUCAGUCCAUGACUCGCCGAGUCAACUAUUCCCGAGUCCUGACCUGUCCAACUCGCUGAGUCUCCACCCGACUCACUGAUUCGAGUUUCAACUCGAAGGGUUUGGGGUUUCGCGACCUGACUCGCCGAGUCCAAGAAUAGACUCGCCGAGCCCAAGGCAAUCUUCAACCAACUCGUCGAGUUGUUCUUCCAACUCGCCGAGUUCAUGCCUAACUUCAUCCGACUCGACGAGCUGUUCAUCCCACUCGUCGAGUUCCUCCUCAUCUUCAAGCUACUCGCCGAGUCCACUCGAAGGACUCGCCGAGUCUAUUCAGUCCUUAAUCCAUGCAGUGACUUUUCGAGCCAAACAGGGCUUCCAACUUAUAGAUCCAUACUUCUAAGGUCUAUCCCCUACGUAAAGUGGCAAACUUUACGUGUAGAUUAAGAGAUCUAGGCUCAAAACACAUUAAACUAGGGUUUAUGGCAAACAUACUUCUUCAACAUACCAAGGGCUGAUACUUUAGGGGAUUCUAGACCAACACAAGCAUGGAUCUGAGGUAGCAACCUCAGAUCUGGACUUCUAACUCGAAAUGGUUACAUAUCAUACCAAAAAUGUCCAAAACUCACACAUAAGAAUAGAUCUAGGUGCAAAGGGAGUCCAAGCAACAACUUAUUACCUCCAAUUGGUCUGAAAUGUCUUUUCAAUCCCGGAUCUACAGUCCCUUCUUGCCCCUCCAAGGCCUUUCUUCCUUCUCCAAGCUUCAAAACUUUACUAAGGGGGGUAAAUCUUGCUCCAAAACGAUUAUGGCGGCUAGGGUUUAGUGAUAUGUGCUAGAGAGGCAGUAAAGGAACCCUAGGGGAGAGAAUGAGACGUUUAAAUAAGCUCCAAGUCCCGGAUUUAAGGUUUUCCUUGCUCAGACCAGACUCGCCGAGUCACCUUGGCCGACUCGCCGAGUUGGUCGCUUAUACCUCAACCUGGAUCCCGCUCGGACUCGCCGAGUCCCUCAUUGGACUCGUCGAGUCUCCCCUUAAAUUUGGGGUUUUCUUUCUUUUCUUGGCUUUUCGAACUUUGGGUGUUACACAAACUAACCCACUAAAUGAUAAGUGACACCUCUUAUUCGAUCAGUCCACUUAAAUUUUUAUAUUUGAAUAUAAAAUCUAACUAAAAAUAAUUUAUUUUUUUGUUCAUCCACUAAGGCUAAGGGGAAUGAUAACGCUCUUAGCAUCUUAUCACAUCAUAUUUUUUUAGUGCCACAUUAUUUUUAUUUCUUAGCAACUAACUCUUAGCAUCUGAUACGGAGUGGUUGUGUGUUAAAUUAAUAUGGUUUAUUUUGAAGGAAAAAAAAACAAUAGCUGUGAACCAAUCAUAAUUAACCAAUGCAUCUUCUCCCUCUUCUUUCCUCUCGCUACCUGCUUGACGACCAAUUCUUAACAUCUCCCUUAGCGAAUCCUAAGGAGUGGUGUUUGAUAUGUUAGCGACUUGUUUGGUGAGAGGGGUGGCGAGUCCACUCCCUUAAGCCUAAAUGAAANNNNNNNNNNNNNNNNNNNNNNNNNNNNNNNNNNNNNNNNNNNNNNNNNNNNNNNNNNNNNNNNNNNNNNNNNNNNNNNNNNNNNNNNNNNNNNNNNNNNNNNNNNNNNNNNNNNNNNNNNNNNNNNNNNNNNNNNNNNNNNNNNNNNNNNNNNNNNNNNNNNNNNNNNNNNNNNNNNNNNNNUAUAUAUAUAUAUAUAUAUAUAUAUAUAUAUAUAUAUUAUGUAUUGGAAAUUAUUUUAUUUCAAAAGAAUGUAUAUCACAACAAUAAAAUGUUCAAAUUAAUAUAUAUUAAAUCAUAGUAAAAUUUUGUCCAACGAAAAUAUUCAAAUCAUAAUAAUGUUAGAAAAAAUAUAAGUAUAAAAAUACAUUCACCCUACAUCAAUUAUAUAUUAUCACUUUUAAAGUUGGAUAUGCAUUUAAAUAAAAUAAGUUGUUCUUAAGCAUUUUAUUAUUCAUUUGAAAAGACACAGGUAGAUGAAAGAUUGUGUGUUUGUGGUGAUUCCACCAACUCAAAUCUUGAAGGGUCUCACACAAUAUUUUUUUUUUUUUAAAUUUUGGAGAUAUACCUGUUGUUUGACGAAUUAUUGGUUCAAACAACAUAUCAGAUUUAGUCAAAAGUUUAGUAAUACUUCGUUUACUCAUGUCUUCUAAAUGAAAUAUAAAGUGUCUAAGGGCAACUUAUUUGAUUUAAAUGUAUAUUCACCUUUUAGAAGUGAUAAUAUGCAAUUGGAGUAUGGUGAAUGUUUUUUUUUCCUCAACUUUUUAAAAAAAAAAAUUAUUAUGAUUUAAAUAUUUUUGUUAGACAAUAUUUUUGUAGUUGUUUACCACGCAAAACGCCAGUUUAUGAUUAGUUUGUUUUAAGAGACAUGUCAUAUUAUGAGAGAGAGAGAGAGAGAGAGAGAGAAUAGGUGUUCAACAACAUAUAUUCCUACGAUGGGUUAUAAAUACAUUCAUGUCUUACUUAGCUCAUUAACAAACAUACUUUUAUUUUUAAUGUUUAUAAUACAAGUGCGUUGUUUUUUCGGUUAAAAAUAAAAAUAGAUUAUUGUUUUAGGGUGAAAAUUUUCGUUGUCAUUUAAUUUUUAACAGAAAAUGUCAAUUCGAUUAACAAUUGUCAUUUUCAGUUAAUUUCUAAUUGAUGAAAAUUUUAUGAUGUUUGUUUAAUUUUCAAAUUUAAUUUUGCUAUUUAGACCAUUUGGACAAGUUAAUGUAAAGAUACUAUCCUUAUUUUGUAAGUCUAGUUUGGAUAUAUUAUAUGAACAAUACUUGCACAAUACAAAUAGUUUAUUUUGGUAAUUAAUAUAUUUCUUGGUAGACAUGGUUUAGUUUUAUAAACCUUCCAUAAAAGUAGUUUAACACAUCAUUUUUUAUAAAAAUAUUUAUCAAAUGUCUUUAAAAAAAACCUAUAAACACAACGCAUUUUAUUUUUUAACAAUAAACGUUUGAACUUUGCCAUUUAUAUGCUUUAUAUUCGAGGAGCAUUGAAAAUUUCAAAAAAAUGAGAAACAAAGUAUAUUUGAUGGGAGUAGAAUGUUAAUGCUUAUUAAGACAAAACUUAAAGAACUUAAGAUAAAAUAUAUGAUAUAAUGUCAACUUUAUUGAUAACGAAGUCUAACAAAUGACACUGUAUGCAAGUAAAAUAACCGAAGUAUAUAAAAUAAAUGCAAAAUAGUCAAUUUUCUAAAUUCUUUUAAGUGAUACAAUCAAAGGGAAACAAAAAAUGUGGCACGCUAUGUGAUACAAUCAAAAUUGUAAUUGCCCGAUUAUUGUCAAAGAAAAUGGUGGAAGAAAAAAAGACAAAUAUUAUAAAAGGUUUAAAUUUUUAAUGCGUAAUUGGGAAAAACCCUAAUAUUUUUUUUCAUUAUUGCUAUGACCAUAAUUUUCUUGUAGAAUUAUCGUUCUAGCCCACUUAACGAGUUUCAUGGUUAAUUUGGUUAAUUUUUUUUUGCAAAAUCAGUCUUAAAAAAUUCAAAUUUGAUCCCUGAGGUUUGCAAAAAACUACACCACAUGGUUUUUUAAUAUUAUUUUUCUUUUUUUGUAUACUUUAUUUAUUUUUGGGUUUUUUUAUAAAUAUAUAUACAUUUUUNNNNNNNNNNNNNNNNNNNNNNNNNNNNNNNNNNNNNNNNNNNNNNNNNNNNNNNNNNNNNNNNNNNNNNNNNNNNNNNNNNNNNNNNNNNNNNNNNNNNNNNNNNNNNNNNNNNNNNNNNNNNNNNNNNNNNNNNNNNNNNNNNNNNNNNNNNNNNNNNNNNNNNNNNNNNNAUAUAUAUAUAUAUUAUUUUCUUUUUUAUAUAUACUUUAUUUAUUUUCUUUUUUAGCUUUAUUUUUCAACAAUUUGAUUUUUUUUGCCUUUUGUUUUCUACUUUUUUAGUGUAUAUAUAGAGUAUAUUAGAGCUUUUUUUGUUUUUGUUUUUUUUUUGUUUUUUUCAUCUUUCUCUUCGUGUUAUAUUUUUAAAAUUUUCAUCUUUUUAUUUUUCUUAUUUGUUUUCCAAUUAUUUGUUUUUUAUUUUUUUGUAUUUUUAACUUUUUAUUGACCUUUUAAAAAAAUGUUAAAUGUAUUAAUAUAUUAGAGUAUAUUACCAUUUUGAUAAUUUAUAGUUUUUGUAUUUUUUUUAUUUUUAUUCAAGUAAAUAAAAUAGUUAUGCUUGUAUUUGUAAUUUCGGUCCAACUUAUUUUCUUUUUAUUCUUUUUUUCUUUAGUGCUAUUAUAUUUACGUUACGAAAAAAUGAAAAAAAAAAGUUAGCUUGUUUAUUGAGAAUUAGUGUUUCAGUGUGUUACAUAACUUGUAAAUUAAAUCAUAUUUUUAUAUGUGAUAUCAAUAGUUUAAAACUUUAUAACUUGUUAAAGUAAUUUAAAUUUGGUAAUAGACUAAAAAAAGAACAAAAAUCAUAAAUAACUAAAUAAAUAAACACGUUAGAAAAAUCAUAAUAAGUAGAUAAUAUUUUUCAAUUUGGUAAUAGACUAAAAAAAGAACAAAAAAUAUAAUAAUUGGUCUUUAUAACUUGUUAAAGUAAUUUAAAUUGAAUUCAAGUUUGUUUACUUGAAUCUAAAUAAAUAAACACGUUAGAAAAAUCAUAAAUAACUAAAAUAGAAAAAAAAAAAAUAUAAAAAGAUAAUAACAAAAAUCAAAUUGUUGAAAAAUAAAGUUAAAAAAUGAAAAUAAAUAAAGUAUAUAAAUGAAAAUAAUAUAUAUAUAUAUAUAAACCGAAAAUAAAUAAAAUAUUCACAAAAACAAAAAAUAAAGUUAAAAAACCAUAUGGUGUAAUUUUUUGCAAACUUCAUGGACUAAAUUUGAACUUUUUAUGACUGAUUUUGGAAAAAUGUUAACCAAGUUAACCAUAAUACUUGUUAAGUGGGCUAGAGUGAUAAUUCUGCGAGAAAGUUGUGGCUAUAGCAAUAAUAAUAAAAAAUAUUAGGGUUUUUUCCAAUUACAUGUUAAAAAUUUUAUGGUUUUUAUAAUAUUAGUCCAAGAAAAAACUAUGAUUUCAAAACAUUUUAAUAUAAAAAAACUUGUGAAAAGUGAAAAAGUUAUGGAUCUCAAGACAUAUAUGAUGUGUCUAAUCCUUCGUUUUAUCUAUAUUUUUCAUUUCUUCCGCAUGUUUAAAAUUCCUGUUCUAGCAAAUACAAUUAGUAUCUUCGUAAUUAGAAUCCAUAAAAUUGAUAUAAAUAAAAAAAAUAUUCAAAUAUAGUGACCAUUAAUCAUUUACCUAUUACGGGCAUUCCAUCUUUAGCUUUAACAACUAACCGAUCAACAAAGAAAACAAUGAGAAAAAAAGUUAAUAACAAAUUCUAUUAAGAACUAAACAACAUCUAAUCUUCCAAGAAACCUUACGGAUACUUAUUUUAGAAGGGUAUCUAUUUUUAUUAAGAUUAAAGACAAGUCAGCAAAAAGCUGGGCAAGAUACAAAGUUCAAAAGUCAACAAAUAGAAAAAAAAACAUAAGAAAAUGGUAAAUGUUACUGGUCAAAAAUAAAUAGAUAUUGAGUAGUGCAAUCACCACAACUUGAAUUGUGGAUAUCUACAUGGGCAAAGGUACUCAGUAAAGCAAGCAGUCAAAUGUGCAUAUAUCUAGUAAGACACUAAGACCAGCACCAUCUGGACAAAAUAAUGCACCCCUAAACCCAUUUAAUAGCAAUGAAUUUUUGAUGACUCCAUAACUAACUUAGAAUAUCAGGGAAUUGAAAAUACUAAUAUAUUCAUUGUAUUAAUAAAUUAACAUCUAAUCUACACAAAAAAGAAAAGUAAGUUGGUCAAAUAUUUUUAGGCAAAAAUAUAGAAAAAUAACAUUACACUUCUCUUUUUUACUAAUAUAGGUAAUGCACUUAAUUAUGUUUCUCAUAAAAGCAAUGUACUAUGAUUUUAUUAUCCAAAAUAACAUCAUAGAUACAUUUCUUUGCAAAUGGUAGAAAUUUGUUGUAUCUGACAUAAAAAUGCAACAAUAUUUUCGCUCAUUCCUAUACUCGACCAUAUCACAUACACAAACCUAAGAAAAAUAAACAGGUUCCUUGGUUCUUUAAUAAUGGGUGCUGCAAUUGAUGCAUUUUUAGUGUAGAUUUAAAAUUUCAAGAUCUACAAAACAGUUUCACCAUCAAUAAUCUUCAUCAAAAUGUAAGAAUAUUUUAAAUAUAUAUCUUAAAAUUAGAAGCCACACCUGAAAUAACUUUUGUUUAAAUGUCUUAGAGCCACUGCACAUAGCUAAUGGAAUGAAUAUUGGAGGUGUUAGGCACCAAUAUAUUAAAAAGAGGAAACUAAUUGUAUGCAAUGUUAUGAAUGGUAAAAAUCAACAAACGCACCGAAGAAACAUAAAAAGGAUCACGAAUCCACCUCUCCAACUUCAACAUAAAGAAUAUAUGGCAUGAAAACCACUCCUAGUGAACCAACAGAAAACCAAAGAAAAAACAAGGGGUAAAGUGGUCAAACUUAGAACAAACUGCACAUCAAAAGCAAUAUACUAUCAAGCAACAGACACUAGAGGCAUGAUACUUCGUAAAUGCGCCAACAAGAAACCAAAGCAAAACCAAGGGGCAAAAUGGUAAUAACAAAUUAAAAGAAAUAAAACAUAUAACAUGAUAUACCUGAAGCUUUUACAGGACAGUUCAUAACUCCUUUCUAAAGAUUUUAGUUCCUGGAAAAGUAACAAUACCAGCAAAUAACACUAAAUUGUAAACAAUCCAUCAGUUACUAAUCCCUGCCAUCUUAAUAAGCAAACUCUAUGAUUCAUACAAGCUCCAAGAAAAGUAAAAAAAAAAAAGUUAAAUGCACAAUCAAAGGCUCCAACGGCCCCUUGGCCCUUUACUCCUUAAUUUGAAGUCAUCAAGUUCUUUACUGUGUUUUAAAAAAUAACUAAAAAAACCGAUCAAAACAUUAGAAAAACAAAACCUUAACAUAGGUAAAGAAAACAUUAUCUAAGAUCCAGGAUCUUCAUCAACUUUGCAACCUAUUUGAGGUAUAAAGCUACUAACUUGAUGGUUUCUUAUGACAGAUCUAGUUUAGGGCUCUAUUUGUGCAUUUUGGGUCCUUUAAGCCUUGUUUUGAAGUAUAGGCUACUCCAACAGCUUGGGAUAAUAGAUAUAGGUUUUUCUUAGGUCCCUUGUACAUAAAAAUGAUAGCUUGGUGGGUUUAGCUCUACCAUGCAAGGUUGAUGCUCUUCUUAAUGGAGUUUAAGUGCUAGCUUUGGUCUAUGGAGUGCUUUUAGCCAUGCAAAGGCUUCAGUCUUUGACUUUAUGGUUUAAGGCCUUAAUAUCACAAGUCCAUGUUAGUGUGUCGGUUAACCACACACGCUCCACUAACGACUUUGAGAAUGCAAAUAUCACAAUUGCUAUCUAGCUAAAAUCUACUUAGUGAGCAUUCUAACACUCCUAAGUGUACAUGCAACCCUAAAUACCUUGGAUCUAUGUUUUCUCUAUUAUACAUGCAAAUAUGAACUUUCCAAGGUAUUCAUCCUAACUAGCAUAAUAACAUUGAUUCAUAUGAAUAUAUCAAGUUAGAAUUACAUACCUCUUUGAUGUAGAAUGUCUUCAUGAAGCUUGAGUGCCUAGUGCCCCAAGUGUGACACCUCAAAUGGUUCACACAACACCAAAUACACUUGGAAUAGAUUAGAGAGAAAUCCACACUUCAUGAAAAUCGGCUAGCCCUUUCUCACAUACAUAGUGACCGAUUUUGUCAGCAAUAAGAUGUUUAUAUAAAGAAUUACAUACCUCUUUGAUGUAGAAUGUCUUCAUGAAGCUUGAGUGCCUAGUGCCCCAAGUGUGACACCUCAAAUGGUUCACACAACACCAAAUACACUUGGAAUAGAUUAGAGAGAAAUCCACACUUCAUGAAAAUCGGCUAGCCCUUUCUCACAUACAUAGUGACCGAUUUUGUCAGCAAUAAGAUGUUUAUAUAAUUUGUGACAAUUAGGGUAAACCCUAAUUGUCAUGGCUUUCCAUUUCCUUGGAUCCAUGGGUUCAAAUACACCAUGGAUCAUCCUAUGGGUUUUAGCCCAACUUGAUAAUCCAUGGAGUCUUAGCCUACUAUACAAGUAUGGAUGAUUUACACAAUCAACCCAUAUAUUUAAUUAGUCUUCUUUUGAUCACUUAAUUAAUUCUAGAUUAAUUAUUGAUCAAUACUAAUUAAAUAAUCUUAUUAAUAUAUUAGAACUUAUAAUAUAUUAACCAACCUUAAGUGUUAUUUCUCUCAUUUUAGUCUAUCCAAAUACAUGAUGUCAUGCAACCUAAAUGGACCAUGUCGGGUCGGUUCAAGUCUUACCAAUUAUAGUUAUGGACUUAGACAUUAAUCCAACAGUCUCCCACUUGGAUAAGUCUAAAACUAUAAUUGCAAGUAUGACUUCAAGAACCGACUGACAAUCGUAGCUCUCAAAAGCUUCUGUCGAACUCCGACCUUGCCGAUGAUCUCUGACCUUUGUCAAUGACUUGUCCAUUAGAUAAGGGAUCAUAUAUUCUUCCAUUCUAGAUAAAAUAUGGAGUAAGACAUGGAUUAUAAUCAUUCUCUCUGUCCAUUUGUUGUUUCCCGAUUUCCGAUUUAUGAUGACUGACUAAUUAAACAAAUCAAAUCACUCUAGGCCCGGCCGAACACUUACAUUUGUCAACACCAAAUCAUCGAGGGGGCCACAUAUAUCGCUUUUAUCCCGAAGGUAAAAGGAAUGGAUAAACUUCGAAUCAUCUGGCUUGUUCUACUACUUGUUGAAUCAUACACAAAGGCACAUUUUAUAACAUCGAUUUACCAAUGCGUUUUCGUGCAAUCAAUGUAUAACCAACUCAUAGUAACAACUCAUAUCUCUAGGUUUGAAGAAUUUAAGAUAUUAUCGUCUCAUGAUCACUCGUGAUAAAAUCCAAGAAAAGUGAUUCCAAUGAGCGCGGGUUGAAUCCAAUACUCAUAAUUUAUGAGUACUCAUGAGUGUUGUAGCACCACCUUGUCCAACAUCUUAGACCUAUACAAGCCCAACCCAUGACAGUCUUGAUUCAUAUCUACUUCCAACAUAUGACUAACUGUGGAUGGUUUGAAUAACUUAGUCAAUCAAGAAGAACGACCUAGUUAUUCUGGAAGUCAAAACAUGCAAAAUGAAACACAAUAAUAAUUGAAUCCAAUAUGGUCUCAGAACUUAUGAGUAUAAAUAAAAACACCUUUUAUUUAUCACCAUAUGAUUACACAUUAUUCAUUGUAUAUUGUUUCAGCUAUCAACUUUAUUCUUGAAUUAAAACAAUAGUUGUCCCAUGCUCCAAGCAUGUACACUAUGUUUUCUAGACACUAGUCAUGCCAUACACCAAGUAUGCAUAAUAUGUUUGUCUAUGAUCUUUACUUUGUGAAAGAGAUCGAUUGAACAUAAUUCCAAUGAUUCUCAUUUCACACUCCCAAUUCCUUACUGCAAAUGCAAGAAUUUCAAAUUCAUGCCAUUUACUGAAAUUUAUUAGAUUCUAGACUUAUAUGCAUUGAUCUUAUUCUAAUUAUUAUGCACAAAGUCACAAAGACUUGACAACAAACAUUACAGAGCAUUCCAAAAGAGAUCAACUCCUUGGAAACAUCCUUCUUGCAUUAAGUUUCCUAAUCUUACAUAGAUUGAAUAAUUUCUAACUUUUAAACAUUUCCAUAUUCCAUUUUGACUAUCACNGUGUAUGCCUUCUUUGCUAAACACGUCCUCCUUCCAGAUUAUGUCAAUAUGGUCCUUCCAGAAUUAUCACUAUACUUCCAACUGUCCUUGAGCAACCAAUCUAUGGUAAACCUUAGAUUUUCCUCGACAACUGUUUAAUGAUCAUUUUAGUCAUAUCCAAUUCUAGACCUUUUCCCUUCUUAAUGCCCUAGACAUUUGGAAAAUUUUAGAAAGGAUGAAUAUAGCACAUGUAAUCGAUGCUAUAUCCGAAGCAUAUGGGACACGAUUCAUGAUGUCUCACAUAAAUACUAAACCAAUCUUUUGCUAUAAUUUUUCCAUUUCAAUUUUCAAAGCUCUCAUAAGUCAGAUUAUGAAAAAGGAUGCCGUAAUCAUAAUCGAAUUUUAGAACGCAAAUAACGGACCCAUAUAAAGAAUUUCUUUAUGUUGAGCCAAUCCAACCUAAAAUUCAUAUAUAUCCUUGACUAAAGAUUUAAAACCUCAAUCUAAACUUUUAGAUUUGAGAUGAAGUAUAAUUUCCUCUCCCUUAAUUAUAGCAAAACAACUUUUUCCCAAUUGAAACCUUUUGUUUUCUAUAAUUAACAUUGCUAACUUGCAACCUUUAUCAUAAUUAUCAUGCUCUCACUAACAUGAUGAUUAUUAGCAUAACACUUAUGCUCCCACUAGCUUUGACAUGUACUUAGAAAUUAGCUGAACUUCCAGAAAAACAAUACUUUAUUGACUUUCUUACCAAAGUUCAGAUUUCUGAUACUAUAUUGCUUUGAUAAAACUUUAUCAGUAUCAUACUCUUUAUCUUAGAUCGCUCACAGGUGUGUCUAAACAAUUUUAAUAGCUAUGAAAAGGGAUGCCGUAAUCAUAGUCUCGAUUUUUUAGACCUUUUCCACUUCUCACAAGUCCAUGUUAGUGUGUCGGUUAACCACACACGCUCCACUAACGACUUUGAGAAUGCAAAUAUCACAAUUGCUAUCUAGCUAAAAUCUUCUUAGAGAGCAUUCUAACACUCCUAAGUGUACAUGCAACCCUAAAUACCUUGGAUCUAUGUUUUCUCUAUUAUACAUGCAAAUAUGAACUUUCCAAGGUAUUCAUCCUAACUAGCAUAAUAACAUUGAUUCAUAUGAAUAUAUCAAGUUAGAAUUACAUACCUCUUUGAUGUAGAAUGUCUUCAUGAAGCUUGAGUGCCUAGUGCCCCAAGUGUGACACCUCAAAUGGUUCACACAACACCAAAUACACUUGGAACAGAUUAGAAAGAAAUCCACACUUCAUGAAAAUCGGCUAGCCCUUUCUCACACACAUAGUGGCCGAUUUUUUCACNAAUAAGAUGCUUAUAUAGUUUGUGACAAUUAGGGUAAACCCUAAUUGUCAUGGCUUUCCAUUUCCUUGGAUCCAUGGGUUCAAAUACACCAUGGAGCAUCCAUGGAGCAUCAUAUGGGUUUUAGCCCAACUUGAUAAUCCAUGGAGCAUUAGCCCACUAUACAAGUAUGGAUGAUUUACACAAUCAACCCAUAUAUUUAAUUAGUCUUCUUUUGAUCACUUAAUUAAUUCUAGAUUAAUUCUUGAUCAAUACUAAUUAAAUAAUCUUAUUAAUAUAUUAGAACUUAUAAUAUAUUAACCAACCUUAAGUGUUAUUUCUCUCAUUUUAGUCUAUCCAAAUACAUGAUGCCAUGCAACCCAAAUGGAUAAUGUCGGGUCGGGUCAAGUCUUACCAAUUAUAGUUAUGGACUUAGACAUUAAUCCAACAUUUUUACCCUGGGAUUUGGACAAUUGAAUGAGAUUCAUGGUUUUUGUUUAUGGCCCAGCUUGUUAAUUGGGUUUAUUUGAUUGGCUAGCGCGUGGAUUUUUUGGAUUAACAGUCUGAGUUUUUAUUUGAGAUAUUCAACAACUUGAGGUGUAGCGCCCGCAGAUUCGGGCUAGUCAAUUUAAAGACGAUAAACAUCAAUAUUGACUUUUUGAUAGAGGAUUAUGUAGAAUAAACAAUAUUAACUAAAUUGUAGGAUAGGUCACAAGGUUUCUGUACAUAUAAAGAAUGCUGAAAUCCGAGUUAUAAGAAAGAAGUGAUGACCUGUCGAAGUUUCGCGACAAAACCGACACGACACGACACCGGGAAUCAUAAAAAGUGAGUUUACGAUAAAGUACUUCUUAGCCUUAGGGGUGUAAAUGAAAGUUGUAGAGUACGUCUCCACCUACGCGUGGAUAUAAAGAACAUAAAAAACGGAGCUCGUAUGCAAAAGUUAUGACCUUCCAAAGAUGCAACUGUCUGAGAGCAUGACACGUGUCACAAACCCUAAUCUGACUGGGCUCACGACGUGAGGAGUCAAACAGACACUAAUUGAAGCUAGAAAACACUUGGGAUGGCUACCAGAUGACUCUUGGAAGCUCACGACAUGAACAUAUCAUUCUCACGAUGUGAGAAGUCAUACAGACACCUUUCAGAGCUAUAUAUGCAAAUAACAAGUAUACGAGGUGAGCAGGCAUGACUCACGAUGUGAGCAUUGAUUCUCAUGACGUGAGACCACCAAAAAUCAGCCUAUAAAUAGCAAGUUCGACCCUAAGGUUCCUUACACCAAAUUAUUUUUUCUAUCUCUCUUGUUUUCGAAGGUAGUUUCCCUUCAUGAGCCCGACGAUCAUGAACCACUGAUCGUUUCUAGUUAGAUUCUAUCAAAUCACGCUACUAAGUGCAUAGUUACUUUCAUCUUACACAUACAUAUGAAAUAUUUAAUAUAAAUUACGUGUUAUGUGUGCAUAUUAUUUGUGUUCCCGAUAUCUAUGUUGGAUGAACGUUUUAUAUAUGUUUUAAAGGAUUUAAAAUGUAUAUAUAUUUUAUAUCUACAUAUAUGUUGGGUAGAACAUGGGUAGAUAAAUAAUGAGGGAUGAAAGAUGAUACAGAUGAAUAUUGGCAUCUACGCCAUAACUCGUAGGUAUUUGAUUUAAGUGUUCACCAGAUGUACUCUAAAUAUCCUGGCAGCUGCGCCUAAAGGAUAAUACCGGCACCUGAGCCUAAUAGAGAACAUCAUUAUCCUGGCAGUUGCGCCUAAAGGAUAAUAUCGACAGCUGCACCUAAUAGAGAAUGUCAUAAUCAUGACAGCUGCGCCUAAAGGAUAAUAUCGGCAGUUGCGACUAAUAAAGAACGUUAUAAUCCUAGAAGUUGUGCCUAAAUGAUAAUAUUGGCAGUUGUGCCUAAUAGAUAACAUUGGCAGCUGUGCCAUAGGCAACGAUGGACUUCGUGCCUAUUCCUUAGGAGAAUCCUUAGGAAUGAAAAAGUGAAUGAUAGAUGAUUCUUAGGGUAGAUCCUUAAGAAUAAUGAAGAUAAUGGGGAUGGGUAAUUGGGUUGAUUGUUUGAUGAUUAAACAUAAUAAUUAUAUUAUUAUGGGUUGAAAACCCUAUGUGCUCACCAGGUUUCCCAUCCUGACCCACUCAACUUAUUUGUAUCACAGUUGUCGAUACGAAGCUACAUUACACUGAGAGAUUAAAAGAGAUGUAGAUCACUAUUGUAAAUGAAUGUAAGGUCUAUUUAUGCUUAUGUUUCUGUAUUGACAGUGACAUCCCAAAGUUUUAAUAUUAACAAAAUACAUUUCUUCGGAAAUGCUUUGAUAAUAUGUUUAUCAUGUUUUUCUGGGAACAAAUUCCGCAACAUUUUUCUUUAAUGAGUACUCUGAUUUUCAAAUAAGCAUAAACAAAAUUUUUAAAAUGACCAUGAAUAUGGGGAUGUCUCAUGAGGGGAGUUUCCUUACUGUGUUUGGCGGGUCAAAGGCACCAAUGGAUGCUAGUUGUUUGUGUGAUUCUCACAUGUGUAGUAUGGGAUAUUUAUACCGGGCGGGACGUGAUGAGUGUAUUGUGUGCUAUUUAUCUUAGUGAUUUUUGCAUGUGUUUAUGUGUCUAUAUGAAUGUCGAGCGGGGCCUGAUGAAUGUGAUGAGGCAUGACCCAUCUCAUAUUAUUGACAUAUUUGUUCCGAGCGGGGCCUGAUGGUUGUUUGGCACGACCCAUUAUAUAUUUGAUAUGUAUGGUAUGAGGUAGUUUAGGGAACUCACUAUGAUUCAUGCUUAUUGUAACGCCCGUAGAUCAGGGCUAGUCAAUUUAGAGACGAUAGGCGUCAAAAAUGAAUUUUUGAUGAAAGAUUAUUUAGAAUGAAUAAUCUUAACUAAGUUAUAGUAUAUGUUACAAGGAUUCCGUACAUAUAAAGAACGCCGAAAUCCGAGUUAUAACGAAGAAGUUAUGACCUGUCGAAGUUUCGCGACAGAACCGGCACGACACAACGCGACGUAAAAAGUGAAUUUACGUUAGAGCGAUAUUUAGCCUUAGCAAUCUAAAUGAAAGUUGUAGAAUACGUUAAACCGUGAGCGUGCAUAAAAAGAACGUCAAAAUUUGACUUCGUAUGAGGAAGUUAUGAUUUUUCUAAGUUUCGACUUAGCGGUAUGCAGCCCGAAUGCUCGAUUUGAGACCGAGCGGUUUUUAGCCAAAACAAUCUAAAUGAGAAUNNNNNNNNNNNNNNNNNNNNNNNNNNNNNNNNNNNNNNNNNNNNNNNNNNNNNNNNNNNNNNNNNNNNNNNNNNNNNNNNNNNNNNNNNNNNNNNNNNNNNNNNNNNNNNNNNNNNNNNNNNNNNNNNNNNNNNNNNNNNNNNNNNNNNNNNNNNNNNNNNNNNNNNNNNNNNNNNNNNNNNNNNNNNNNNNNNNNNNNNNNNNNNNNNNNNNNNNNNNNNNNNNNNNNNNNNNNNNNNNNNNNNNNNNNNNNNNNNNNNNNNNNNNNNNNNNNNNNNNNNNNNNNNNNNNNNNNNNNNNNNNNNNNNNNNNNNNNNNNNNNNNNNNNNNNNNNNNNNNNNNNNNNNNNNNNNNNNNNNNNNNNNNNNNNNNNNNNNNNNNNNNNNNNNNNNNNNNNNNNNNNNNNNNNNNNNNNNNNNNNNNNNNNNNNNNNNNNNNNNNNNNNNNNNNNNNNNNNNNNNNNNNNNNNNNNNNNNNNNNNNNNNNNNNNNNNNNNNNNNNNNNNNNNNNNNNNNNNNNNNNNNNNNNNNNNNNNNNNNNNNNNNNNNNNNNNNNNNNNNNNNNNNNNNNNNNNNNNNNNNNNNNNNNNNNNNNNNNNNNNNNNNNNNNNNNNNNNNNNNNNNNNNNNNNNNNNNNNNNNNNNNNNNNNNNNNNNNNNNNNNNNNNNNNNNNNNNNNNNNNNNNNNNNNNNNNNNNNNNNNNNNNNNNNNNNNNNNNNNNNNNNNNNNNNNNNNNNNNNNNNNNNNNNNNNNNNNNNNNNNNNNNNNNNNNNNNNNNNNNNNNNNNNNNNNNNNNNNNNNNNNNNNNNNNNNNNNNNNNNNNNNNNNNNNNNNNNNNNNNNNNNNNNNNNNNNNNNNNNNNNNNNNNNNNNNNNNNNNNNNNNNNNNNNNNNNNNNNNNNNNNNNNNNNNNNNNNNNNNNNNNNNNNNNNNNNNNNNNNNNNNNNNNNNNNNNNNNNNNNNNNNNNNNNNNNNNNNNNNNNNNNNNNNNNAACCUUGGCGACUAUGGAGUUAGCGCUUGUUGAGUAAACCUUGGCGACUAUGGAGUUAGCGCUUGUUGAGUAAACCUUGGCGACUAUGGAGUUAGCGCUUGUUGAGUAAACCUUGGCGACUAUGGAGUUAGCGCUUGUUAAGUGAACCUUGGUGACUAUGGAGUUAGCGCCUGAUAACUAUGGAUUUAGUACUUGAUAAAUAAACUUUGGCAGCAAUGGAAUUCGUGCCGAUUCCUUACGAAUAAAUGAAUGAAGGAUAGUUGGUUCUUAGGGUAAAACCUUAAGAAGAUAAUGAGGAUGGGUAAUUGGGUUGAUUGUUUGUUGAUUAAAUAUAAUAAUUAUAUUAUUGUGGGUUGAAAACCCUAUAUGCUCACCAGGCUCCCAAACCUGACCCACUCAGUUUUCUUUUCAUUACAGGUAAUGGCACAAGGGUAUAAGUUGGUGGACUUGACGAGAGAUUUUGGGAUUAUAGAUCAGUAGUUAUAAAUAACUAUUGUAAGAUCUAUUUUAUAUUGUUUAUGCUUUUGGUCUGUAACGAACAUGACAUCCCGAGGUUUUAUUAUUUAAUGAAAAUACAUUCUUUUCGAGAAAUGUUUUGAUAAAUGGUUAUCAUAUUUUAUUUUGGGAACAAAUUCCGCAACCGUUUUCUUUAAACGAUCACUCUGAUUUAUAAAACAAAGCAUAAACAAAUCGGUCUUUUCUGAGCGUGAAAUUGGGGAUGUCACACUUAUGGUUUUCAUUUUAUAUUUCAGGUACUUACGGAUCGAAGGGGAACAACUCGGGAUGAUCGCAUCGCACACACCACAAUGUUCCGCAUUUUAUUUGAUUAUGAUGUAACUGGAUGAUUAUUGAUAUACACUGGUUUCAUUAUGGUUUUUAUGAAACGUUUUGGAUGAUGGUUUUAUUAUUAUAAAAAUAAAAUUUUUGGUCUUAAAAUUUAGGACGUUGCAAGAAUGGUCAAGUGUUGUCAUCCUACUUUGAGGGAUGACCAGACAUACCGUUAAGUUUCCUGAUCUGGACCUAUCAUUUUUGGUCAUCCAAAAGGAAUACUAAGAUGUACUCCGAUACGAAGCUACCUUACAUUGACACCUAAAGGUGUCACAUAAUAGGACUCUACUUUCCGUUCCUAACUUACACACCUUUUUUGAAUGAGAUUACCCAUUAUCAAACUUAAUUGAACUGAGUAUCCUUUACAAGUCCUACUUUCGUAAUAAGCAAUACUAUCGGGCUUAUAAACUUUUCUCAAAAUACCAACUCUUAUUUUUAGGCAAUCAUAUCCUAAUAUUAACAUAGAGUAUUAGGUAUUACUAUUUCUUCUAUCUUUCUUACUAAUCAUACUUUGAUUACUUAAUUAUCAUAUUAUCUAUAUACUAUAACACAUAGAACCAUNNNNNNNNNNNNNNNNNNNNNNNNNNNNAUAUAUAUAUAUAUAUAUAUAUAUAUAUAUAUAUAUAAAUAAACUUUUAAACAGAUAUUUAAUACUUAUAUUAAAAUCAUGUUCAUGAAAUGGACUAUGCACUACUUGAUGAAAUGGGUGACUGACGAUUUUGGCAGCACUUCGCUUCACACUUCCAAAGAGACAUAGGCAUAUAAAGCACUAAGCCUUAGUCUAGUUUCAUAAUCCUAGCGACUAUAAUAAUUAUAGUCUAUAUUCCUCUAUAAUACUAAUCUCUCAUCAAUAUCUACCGAGUAAGGAAUAACCAUGUAGGAUCAUAUUAGAGGUAGGGUCCGUUUGAUAUACAUAGUAUACUGUUUGGAGAUCCCACUUUAAAUACCUUACUAAAUCCAACCUGGACAUCAUUCCGUAAGUAGUUCAAUCAAUAUAAUGACUUGGAAUCACUAAUAAAUCUUAAUUAUAUGUUCAUAAUUACCACUAUGAAUAUGAUUCAAAGUUAUACUUAAAUAUAAUAAGUGUAGCUUAACUUAGAGAGUAAUCUAGUGAAAACCGGGAGUUACACGGGCAUAACUUCUCACCGGGGAGCUUAUAUUCACCAGCUAUCUGACACUGUAGGGCUUCGUUAAAGGGGUUGAGAACUUAAAACUAAAGAAAUCUUAGACUAAAAAAGAAAGAACUCGAGAGAGAAUCGUUGGAACAUGUGAGGAAGGAAGUGAGAUGAAGGCAACUUUAUAUAGGCCAAAUUGACCUGUGUGCCGCACAUAGAUCAGGUGCACGCCACGCAUCUGGUCGGAAGAAGGUGACGUGCCUCUCUCUGCAUGGUGCCACAUGUCGCAUUCUAAGUGGUGUGUUAGUGCACAUCGCACAUGCUGUCUGUACGCGCGACUGCGUGCGAAUUUUUUGUUUUCUUAGAAAAUUCAUAACUUGCUCAUAUGAGCUCUGUUUGUGAUGAUUUGUAUAUCUACAUGUAGCUAUUGACGAGAUCUACAACUUUCGUUUAGACUCCGUUGGCUAACUUUGAUUUUGUUUUUAAAGUUAUGUUUUAAAAGACUUAGACUAUUAAAGUCCGUUAAAAGUUCAAAACUCUCUCUUUCGAUGUAUGUUCUCGACUGUCUUUAGAUUGAUUGGUUUCUAUUAACGAGAUAUUUGAUUCUCAUUUAUAUUGUUUCGGUUAACAAUCAACCGAUCUAAAAGUUGAUAUUAGUGUUGCACAUUGUUACGCUGGAACUUAAAAAAAUCAUAACUUUCUUUUACGAAGGCAGAUUUGGACGUUUUCUAUAUGCACGUUCUCGGUUUAAUGACUGCUACGACUUUCGUUUAGGUUACUUAUGCUAAUAAGCAACCUAUCCGGAACCCAACUGAUGCCAACAAUCAAACCAGUCACUUAAAACACUAAAUUGCAAUAACUACCUCUCUCUCUAAACGCUAAGACCCAGCUCAUAAUGACGCCACUUAAACAAUAACCUCCAAAAUUGUAUCUACUAACCAUCUCCAUCAAUGUACUACACAAAAUUGGGAGCACAACAGUCCAAACUCUAGAGACAUACAUAAUGGGUGACGAUCAUCCACUUGUCAUUCUUACCCCAAGUCCCUGACCAGGAAUACCAGUAAAUUGUGCAUAACAACACUUAAAACAUUUCGAUCAAGGAUUCCAACCCAUACUAAAUUCGAAAAUCGCUUAAAAGUUCUCAAAUACACACUAGACUUCCAAAUAAGUCGUGACUAACCAACUCUUCCCACGAGCAUAACCAUGGUCAAUACGAACUCUCGCAUGACACUCAAGCUCCCACAACAACUCAUGUGCACAACCAUUUGCCAAAACAUCCAAGAGACUUAUAACUACUCGUAUCACUGGUAACUUAACUCAUACGGAACGUUAUCAUAAAGCGAACAUAGAUCCACAAGGAAGAAAACAAUUUUAAACUUAGAGUACAUGUAAAACACCAUGUUGGAUUUAACAACAAACUUAGAAUAUAUUGCAACUAGUUAUACUGCAAAGAAUAAUUAUGUGACUAAAAGAGAUUCAUCAGUGACCUCAGUGUUGAAUUCAAUCACUGAUGGUCAUUUUGAAGUUUCUGUGACUAUAAGAGUGAAAUUAUCUUAGUGAGGAUCCCAAGUCACACAAGCCCAUAUGACAUAUACUCAGUAAACACAAUCACAUCUGAUAGUUAGCUGAAUGUAAAGAUUUCAUAAUCAAUAGAGUUACAUUAUUAAAAGAGAAACUUGAUGAUAUAUUCUUUAAAUCAAUGUCAUUAACCAUGUAUGAUAGUCACACAAGGUCAAAACACAUUAUAUUUGCAAAUGAAUUGGUCUGGGCACCUGGGAACCAAAACGGUAUAAAUUUUUAUUUGAUGGAGAUCAGUCAUUUCAUUAGUUUAUUAAUGUAUUCAUUUUGCUUAUAGAAGUGAAAUUGAUCUUCAAAAUCUAUGUUUUUACAUAAAUCUAUGCGUGUUUGUGUUUAUCUAGUUUUUCAUACGCACACAAUGGUAGGACAGAGGGGUAGGGGUGGGUUAGGGGAUUUAAUUUGUUUGUUUUAUCAAAUAAAAAUGGUAAAACUUUUAAAAAUAAUAGGAAAAUAAAUUAAAGAGUAAAAUAGAUUUUUUCAAUUUUAACGGUGACUAAAUCUAUGAAUAAACAUUUUCAAAAACUAUAUCUAUAAAUAAACAUAUUCCAAAAGACCAUUUUGUUCAAAAAGAUUUUGACCAAAAUCCAAAAAACAGAAUGGCAAACUACGACAUCAUUUUUAUAAGUUUUGUCUAGUAAUAUUUAUGAUUUUUGAAAGUCUAAUUUAACUAUAUAAUAUAAUUCAUAUAACUUUUUUUAAUAUAAAUCAAAUAAUAACUAUAUCUUUUGAUCCUAUAAAUAUUGUAUAAAAAUCCGUUAAUUAUAAAAUAAUUGAGAAUUUGAAAAUGAGGGGAGUGGAUCCCAUUAAAUCAUUAAUGCGGUCUUUUAUUUUAUCAAAAUUCAAUAAUUGAAAAUAUAAUAAAACCAAUUAAAAACAAGCUGUGAUUGACACUGACACUUUUCUAGUUUUAUUUUUAAUUUCUAUUUUGGCUUUGUACCGACGGAGUAAUAGAUAUAAGUUCAUCUUCAACCCAAAACUUUAUCCAAUUUACAAAAGUACCCCUUUUUAAGGGGCAUUUUCAGUGAUUACCGUAACAUGAAGUACCUAUCUGAAACUUCAUCAGAACCCUCAACGGUAAACUCUUGGUAUGAUGUGGGGUAUAUAUCUAUGCGUUUGCCAAGAACUCUCAACGCUCUUCUUCUCUCUCUUCUGUCGCUCUCCGUUUUAAACCUCAUCAAUCAUUUGAAAGAGAGCGAUCCACCGAUCCUCAUCAAUAUUUCUCAAAUCUUUGGAUUCCUUGAAGUUUUACUGAACGUAUGUUUCAAAGAAAGAUACGCCUGCUUCUGGUUCCCCGGUUUGAACGAAGGCUCUUGAUUUGAGGUGAUAUUCGUCGUUCCUAUUAGUUUAUGCAAUUAUCACGCCAAUUAGUUGAUCAAUUUCCAAUUUAAUGUGCUUUCUGAAGUGGGUCUGUAUCGUUGUUCGGUACUGUUGGUUCAAUUUCGAUUUAAUCGUUGUUUAUUUGGUGAAUUCUUUGUUUUGUCGUCGUGUAUGCAGUUGCGAAUAUGUGGUUGGUGUUUGAUGGUUGAAUUAGGGUUUCAAUUUUUGUGUGCGUGUUUUUUCGUGUGAAAAAGCAGGGCCCUUUACCUUUUAGUAGAAAGUUCUUCAAUUUUGGUUCAUAAAAGAUUAGAUUAGGUCAGUUGUUAGCGUUGGAUGAAUCUUUGCUCUGGAGAAUCGGGGCUUUUCAUCUCAGGAAAAACUUAAAUUUUUUUUUGUUGCAGAUACCUUGUUUUUGUGUAUUUGCCAUGAAUUUUAGGGUUCGAUCUUACUUUUCUUUCGUUAAUGUUUACUUGGAUCGGCACUUUAGUUACUGCUGCGCGUUUUGGUUUUAAGCCUUCUUUGUGUUGGUAUGCAUGUUUAAUUUUGCAAAACUUUCAUAUGCACAAUUUUCUGUACAGUAGGAAGGCAAUAGGAGUCGCCAUAGAACAAUCAAAAUCCUUCUUUAUCAUGUUGACAUGAGUUUAUAUCUAAGCAUAGGUCUUAAUGAAGAUCAUCACUUGGUUCUUAUACACUUAUUAGAAAGAUGAUCAGUCCAGUUUCCCAUCAUUCUCAUAAAUUUGCAGCAUUAGAUCCCCUCAUCAGCUUAGGAACAUAUUUCUUUGUUCAUGAAAAUACACAAAAUGAUUUAGUUCGCCCCUCUAAUUGCUAAGUUUCUUAACAGGUUACUCAUCAACAAUCUACUCUUGUCAUUUGGGUGCUACACAACUGACUUGUAGCUUCUCGUCACCAAUUUAAGCCUUUUUUGAUUCAUGGUACGCAACACACAAACACACACACACACACACACACACACUUUUUUGAUUCAACAAUCCAUUUGUCCCUCUUUGUAAUCUUAAAUUUGUAAUUAUUGUAGGCUACCAACGAGAAUCUUCCUCCAAAUGUAAUCAAACAACUUGCUAGAGAAUUGAAGAAUCUAGAUGAAAUCCCACCAGAAGGAAUCAAAGUAGGAGUGAACGAUGAUGAUUUUUCAACAAUCUAUGCUGAUAUUGAAGGCCCAGGUAGAUAGAUGUUACCUUUAUAUACAUAUGUAUAUUAUGUAUGUAUGUAUAUCUAUACACAAGAGACAUAUUCCUUUGUUCUAACUGAAUACCGGAUAUACAGCUGGCACUCCAUACGAAAAUGGUGUUUUCCGAAUGAAAUUGAUUCUCAAUCGUGACUUCCCCCACUCACCUCCUAAAGGUUUGUUUGUCUUUAGAUUUGUUCAUGUGGUUAGUUAGUUGUAUGGGAAUGUUUAAAACCUUGUUUGUGUUCCCAUUUGUUAGGUUAUUUUUUGACCAAGAUCUUCCAUCCCAAUAUUGCAACUAAUGGUGAGAUAUGUGUCAACACACUGAAAAGAGAUUGGAACCCUAGUCUAGGAUUACGCCAUGUUCUAAUUGUAAGUUUCUAGAUUCGUGUUUUCUUUUUUACUUCCUAAUUUGGACCUUUGAUUAAAAAUCUAAAUCCAUUCAUGUGUUGCAGGUAGUCAGAUGCUUGCUGAUUGAGCCAUUUCCAGAAUCUGCAUUAAAUGAACAGGCUGGCAAAAUGCUGCUUGAGAACUAUGAAGAAUAUGCUAGGCAUGCAAGGUUCGAUUUUGGCUUGUAUUAUCUUAUUGAUGAUGAGUUAAAUAGUUAAAAUUCAAGAGAUCUUGAUUCAAUACUAAAAAUACAUGACAGGUUAUAUACUGGAAUUCAUGCACUGAAGCCAAAACCAAAGUUUAAGACGGGGGCAAUAUCGGAAUCAACCGCUGCUCUAAAUGUUGACCAGACAAACACCUCAGUUUGUAGCGUUGACCCGAAAACCGCUGUCUCUGGAGCUGUAGUGCCGCCUCCUACGCCCUUGGCUCCUUCAUUGAACACCAUGAAAGGGGCAAGUGGUCAGGAACCGCCAACCACCGCCCUGAACUCAAUAGUUGAGAUGGGAGUAAGUAGCGGAUCUGGAGGUGGUGCACCGCCACCAACGGCGGCGGCAGCACAUAAUAAGAAGGAAGGUGGGUUGGCGAAAGCUCAAGGGGGGGACAAGAAGAAGAUUGAUGCUAGAAAGAAAAGUCUGAAAAGAUUGUAAUGUUUUUGUUUGUCUCUUGGUUUUUUAUGUAUGAUUGAAUUUGGUGAAUGCAAUGUGAUUUUCUGGUUUCUAGGGACUUACUUGAUUUUGAUGGAUGGGGAUAUCAUAUCAGCUGUAGAUAUGUUGUUUCCAUAUAUCAUAUGUUGUCGAUAUAUAAAAAUCCAGUUCCUUUUUAUCGGUUUUGGUCAUUACAUAAAUAUUCAGUUCCAUAUGGGGAUAUUAGGGAAACCCUCUCAAUCCCCAUUAAAACCUUUCCUCAAACCAAAUAAAAAUACUUUGUAUUCUAAUUAUAAGUCUUGUAAAAAACCUGGUGUAACAAUAUAACUCCUUUUUCUUGCUAUGUUUGGGUUGGGCCUUUUGUAGGUUUUGGAUAGAGCCCUUUUGCUGAUUUUGGUCAUUAUAUAAAUUCGAUCCUUUAUCUGUUUGUCGGUAUCAUUUUUCUAACUUUGGUUUUAAAAUCAAAUUUCUAAUAAGGUUUCAGUUACAAAAAAUAAAUAUUCAGUACAAACCCCAAGCCUAUGGACUUUGUUUUCUGGUCGACAAAUGAUGUAUUUUUGUCAGCAGACUGACAUACAAUUUUAGUGAACCAAUGACCGUUUUGGUUUACAUUUGUACCCUCUAUGUCUGCAAGAUAGAGCCUUAUGUGGAAGAUUUGAUAUGUUUGGGUCGAGCCUUAUAUUGCUUUUCAGGCCUUUUGACCAUUAUAUAAAUUAGUCUUUUUUUUUUUUUUUUUUUUAAAUUACGUUUUACAAUAAAUCAACUCUUUUCUAUGAGAGAUUUAGUACGUUUAGGUGGUGCCUUUUUGUUAGUUUUGGCCACUAUAUAAAUUAGAUCAUUUUUAUACUUGCAUUUUAUGACAUUGUCCAAAGGGCGACGAUUUGGAAGAUUUUGAAACAUAGAAGGGUACCAGGGUGUUGUGUUAGAUUCAUACACGACAUGUAUUGUCGAUCAAUGACAUGUGUUUGAUUUUGAAAGAUAGAAGUGAUAUCGUCUUUCCAUGUAGGAAUUAAGCUCCAUCAAUGUUCGACGCCUAGCUCUUAUAUCUUUGCAGGUAUUUUGCAAGGUACAAAGAGAGGCACCAGGGUGUAUGCUUUUUACAUACGAUAUUGCAAUGGUUGCGGAGACUAGGAGUGAGCUGAAUGGUAGGUUGAAUACAUGAGUUUUACAUAUAAAUUAUACAAAUGUUUGUACAAGGUUUCUAGAGUAAAGUUAGUCAUUUUAUGUUUUCACAAGAUGCGACAUGACUUUAUUUUAUAUAAAUUGGCACUCAAAAUCUAUAUAUAAAAAACAUUUUGGUCAUGAGAACCGUAUAAUUUGAUAUAAGUCUGAAUUAUUUAUAUGUAUUUUUCCAAAUUUUAUACUUUUGGAUUUGAACAAACAAUAUUUAUAAAUGAGUCCAGGUACAUUUUUAUAACUCAAUUAUUUUAUACUUUUGAUAGAAUAAUAUGUAUUUAUAAAAAUUGGUCAACCGGAUAAAUAUUAUAAAACACUUUUGGUUAUAAAAAUAUUUUGUGUCAAAACCUGUAGAACUCACCAACAAUUUUUGUUGACCUACCUUAAUGCAUGUAUUCUCAGGUUUAUUAGCAGGUUAGAAGAUUUUUCAUAGAAGACUUUCCAUUGUUUUUUACUACACAUUUGUAAACAUCGGUUGCUAGGUGUGUGUCGCGAUUUAGUGAUAGUUAUUUUCAAUGUAAUUUCUAUUACGGUAAUAAUAGAAGAUUAUAUUUGUACUAUUCAAUGUAUGUUCAAUAAUUGUGAUCACUGAUUUACAUCGCGCACUUCGGCGUUUCUGCCGGCGUCCGGGGUGUGACAGGUCAAAAUUGGUUAAACUCAACAAACCAACCAAGUCAACCCAGCCUCGUAUGCGGGGCGUACACAGAUGUAUGUAGGGUGUACUUGCUAGUUGACCAGGAUACGAGACUUGACCGCGUAUGCACGGCGUACCACCUAGUACACCCAGCGUACGCAGUUGGAUGCUUCCCAACUCAUUAAAUGCUCAAUACACAAACCCUUACGUCCAAAUUACAGAUCUAAGUCCCAAAUGUUGUCCUUGACCAUAAAAUUUCCAACUUUAUGGGCUUGCAAGGACAUUAAGUGCUUAACACUAAAAACCCCAACACCUUAAGCCAUUAAGACAAUCAUACUCAUGCACGGGGAAGAGCCAAGAGUCAAGAUCCUAUUUUUAUUACUCUAGACCUAGUAAAACGUCCAAAAGGACAACCCAUAUGUUCUAUAGCAUGCCAUGCACAAGAAGGUCAUAUUUUGGGGACAAAACAUUAAUAUCAUCAUACCAACAAGAUCUAUCAAGUUAAUCACGAAGGUAUGAACUUUAUACCUUCUGGAGAUUGAGGAUGAUGAAAAACUUUCGGAUCCAAGCUUGUCUCUAGCUUCCAAGCUUCACCACCACCUUCUUCUUCCUUUGAAAUGCACAAAACCACACUCUCAAGCUUUAAGAUGCAACAAUGGGGCCAUGGUUUACAAGAGGGAACGUUUCUAGUGAUGGAGGCUGGAUAUGGGAUGGGAAAAUGGGACUUAAGGUUCAAUAUAUAGGGUCCAAACCCUAAGGAUUAGGGUUUAUGUCUAGACGGAGUACGCCCAACGUACUACCAAAAUGUCAUCGUUGCACCUUAAGCCCAUUAUGCCCAGCGUACCAUCCAGGUAAGCCCCGCGUAACGGCCAAAAUGCCAAAAUUUACAAUUUCAAGGGUUAGAAUGGAAACUUACCAGGACCCGAGUGUUACAAAUAUGUUCGUAGGAGACAACCUACUACUACGCUUAGGAGGGUUGGAGACAAUUAUGUAAGUGGUGAGAGGAGGAGAGGCUGGCCACGAAAAAAACAGAUAGACAACAUGAUGUUAGACCUGAAGGAGUUGGGUAUUUACAAUGACAUGACCUCAUUUAUUAUUUAUUUAUAUUUUUACUUGGUGUCUUUUUUUUUGGAAACAGAUUUGGUUGCCAACCAUCUUACCUCUCCUUCCCCUAUUAUCAUCUUUUGUUGUUACACUACCAUUUUCAAUUUAGAGCAUGAAAGUUUUUCGCCGAUUGAUUGUUGUGGAAACAUAUAACGCAUUACUGUAAAAGAUUCCAUAAUCAUCAUUGAACCUUUAAGUCGGUUUUGGUCAUUAUAUGAAUUAGUUCAUUGUCAUUUAUUACUUUUUACAUGAUCAUUUUCAAUUUGAGUCAUGAAAGAUUUUUAUUGAUUGUCGCCGAAACUUGAACUUUUUACUAUAAACUUUUUGGUACAUUUGGGUUGAUCUUUCUGCUCACUAAGCUUCGAACAAGUUCAAGUUUCGCUCAAGUUCAAGUUGCGAAACUGGUCUCUUAAAACCUGUGGAUGUUUGUGUAAGAUUAAAUUUUAACAAUUUUUUUUUUAAAUGAGACAUUAUUCAUUUGUCUUUGAAACCAAAAGGUCUUUGUAUCGGUAUCAAAGUGUUGAAAAAAUGUUCAUCUCCUAAGUGGCUGAGGGUUUAAGUUCUGUGCUAGUCAAAAUGAGUAGUUUAGAAGUAAGAUUUAGUGGGUGAGUGAGUUAGCAAAUGGUCUUUGAAAAUUGAUAAAACGUUUAGAAAAAUAUAAAUUACCCUAAAUGUCCGUUUGAUAAGCUGAUGUUCGGUCCAUGUUUUAAAAAUGAGUAUGUGAAUAUUAAAUAAUCAAAAUCAACCAACCUACUCUAAUGAUACAGAUCGCAAAAAGAAUGUUUGAAUUUACUUUUGUUGUAUGAAUUUAUAAUCAAUUUAAUGGUUCUUUUUAUGUUUUCCAAAUUCUGAUUAUUUAAGGAUGUAGAAGACUAAUCCGGUAUCCAAACAAAUACAUAAUAUCUACUAUAAUAAAUGAAGGUUUUUUUUCCACAUGUCAUCUUCUCUUUUAUUUGGACACAUGACAUUUUCUAGAAUUUUUAAAAUUUCUAUUUUCCACUUGUCAUUUUAUUGUAUUUUUCAUUUUAUUAAAUUAAAAUUCCACAUUUAACGUGUAAGGUAAUAUAUAUGUAAAGUAUUUAUUAGAAAGGGUUUAUGUAUGUAAUGUAUUUAAUACAUUAAAGUCUUAUUAAUUUGUAUAAUUCAAAAUUUUUCUCAUUUUUCUUAUAAAUUCAAAAUUUUCAAAUUGUUAAAAUUUCAUAAUUUUUUUUUAAUUAAAUCUAUGUAAUACAUGGGUCUCACACCUAGUAUUUUAUUAAAUUAAAGCCUAUACUGGGUCGUAGUUUACGCCAGUUACUACCACCGACCACUAAUACACAGAGACCUCAACUGCCACUUCUCUUCUUCACCAUUCGCCUAUCAUCGUGAUCGAAAUCCAUUCCACCAUUUCCAAUCACGUCCAUUCACCCUCCACAAAUCUAACUCUUCCUUUUCGUUUGUGUUAUUUGGAUUUCGUCAUUAUGUUUAUCGUCCUCCUAAAAUUUCCUCAAACUUUAAUCUUUCCUUUGCAAGUCGUCCGGGGCACUCCACCACCACCAAUGCCUCUACUAAAGAUAUCCACUGCCAAAACCCUCAAGAAUCAUCUCAGUGUAAUGCGCUAAACUUGCAAUAUAUGUAUCUCUUUUAUCUUAAUAACCUAAGUUUGGUUUAUUUUUCUAUAUUUGCAUGCUUUCCAAAUGUUUGACCAAAGUUUUGUUCGAAUUUUAGCUUAUACAGUUCGUUAUCUAGAGUUAUGAUUAAAUCAUCAUGUGUCUUGAUCCUAAUAUGAACGAUCUUGAAGCUGAUACAAACGAUGAAGUAAACCAAUCGACUUCUGGGAGGAAAAAGACGAAGUUGAGCCUGAGGUAUUGUACAUUCUCUCACUUUUACUCUACUCUACUUAAAAAACAUACCUUAUAUUUGUUUACAGUUUUACAUAUCGGAGAUGGUGGAGAUGGAGGUUGUGUUGUCCUACAAAAUUGUCCUUGGGGGGAGAAAGUUCAAUCCAUUGCUCAAAAGGUUGUGCUUCAAUUUGGUGUCUCGUAGUGUGAGUUGGCUUUUAAGUUAGUUUGUUUAUUUUCUUUUUUGGAAGAAUUUCAUAUACGCCUUUUUAAACCUCAAAAUAUCAUAUUUAUCCAGCUUAAUUUCUUAAAAUCAUAUAUCAUAUUUGCCCAAAUCCUUUUUUUUAUAAUUUUUUAAAUAUUUUAUAAUCAUUUUUAAUAAUUAAAAAUAUUACGUCUAUGAUAACGGAAUGUGAACUUCUUAAUUGUUGGAAUGUUGCCCUCUUGACAAACAAAAAGAUUCAUCUUCAAUCCUCUUUAUGAAAUGUAUAUUUUGAUUGUUUGGUUUUUGUUGUUGUUGAUUAUUAUCAUGUUGUAGAUGGAUGAUAUUUUAGAUAUUGUCAUUGACAUUUUGAUGUUUAAAAAGUGCAUAUAUGAUAUUUUGAUAUUUAAGAAGGACAUAUAUGAUAUUAUGAUGUUUAAAAAUGAUAUANAUAUAUAUAUAUAUGAUAUUUUGAAAUUUUAUGAAUGAUAAAUAUAAUACUUAGAAAUUUUAUGAAGGGUGAUUAUGAUAUUUAAAAAUUAAGUUGGAUAAAUAUGAUAUUUUGAUGUUUAAGAAGGACAUAUAUGAAAUUGUCUAUUUUUUUUUGACAAAAAAAAUACAUUCAUCAUAGUGGAAACCGGCCGGUUAUAAUGACUUUUUUAAUAGGUAAAUAUAAGUUUAUGCCUUUAUACUAUUAAAAAAAACAUAAAAGGUCUUUUAAAAUAAAUCAUAAUAGUUUGUCGUGUUAAAAUGACAUUAACCUUUUCUAUUAUGUAGACUUAUAUUACGUGUUAUUUGAUGUAAAAAUUAGUUCGUUGAAACUUUACUAUGAAACUAAUUUGUAAACUACUUUUUGAUCCGAAAAACAUAACAAAUUAAAAAAUAUGACAAGUUAAAACCAUUUGUGCCAAACAUACAAGUUGUGCCAAACAUAGCUGUCUAUAUAAUGACCAAAACUAAUAUUACCAUAUACAAAUAAGGAGAGGUUUUGUGAAUUUGCAUGAAAGUCUCGCAAAAUUGGUUAAAAUGACAAAUGUGUCAUUUUGUUUGACCUCAUUAUAAUCAAUUUUGUUAUAGCGUUAAUGAAACGAAUUAUUUAAGUUUCAAUGUCAAAAGAAGAGUAAAAAGUAUAGGUUUUUUUUUUUUUUUUUUUUUUUUUUUUUUUUUUUUUUUCUUUUUUAAAUUUCAAAAGUGAGGUAACCAUAGAAUUUAUCAAAUCUUAAUAUACAAACUUCAUGUAAAAAACAUGUAUGUAAAUCAUAGCCCCAUAGAUAGAUAGAUGAAAAAAAAAAGAGAAAUAGAAAUAGAAGAUCCAUCGAUGAUGUUGUUUAUUUGUUAGCACCAACGGCAUCCUUGGCUCCCUCCGCGACUCCUUGUGCUUUGGCCUUCAUCUGUUGACCACCCUGUACAUAACAAUAACAUGCUAAUUAAAAAACCAUAUAUGCACGCAUUUUGGACUUAUUUUGCAAUUUUUACGUGUCUAUUAAAUUUUAAUUAAUUCUUUUCAACCAUCUAAUCUAUAUACAGCUCUACACCCACAACCACAAACACAAACCUCUUGCAUGCUGUCCUUUGCAGAUUGGGCUUUAUCUUGAGCCUUUUCGACCAAAUUGCUAGCCUUCUCCUGAAAACAUGAAGUACUACUGAAUCAUCCAUCAUAUGAUUUUAUGGAAUAACAAACAAAUUAAUUAUAAAAUUUGAUGUAAAUCAGAAAAUGGUUCUUUCGUCAAGGCAAAAACAAAAUUCAAUACUUUUUGUGAUUGAUGCUUAUUGAUCGAUUCGUUGCAUGCAUAAUAUAUAUCAACAUCAACAAGAUGACUUGCAUCAUGCAUAUAUAGCUAGUAUAACAAUUGUUAUCGAUCAGGUAAUUAAAGUUUACCUGUGUCUGGCCUGCAAUUUGGCCAGCAUUGUACUCUGCUUUCUGAGAUUUAUCCAUGUUUAAUUAGUUUUCUUUAGGAUUGCAAAAAUAAUCAGGAAAUUUCAGGCUUUUGAUGAAUCUGUUGCUGUUGUAUAUGUUGUUGUUGUAGGAGACAAGUUAUAUAUAAUUUCAAAUAUUUUAGUCGCAUGUCAUAAUUUGGUGGCGUAUAUGGCUCUCGACCACCUAAGUUUCUCCUUCUUAGACAAUCUCUCGUUCAAAAUGGAUCUCUAGUUGACAGAUCUCCAGCUAUGCCUUAUCUUGGAUAAACCCAUCAAUAUAUACAUUUGCCUAAAUCAGUUCCUAGCUAGACAUUUUAGAGCAUCUUUUUCUCAUAUUUUAUUUUCUUCAACGCAAAUAAUGAAAAAUCAUUUUUAUUAGCACAUGGACAAUGGAUAAUUUAAUACUAAUAGAGAAUUCAAAGGUAGAGCUUAACGAUGUGACAAGUUCAAUUUGGAAGAAACGAAAUGACACAUUGAUAUAACUUUUACAUUAUUCAAGAUUGAUUUAAUAGGAAAAAAAGUUUUUAAAUUCUUAAAUAAAUUUAUAAAUUAAUUUUGAUAAUGUUUCAUUAAAACUUUAUAAAAUUUAAUGUAUUGUUGAAAAAAUUAAUAGAGUUAUUUUAAAUCAAAAUUAAUCAUUCAUUUGAUAUUCCAUUCAACUCUAUAAAAUUAUAAAAUUUAAUGCAUUUUGAAAGCCAUAUCUUCAAAUAAACACCAUGCUUCUAUUGAUUUAUAUACAUCCUUGAAAAAAGCAUGUUAAUAAGGUCUAGAAGCAAAAGGAUCAUCAAGCUCAUGUUUUCUGCACUUCAACUUAAACCAUGGGCCUCUCUCUUUUUCUGCCAACCAUUGGGACUUGGCCAACACAAGCUUUCACUCUCCUCUUCAACUCUUUCCUGCAUAAACACCAUCAGUACAGUAAUCAAAACGACACAUCAAGAAACAAGUAUUUAUAUGCACAGGUCUAGGCAGAGUACGAGUUUCUUACAUCAUGAGGUGUCUAUCGAGGUAUGAAGAUGAAAGUAGCCCUUUGUUCUCUUCAGCUCGUCGCAAAAGGUAAGGCAUGAUCUUAUCAACAGGCCCAAAUGGCAAGUACUUGCUCACCUUAAACCCUGAAUUUCUCAAUCCAAAACUCAUUGCAUCCGCCAUCCCGUAAAGUGAAGCAAACUCCAGCUUAUCGCUUUCUCUACCAAUCCCCAAACCACCUGCCUUUCGUGCGGCCAGUUUCCCUGUUAGGAUCAUUCAUAACACAAACUCAGUUUGAAGCUAUAUCGAUCGUGUUAAAGAUCGUGGAUUUUGUCUCAAGAGAUACCUCGUUCGGUUUUCAUAAUCAGUAUUACCCUGAGUAGUAUACUCCUGAUUCACAAUACAUUUAUCAAAUUUGGUUUACUACAUCUAUAUCCUGAUUCAAACUUCAAGAACAUAAAAAGUAGAACCUUUUUUUAAAAGAAUUUAAACAAAUAUGGAAAAUGGAAAGCAACCCAGAUGAUGAACGACGUAAAGUUUCGAACUUUUACCUGAUUCAAGAUUAUGAGUGGCAAGAAUGAGCCCACCAGGGCCAUUAGAAAGCUCGUCUACCAUGAACGAAGCACAAUCAUUGAAACAACGGUGUGUCUCGUUGAUGCUAUUGUGAAUAGGAGACUCAACACCAAGAGAAUUAGCCAAUUUCCUUUCGCUAGACAUAUAAGCUCCUCUUACUAGCUUAAACCCUAUCGGCAGUUCCAAUUUAUCGGCGGCUUUUUUUGUCUGGAACAACCUCUGCCCGGCGUCCUUCAAAUAUGCUUGAAUGGUCCCGGAAAUCAAGGGCUUUUGACCUUUGUUGUACAUGAUUGCCGCUGAAUAUGUGAAGUAAUCGAUCCCUGGUUGGAUAGAAGUAUCCUCUGCAUCAAUGACUACAGGCACGUUGCUUUCAAUGGCUUUAUUACAUAUGGUGGUUAGUCUUUGUUGAGCUAGUUCAAGAUCAAGCUCUUCUGCCAUGGUCAAAGGGGAGGGUUUUGUUAGUGUGUGGUAAAAAGGACUGCAUUCGACAAAUAUGGGAAGGGUUUUUAGCUUCCAUGGGAGCACAAACGAAGAUGAAUUCUUGUGUUUGUAUUCCCAUCUAAGUAGAUCACUCACUCUCUUUAGCAAAGAGAUUGGGCAGAUAGCUGUGAUCUUCACGACUACAAAACUAACCUGUUGUUCAUAGGAUCAGUAGAUAUAUAGUCUCAGAAAAUAAACAAGAUAGAUUCAUUGAUGUGAAUGUGAUGGAUGCAAAUUACAGAAGACUUACAGAAGAUGGAGGAAGAGAUUGGGUUGAUUCAACAGUUUUGAUGAACUGUUGAGCGUUUUUAUCACACGAUUCAUUAUCAACUGCAUGCUCCAGACCAUAAUCCAACAUCCCUCUUAACCCGGACUCCCAUAAUUUCUUCACAGUUCGACCAGCCUCACCGGCGUCGGAACCGGCAACAAAGUGCUCAUAAACCGUAUGCUUGAUUCCACCUAACACAGCCUCUCUUAACAAACCCAUCUGCAUUAACCUAGAACCCAUCACCCACAUCCCCAAAUCCACUACCGGCUCCACCGAAGCCAUGCUAAGGUUCGCCGCUGAUCGUAUAAGUUUACCAGUCUUAACGGAUGAGAAAAGGCGUUUGGUGUCUUCAAAAUUAUAAACACAGUCGUCAUUGGAGUUGUCGAUGGUGCUUUGUUCCGGCUGUGCUGGAGGUGCGAAGAUGGUGGUGGUUGCCGUGUUAAUCGUUGUUCUCUGAGCAAAACGGAAACGGGGGGUGGUGAAAGAGGGAGAAGACGAGUUAAGACAGCGAAGGAAAGAUGGGAUCAAUUUGGAAGAGAUGCCAUUUGUGGUCAUAGCCAUCAACGGGAUGAUGGCAACGGCAACGGUGGUGGUGGAGGCUGUUUAUAAACCGUAGAAAGUUGCAAGAUUCAGACGAAUUUGUUGUAUGCAAAGAAGCAACUCCUGCGAAAUUGCGAUGAGCGUGUUGAAGCUAGUGAGGUGUAUUUAUAUUCAAGAGUUU